UUCGUGUUGAACUUACAACUUUUUAAAUUGUGAACUUAUUGUGUUUUUACAAUUCCAAAGCUAGCAAGUAGUAGGAGAUUUACCCAACAAAGGGGUUAUUUACAUGGAGCAGCCGUAGUAGUACCACAAUCUGAUCGAUAGCUAGCAGCAAUACCAGUGCUCACUAAUACACAUACACAUGAACUGAUAACCAACUUGCGCACGACCUGACAAACAAGAAAAUGCAUUAACCGACAAGAAGAACACAAUACACAUGAACUGAUAAUCCCCACGGCUGAUGACAGAGCUUUGUAGCAUCUAGGUUCACCCGUUUACUGAAAGUAGAACUUCUGAGUUUUAUUAAUUCAGGUGAUGUUUAAAUGCUCACCAUUUUGGACUACAUCAGAAUACUCACAACACAACAAUAUUUGCUAAAGGUCCUGAAUUACAGAGUUACAGAACAAAUUCUUUGUCCAACGACAAUGUAAGAGUCAUGACCAGUAAUCACAAACAACACUAGCUCGACCGCCCAGCAUGUGCGUGUGGCGAGGGGAGGAGAUACUAUGAUGCUAGAUGUGUAGAGACAACAAGCUCACGCAUAGAAGACGAUGGACGACUCACGCAGGAGGCCUCAAACUGCUCUCCUGUUGCCACCGAUGGCUAUGGAUCAUGCAAAAUCCUGACCAAAAGAUCACUUUUAUUUUCACGAAACUAAUCUCUUGUACGUGCUCCAAGAUAAUCUUCGAGCCUCCUACAAGAACAGUCAUUAUUUUAAAGUCCACAUGAAUACCUACAAGAAAUGAUCACAAACAUUUACAGGACAUUCUUUUAAAGAGCUAUGCAAGAAUAAUUAAAAUAGGGUGAAACAAAUAUCAUCUAGAUUCUAGCAACAACCGUUUUGCAUGAUCAUUGACAUUUGGAAUAGCAUCCAACAACUAUCAGAGUUCCGUAAGACCACAUUUGUACUUACUAUGACGAUGUACUUGUGCUGCGCAAAAACAUACAUGGAAGCACAAAAUAAACAUUUAAAUACAUUGGUGCUCACGUGAAUAGUCACAAACACCUAAAGAGCAUGUUUUUUUUCACAUCUUCCCAACUACUCAGUUAGCAGAAUACCACAUCUAUGCAUUUUAGUAGCAGGAGCAAAGAAAGAGAGAGAGAGAGAUUGCUGUGAGAGAGUGCCAUUGACGCACACAUAGGACUACCAUCAGCGCUCAACUUGGACGGCUGCCAUCAACCAUGGUGGACGGCUGCCACCAAAAAAAACAAAUUGCAAACUACACAACUACGAAUAGGCCAAACCGGUAAGCACAUCAGAAUCAUAAGCAAUCCCACCAGGUACAGGCACACCCUCCUAUUCACAACUCUGAAGUAUCGAUGAACCCUGUCCUCAAAGAUAAUGCCAUAUUGUGGGAUCAUUUAAGUGCACAACUAAGAGCACUAUGAGACAGAAAUAUUGUACAACUACAGCGACAACUGCAAAAAAGUACAACAUUGGUAAAAAAAUGGAUUCUUUGUGACAGCAGGGCAGAUAGCAACUUGGUUAUUCAAGUUCCAAUUGCUUAAAUCAGACCGUUCUAGCUUAGAAUCUAGCUAACACAAAACAAAUCUGAAGCAGUCGGCCUAGCCACACCCCCAACAUAACUAAUUCCACCAGAAGAGCCAUUUGCAACCUACAUGGCCUUCGCUCGACCAAGAUCUUAGCAGUCCUCACACGGGAUCCAGGCACUGGAGCAAGAAGUGACAACUUGCCAAAGUGUGAGGAGGGGCUCGUCCGGUGGCGUAUCAAGGAGAGAUUGCGGCGGCACGCUCAGACCGUGAUGCGGGUGCCCCUGAACUGAUGUGAAUUUUCUUGCGAAACUGCUAUGCAAUCGUGCAAUGGGUGAGCUACCAUAUAAUAUAAAGUUGAGCUCUCUCUAACACACAUCAAAAUAUUUUUUUACGGUUGUUCUGUAUGAACUAAUGACAAAAUACACAUUGAACAGAUAAUAAUAUAUUAUUUUCUCAUAUAGGAAACAUGUUCUUCGCCACAUGAACUGAUACUCUAACACACAGAGAAUUGUUUCCAUGCUAAGAACGGAGGAUAAAAUAAAUAGUGAUUUUCCAGGGUCUCAUUGCAACCUUGCUUCCUAUUCAAUUAAGGAUUCAUGUGACACUUGCUUCCCCUUUCAUCAGUACUAGUACAACUCAACAAUAAGUUCGGAAUUGUAGACGACAUCCUUGUCAGUACGACUCAUCAGUACUAUAUGGAUGUUAGUUUUAACAUUAAGAAUAGUACUGAUCAGUACUAAUAUUUUGUGUAAGUUGUACUGAUCAGUACUGCUACUUGUCGUACUAAUGAGCAGUACUGAUCUAGCUAACACAAAGAUUUUUUCAUCUAGUGGAUUUUUAACAUUAUAUUAGAAAAAUAAAUCUAGAGCAAUUAUCUUGUAGAACCAACAAAAAAAUAUAGCGUAGAAGCUGCAAACACAACCCGCAAUCAUCAACUGAAGUUGUGUUCUUACUCUGACCAAGUUCAGUUUUCUUCAGAAAAAUGGAUGAAAAAUAGCAUCGUCUUUGCCAUCAAAUUUUUUAGCAUGUAUGGGGAUGGACAGGUGAUGAGAGGAUGGACCUUCUAAUGGUGGAGAAGAACUACGAUCUGAGGGGUGGCAGGAGACGUACUAGUGUAGGACGCUGUCGAUGGUGCAGCGUUGUCCACGGAGAGUCCUCCCAGGUGGCGCUCACUAUCUCAAAUCAGAAAAAGACCGACGACAAUGGUGCGUGAACCAGUACGACGGACGCUGGGCACGAACUAGGACGCCGGCUACCGGAUCAUUGAACGGAUCAAGGGUGCCCUGCACGCAGCCCUUCUGGUGAUCGAUGAUGGAGCGUGUAGUUGUACUGCCGAGAGGAACAAUCUCGACCCCGCGGCUCCCUCCUGCAGCCGCGGGUGGCGUGUGGGAGGGAGGCGACAACUGGUGGUGCGGGGAUCUGGGUAUGGCCGGCGAUGCGUGAUUUCAGGGAUGGCCGGCGGGGCGCGGACCUGGGGGUGGGCAGCGGUGCGCGGACCCGAGUGUGGGUGGCGGCAAGCUGGAGGAAGGAGGUCGCCGGCGAUGUGGAAGGAGAAGGCUGGCUGGGCGGCGCAGGACGACAACAAAUGCAGUGGCGGUGGUGCGUGGGUAGGGAGGGGCGGGCGGCCGGNNNNNNNNNNNNNNNNNNNNNNNNNNNNNNNNNNNNNNNNNNNNNNNNNNNNNNNNNNNNNNNNNNNNNNNNNNNNNNNNNNNNNNNNNNNNNNNNNNNNNNNNNNNNNNNNNNNNNNNNNNNNNNNNNNNNNNNNNNNNNNNNNNNNNNNNNNNNNNNNNNNNNNNNNNNNNNNNNNNNNNNNNNNNNNNNNNNNNNNNNNNNNNNNNNNNNNNNNNNNNNNNNNNNNNNNNNNNNNNNNNNNNNNNNNNNNNNNNNNNNNNNNNNNNNNNNNNNNNNNNNNNNNNNNNNNNNNNNNNNNNNNNNNNNNNNNNNNNNNNNNNNNNNNNNNNNNNNNNNNNNNNNNNNNNNNNNNNNNNNNNNNNNNNNNNNNNNNNNNNNNNNNNNNNNNNNNNNNNNNNNNNNNNNNNNNNNNNNNNNNNNNNNNNNNNNNNNNNNNNNNNNNNNNNNNNNNNNNNNNNNNNNNNNNNNNNNNNNNNNNNNNNNNNNNNNNNNNNNNNNNNNNNNNNNNNNNNNNNNNNNNNNNNNNNNNNNNNNCAUAUGAGCCCAUAGUUUUUGUUAUAUUUAUGAAAUAUGUAUAUAUUUGUACGUAAAAAAGAGCAUACUCAAAACAUGAUACAUACUACCUAAAAAUUAGUAUAUAUACUACCUAAUCAUUGUUAUAUACUACAUACUACACAUACAUACUAUUGAUUUCGACAGAUACUACAUACAACAUACAAAACGCAAGUGGUGGUAACUACCACUGCUUGUAGGAAACAUUUGUCAUAUAUAUAUAUAUAUAUAUAUAUAUAUAUAUAUACAUAUACAUAUAUAUACUUCUGCACUGCACGCUCAACGCAAGUGCACGCCAUUGCUUGAACCAAGUGUGCUGCAGUACUCACGCGAGUGAACUUCCCGUCGCAAAAAACUGCAUGCCGUAUUUUUUGGGUACCCUUUUUGCUCUAGUUUUUUUAACCGUUUAUCGGAAUGAGGCGUGUAAUAUACCGUUCAAAAGCUAUGGAUUAGGCGCAACUUCACCAUGUUGAAUACUUUUCGAGAAUCCUCACGGUUUAAGAGCAGUUUUGAAAAUGGUGCGGCCCAAAACGAGUGGCAGCAAACGUUUUCCGUGUUUUUUUCUAAACCACUCGUCGGAAUGAAGCAAAUGAUACACCGUUGGAUAGAUAUCUUCGAGGCGCAUCUUUUUCAUAUACAGUUUUUUCUCUAAGUCGUUACGGUUUAAGAGCAGUUUGAAAUUUACUAAGUCGCGGAAUUCUGUUUUUCAAUUUUUUCCAAAUUUUUGGUACUGUUUUCGCUCCAGUUUUUUAACCGUUUGUCGAAACAAGGUGAUGCGGAGCAUCCCACGCUCAUCCCAUGUACACUCCAACUACUCCCCAAGCCCCAAGUGGACAUAUGAAGAGACCUCGAGCUUACACCAUUGGACCUAAAGUGAACCCGUUCCUAAAUGCUUCCCCUUUCCACUUGUGCGAGACAUGGUUGCUACCUAAUGCAAAGACACUAUGUAUGCUCAGGAACCGAGGAGACAGCCUUGGAGAUACUCGAAGCAUAGGACAAGUCCACAUGGAAGCGGAUCAAGAAGUGCCUCAAGUGGAGUUGCCGCGGAGCUACAGCGGCCGGACAUCCGGCAGGAGCCCGGACAUCCGGCGCCACCAACCAGAAGAAGACCAGAGAGAGGCAGAAGCCAGGCGACUCUACAGCGGCCGGACAUCCGGCCGACCCCCGGACAUCCGGCGCCCCGUGACGGGCCGAACAUCCGACGCCUGCCCGGAAAUCCGGUGCACGUUAUCCAGAGAGCAGAAGAAUCGGCCACUCUAGCCCGGACAUCCGGCCCGCCAGCCCGGACAUCCGGCGUCUCGGGAAGGCCCGGACAUCUGGCCCGACGCCCGGACAUCCGCCCCCCUGCCUGCGUGCAGCGCAUCUGGGCCGAGUCCCAUGUACCCCUUCGCCCCUUAGACUAUAUAUACUCCCCCACCUCCUCCUAGUUAGGGUUAGCAUUGGUUUAGCUCAUAUUUUGUGUGAGAGCCUUGCUCAUCCACUUGGCUACCUUUGUAUCUUUCCUUUGUUGAUUUUGAAUCUUGUGCUACCUCAUGUGUUAGGUGAUCUAGCCCUUGUGUGAUCGAUACUUGUCGGUUGAGUGAUUCUCUCGUUCCUCCCCAUGUUUUCCCCUUUGUGUUUUCCACGCGUUCUUCAUGUUUCCCCAUAGGAUCCACUCCAAACGUGAAAGAUUGGCCCCUAGGGUUCCGCUCUACAUCACAAGGCAUGUAAUAUACCGUUGAAAAGCUAUGGACGAGGCGCAACUUUUAUAAUGUUGAAAUGUUUUUGAGAUUCCUUAUGGUUUUUAAGUUAAUUUUGAAAAUCGUGCAGCGGACGACGAGUGGCAGCGGCCGUUUUUUCUUGAAAUUUUUACAAUCCGCUUAUCGGAACGAUUCAAACGAUAUACCGUUGGAAAUUUAUCGACGAGGCGCAACUUUUUCAUGUAGAACACUCUCUAAUUCUUUACGAUUUAAGAGGAAUUUUGAAUUUACCAAAAUGCGGACACUCUUUUUUUCGCGACAUCAAAAUCGACGAAUGAGCCGCAUCAGACGAAAAAUGCACUGCUUCAGACUAAAUACCGAACUGCAUCAGACGGGCAAGUGCACUGCAUCGUUUCUUUUGUCGGAUGAAAAUUUUCUCAGACGAAAUUGAACUGCUUCAGACUAAAUACCGCACUGCAUCAGACAGGAAAGUGCACUGCAUAGUUUCUUUUGUCGGAUGAAAAUUUUCUCAGACGAAAAUUGAACUGCUUCAGACUAAAUACUGCACUGCAUCAGACGGGCAAGUGCACUGCAUCGUUUCUUCUGUCGGAUGAAAAUUUUCUCACACAAAAAAGUGGACCACUCUUCACGCAUAAGUAAACCACAACACUAUUGAGAAGUGAACAGCAUUACUAUCAAGAAUGAGCUGCCUUAUCAUCUUUCUUUUAUGGAGCAAACCACCAAACCAUAUAUAAUGAGUUGCGUCAUUAGUCAACAUUUUUUUGUCACACAGUCCUUUUCUCUUCUUCAAUACUUACAACCAACCAGAUAGUUUGGCAGAACCAACUAUAUUGUGUUUCCAACAAUUGCAAACAGAAUUUGCCAGAGCAGCCGGACUACAUGGACGAGACUAGCUAACUUCUUUUAUCCAGGGCAGCAAAAGAGAAGUCUGGAGUGAACCACCAAGUUUGUUAUCAAACUUCAUUCUAUAAAACUUACAAAACAUAGCCCUGCAAAUUUACAUAAAACCCACUCAAAACUAAAUGAAAAAAGAAAUCAAAGGGAGCUGCAUCGUACACCGGUGGCGGACUGCUUUUGCCCGCAAAAAACAAUUUUGCCCGCCGACGGAUAUAACCUGAAUUUACAACAAAAAAAGUCAUAUGAUAUAACCUGAAUGCUGCACACACUUCUUGAAUCUUUUGCUCAUAAAAUCAUUUAACUAAUUGUCCAUGUAUUCAUGUUAAACCAAAUUCUGUGCACAAGUUCAGAGUAAGCGCAAAAUGCACUGCUCAAACACUAAAUCUCUUCGCUGUCAUAAGCUGCAUGCUGCUGUGAGGAGGAAUCGAGAUGGGAAAGGAAAUACAGGGCACCUGGUCGCCGGGUGGCCACCAUGCCACCGAGAAGCAGAGGGAGCCGUCAUACACCAAGAAGCAGCAUGAGCCGCCCGGGUGCAGAGGGCAGCGGGCAGCAGUAGGAACUGCCGGGCCUCCGAGCAGCAGCAGUAGCCGUCGGGCCGCUGAGCUGCAGCGCCGCUUCGUGUUCCUAGCUGCAUCAGUGCCUCAGUAAGAAUAUCGUAGAUCAUAAAUAGCCCUACAAAUUUACAAAACUGCUUUUGCCCGCACAAACAAUUUUGUGCGCCGACGGACUGCACCGACAAUCGAGACGACCUGCAUCGGGGAGCGACCUGUACUGCAUCAGUGAAGAGCAACACGAGAGGAGCAUAGGUGAAAGAGAGACGGGGCUAUUGUGCAUGCCGGCGUCACUGAACUGCAGGAGGCAUCAACGUGCACACGACACUGGAGGUUGCAAUGUACUGCACCAAGAGAGAAAAAAGGAUGAACACAAGGUUUGGAGUCCACUAACGAAUCCCGAGGACGCCCGCCUCACAGCACAAAAGUGUACUGCAUGGGAGUCGAUGAUGGCCGCGUGUGCCUGCUGUGUGGACUGCUCCAGCGGAGCGACAAAAGCUCCUAGAGAGGAAGAUCCAGCCGACCUACAUUAGGGAGCAACCUGGACUGCUUGCCGUCAGUGGAGAAUCGCAAGGAGAGGAGCAGAGGACUGGGGAGGAAAAGGAGGAGGCCAGGGCGUCCCCUCGAUCGAGGCAACAUGGAGUCGGGGAGCCUGGAGCCGCAAUCCCGUCAUUCACCAACUGCACAGUCUCACUGGCCAAACUGCACGGGGUCGAAGUAGUGAGAAUGAAGGGAGCCUGGGCGCAUCGGAUUUGGCCGAGAGGUGGAAGAAGCAGUCAUUAGGGUCGCCGUCGACGGAUCCAUGGCGCGCCGGUGGAUCCGAGGAGGGGACGAGGUAGGGAGGCGGAGGUGGAGGUCGGUCCUCGAAUCCCGUCGCUUGGCGGCAUGGCGGGGCAAGAACCGGCCGGAUCCCUUUCCCGGGGAGGUGGGGAGGGGGGAGGUGGUGGUACGUAGUGGCGAUGCCAGGGCCUGGAAGUCGGCCGUCGUGGGGCGGCGCNNNNNNNNNNNNNNNNNNNNNNNNNNNNNNNNNNNNNNNNNNNNNNNNNNNNNNNNNNNNNNNNNNNNNNNNNNNNNNNNNNNNNNNNNNNNNNNNNNNNNNNNNNNNNNNNNNNNNNNNNNNNNNNNNNNNNNNNNNNNNNNNNNNNNNNNNNNNNNNNNNNNNNNNNNNNNNNNNNNNNNNNNNNNNNNNNNNNNNNNNNNNNNNNNNNNNNNNNNNNNNNNNNNNNNNNNNNNNNNNNNNNNNNNNNNNNNNNNNNNNNNNNNNNNNNNNNNNNNNNNNNNNNNNNNNNNNNNNNNNNNNNNNNNNNNNNNNNNNNNNNNNNNNNNNNNNNNNNNNNNNNNNNNNNNNNNNNNNNNNNNNNNNNNNNNNNNNNNNNNNNNNNNNNNNNNNNNNNNNNNNNNNNNNNNNNNNNNNNNNNNNNNNGGCGCGGGGGGAGGGGGGGAGUUUCGCCUGGCAGAGUUGUAGCCGCGGCGGGGUGGGGAGGUGUUGUGGCACGGAGCUGGGGCUGGGGCCGUCGACGUCGGCAGUGGGGUGGAGGCCCGGGCGAGGAUCUGCGCGGCAGUGAGGAAGUGGAUCAGGGGGUGGCCGGGAUGGCGAAGGUGGGGUGGCGUCGUAGUGACUGGUAGUGGAUGGAGGAGGGGAGGUGGGAGGAGCCGGUGGUGGAGGGAGAGAUCCUGCCUUUUUUUCGAGGUUGUUCGUGUCGGGCUGUCUCGGUGCCGGUGAUAACAGAAUAAGGUUUUUGUGUGCAGAAUAAGAGUCUUAAGGGUGUUAGAAGAAUAGACUCACGCGAGUGUAUAUAUAUGUAUAUGUAUAUAUAUAUAUAUAUAUAUAUAUAUAUAGGACAAUUUUUUCCUACUACCAGGUGUAGUUACUACAACUUUUGUUUCAUACGUUCUAGGUAGUAUCUAUCAUAUCGGAUAGUAUGUACGCGUCGUAUGUAGUAUAUAAGAAUGUUUAGGUAGUAUAUAUACUACUUUGUUGGUAGUAUGUAUCAUAUUUUUUGCAUACUCUAUUUCACGUAUAAAUAUGUAUGUAUUUCAGAAAUACAAUAAAACUAUGAGCUCACUUGCAAUUUUUUCAUAUAACUCACUUUGGAGUAUCUUAUAUAUAGUAUAUUAACAUAUUCAAAAUAAUAAAAUAUAGUCUAUACUACCACAUGGUAGUAUAUGAGAAAUGGGUGUAGCUACAUCCGGUAGUAGGAUGCAUUUUCCCUAUAUAUAUAUGUAUAUAUAUAUAAUUUAUAUAAAAUAAAAACACACGCGGUUUCAACCAUGUACAAACUGCAAAGCAGACGCUACACAAGACAGAAAAGUCGCCUUUCAUACAAAUUAUCUACCUUAGACAACACACAGUACACACCAUAAACCUAGCUCUUGUCCAAACGCAGGGCUUUAACUAGAAUAUCCCAAUGACUGUUACUGCGCACACGGCUGCGACUGCGACAGGGAAGUAAGCCCAAGGCUUGCAAUCAGAUCUUGUAGCUCAAGUGGCAUGUCUUCAUAAUAAAACAUGUUCAAAGGAUUGAACAGUGGCUAUAAAAUGUAUGCCGCCUUCCAAUCUUCAACAAUAGGCUGGAAAAAAUAAAAAAUGCAGAUAAGUGAUGAAAAAGGUUGUGAUAAGAACAACAAAAAGUGAAAACAUUAAAAAAAAGAGAAACAACAAGGAGAAACAGAGAAAGUAUUACAUCAGAUUUCACCAUUCUAUCGACUAGACGCAUGUCGUCAUACAACUGUGUCAACCUCAGAACAUAGAUUCCACACUCGUUUGGCCCCUGCUUUGGCAUGACCGGGCAAUAGGGCUUCUCUGCCAAUUUAACCCAGUCAGGUGAUUCUUAGAGGUAUACAACUUUUCACCAUAAAUCCUCUUCAACAGCUAAGUCAUCCUGCUCACCUGGCAAAAGGGGAAAAGCAACACAAAGUAAAAAACACACGUCACAGACCAAUAACCAUCAGACGAUGCAAAUACAAGUUCUUCACAACGUCUAGAUAAUCCCUCUUUUAAUGCAUGUGAGGUCAUUUCGUUUUAUCUCUCUCUUUACCGAGGUUUGGAGGUGGGAGAAAUGUAGUUCUGUGCCACAGAUGUUGUAGUAUUAAGAAGUGUGGUCCUAUGUGUACUAAUAAUGUAGUCACUGUGCGGUUUAAAAAUAUAUGCAGUAGGAGAAAUACAAAGCUUUGUAGUUGGCUAAAAACAUGAUAUACCACUUCAGUGCAAUAAGAGUGGAAGUCGCUCCUGUGCCACUUUGUCGUGUAAUCAGCAUGGCCAGUGUACCUCCUGGUGUCAUGGAUAUCAAUGCUCUGGUGAUGCCAGUUCAUCGUGUAUAGGGCAUAAUGUUUAUGCUUGGAGCGGGGCAUCAAAAUUUGUCGCAUAAAGAAACAAAUGAAAUGAAGUUCAUUCGACACAUAGCAUUAGGACCACUUCUUUAAAUAACUAUAAAAAGAAAAUGCAAAAAAUAAAAAAAGAAAUGAUGGAAACAAUGGCCUUACUAGUUUUGCGUCCAACAGGUUUUCAUCGCCAACAAAACCCUUGAACCGCUUAACCGCAUCUUCUAAAACAAAUGGGCUAUGCACAACUGGCAACACAAGGUAUCCUUCAUCAUUUAUCCACACAAUGACUUCGAUUUGAAGAACUUACUGCAUAGAAAAAGAACAAAUGGGACGUGAAGAAAGAAUAAAGAUGCAUGUAUGCAUGGACAUAAAAAAUUCAUUACAAGAGGAAAAAAUGCACCAAAGCAAAAAAUACAUGACAACAGACACAUUUACCGUGAUAAAUAAAGGUGAAAGUAGCACACGUUCCCUAGAAUGACAAACUGAACUCAUUUCAGGAUCUUGCUUCCAGUACUUAAUGAUAUGAUCCAUGAGAUACGAGUCUAUGCAAGCUCCUUUGCCAAAUGUAUUAUAGAUAUAGUCAACUUUGACUAUUUAGACAUCACCAAAAGCAUUAUUCACCCUCAAGAAUGCGUUACUACAGUAAAGAUACACAAAUGGGAUCAAAAUAAAGAUUAAAACAAAACACACACAAAGGAUCAAGGACAGACACAUAAAACUUGUUGUAUUUGGUUAUAAAAUCUUGGCUGAGAACGAGAUCCUUUAUUUUCCUCGCCUCAUCAAUAUAUUUGAACCUCGGAGAGCUCAAUUUCUCUAAAGAGUCUGUCAACUUAAAAGCCCUCUCACCUACCCUCUUGUUAGAAAAUACUUGAGCCUCAUCAACGGGGGACGAUUGAUUGCUGCACUCCUAGUCCUAGUGACACGUGGCACCGGCAUAAUAGAAUCAUCAUCAACAUCAACUACCUCAUGUAGAGCCAGGUCGAGCGACCUUUCCACCAUCAGGUCCAGAUGCCACAUCCAUGUUCAAACCAUCUCCAGCCAAAGAACCAUAAUUCUCUAGAGAGAUUUCAAUGGCACAGUCCUCCGUAACUACCUCUGAACCCUGGGACUCUAAACAGUGAUGUAUAAUCUCCAUGAAGACCCCCAUCAAAACCUGAUAACGAGGAGAAAAAACAUGGGAGCACUCAGCCCAAAUACAAAACCAAAAACAUUAAAUGCAGCUCACUAAAAUAAAAAAAUGCAGUUCACUAAAGAACAGAAUGCAUCCCACUUGACUAGAACAAUGUAGCCACUUGCAUAAAACAAUGCAGCUUACUUGCACCGAAUAAUGCAACUCACUGGUCUACAACAAUGAAGCUCACUUACACAACAAUACGUAGCCCUCCACUGUCAAACACACAUUUCACUAGCACACUAAUAAAAUAAAACCUUAAGAAGCGGAAGCAGGCAGUAGACAAAAAUAAAUAAGGCAAAUAAAGCACUUCAUUAAUACAACCUUUAUCUGCAAAUAUUAAAAGUGAUGAUAACUCAAGGGAACACUUUGUCGAUGUGAGCCAUCUAUGUAGCAUCGCCUUUCUGAUGUAGCCAAUGUGCUCCACCCCAAACCGAGCAACUCAAACACCAUCCCAAGUUUGCAAGAAUUGAAACACAUAGGUUCCACAAUCAUGCCUGUGAAAAAAGAACAUAAACAUUAGUUUCACAUAAAUAUAAAAGAACAGUUGAGGAGUAUGGUGGAGAGGGGCUACAAGGAACAUACCCAUUUUGCUGAAUUGGGACAACCACAUGUUUCAACGCAAAGCCAUCAAGUGUAGGAGGAUUUAGCGGCUCAUCUGAACUUGAGCUACCUUCUUUCCAUGCACGCUUGAUAUUUUUAACCAUCCCCCUAAAACCCUAUUUGCUUUAGAGCUGCCAGGUUUACUGAGCGAGUCAAGAAACUCAAACCGCCUUUCCUUCACAUUCAAGGCAACUACACUAUAAUGACCAACGCCAUCCCUCGUGUCUGGUGGAUAAGCAAAUAGGACCCGUUGGAAGUAAAAGUAAAUAAAAGUAUUACGAGAACAAGAAACAAAACACUGUAAAACCAACACAGAAAAAUGGUUUUAGACACAUAAAAACAUUACUUAUCAUAUCUAUUUUAUCGACACAUUCCUCAGCUUUUGAAGAGAACAUCAAUUUCACACCCCUUCCUACAGUAGCACCAUUCGAAAUACUUGUCAGCCAAAACAAACCAAAACAAGAAACAGUGUUGAAGCAAACAUGUCAUCACACGAAAACAGAAAAGAGAAUCAAAUAACAAAUGAAAAGAUUUGCAUGCUUACAAAAAUAUGGUACAUGACAAACAUCGUCGGAGAUCCCUUAAACUUAUCUACUAGCAAAGAAACCCCUAGAUCUACAAGGCCUGUAGUGAGCAUCCCUUUAUCCCAAAAAGAUUGACCAACUUCAUCAAUGGUAAUAUCGGCCAACUCAGUUUUAAAAGCAAUCAUGUCCCAGAAUAUUUUUGAAAAACUGAAACAUAAGAUACUACAAAAAUAACAAGAACAAAAAGGGCAAAGACUCCGAUUAGAAAAUACAUGUUAACAAAACAAUUUAUAAAAACCAUACUUCAUCUUUUUGUCCCUUAGAGCCCUAGUAAUAGCAGUGUACAACUCAUUGUAUCUUUUGAGAAGAGCUGGAUUAAUGCUCAACCGUGUCAGAACAAGAAGUUCGUCAUCUGCAAUCAAAAAAUAAGGAACAAAUAAAAUAUGAAGUUCACUUAUGUAAAAUAUGAAGUUCAAUUGUAAGAUAAGAAAAUGUGCUAGCUAGCAACUAUUUUGAAAAUCAUCAACAAAGAAGAAGUUCACUUAUCAUAAAAAAUCUGAUGCAGCUACCAUAGUAAAUUAAAAAUGAAUGAGAAAAACUUCAACUUCAUUAUUCAAAACUAAACACUUGCCUUCAGUGUUAGAGUCUUCAUGUUGUUCUUCUUCAGAGCUAACCAAAACAUUUUCUCGGCUAGGUUGCGACGAAACCAUGUGACGCCCCCGAUUUAAUUGUACACUAAUCAUACACACAAAUGUGUACGAUCAAGAUUAGGGACUCACGGGAAGAUAUCACAAGACAACUCUAGACACAAAUUAAAAUAAUACAAGCUUUAUAUUACAAGCCAGGGGCCUUGAGGGCUCGAAUACAUCAUCUCGAAUACAAACAAGUCAGGGAAGCAACAAUAUCUUAGUACAUACAUGAGUUAAACAAGUUUGCCUUAAGAAGGCUAGCACAAAAGCAACAUCGAUCGAAAAGGCAAUGCCUCCUGCUUGGGAGCCUCCUAUCUACUCCUGGUCGUCAGCGUCCGUCACGUGGUAGUAGGCACCCUCAGGGUAGUAGCAUCGUCAAAGGUGUCAUCUGGCUCCUGGACUUCGUCAGCUGGCUGUGUCAUCCGAGAAGAAUGGAAAAGGGAGGAAAGAGGGAGCAAAGCAACCGUGAGUAAUCAUCCAAAGUACUCGCAAUCAAGGAUCUACACUAAAUAUGCAUUGGUGUCAACUGAAAUGGGCUGUAUCUGUGGACUGAACUGUAGAAUGCCAGAAGACAAGGGGAAAAGCUAGUCCUAUCGAAGACUAGCAUCUUCUGGAAACCACCAUCUUGUAGCAACAUGAGGGAGUAGAGUAGUAUAACAUAAGUCAUAUUUAUGUUGUUGUAUCUACGCUCCGGGAUCCUUUCUCGACUCCCAAAGCAACCUAUCCAAAUCAUGUCUCGGCAUACAGUUCUAGUUGUAUCGAUCGGGAUACAACUCCAAGUGUCCGUUACCGUAGGACAGGCUAUCGAUAGAUGUUUUCUUCCCUGCAGGGGUGCACCAACUUACCCACCACGCUCGAUUAACUCCGGCCGGAUACACUUUCCUGGGUCAUGCCCGGCCUCGGUCAAACAAUACGCCGCAACCCGACCUAGGCUUAAUAGAGAGGCCAAGCACGCCGGACUAAACAUAUGCCCCCAGGGGUCAUGGGCCAUCGCCUUGGGAACUCCUGCACGUUGCGAACGCGGCUGGUGAGCAGACCUAGCUACCUCCUUCAAAAAGGCAGGUGCUUACCAGUCCAACCCGGCGCGCACCGCUUAGUCGCUGACGUCUAUUAAGCUUCGCCUGAUGCAUACGACGCAGAACACCCAUACUAUGCCCACGUGAUGGUUAGUGCUAUCAGGCCAGGGGCCCCUCGGAUCAAAUAACCAAAUCAUAGUGGAUUAGGAACGCGCGGUAACAAGCAAAGACUCACGAAAGAUGUGACCCUGUUGCCCGUGUCGAGGACUUGCGACAAGGGCUAGGAAUGCCUAACCACGCCUCGUAAUUAUCUCGCGGGCACCCUCCAGGUCAAGCCUUCUCCACAUCACUCGCGGGUACCCCUUAGGGUCGACCCAUCUUUUCAAGUAACAGUUGUAAUGUCCAAGUAUCCGUGUAUCCAAACAUCAAGGGGAAACCCCGAGGAAUCACCCCCGGUGAAUUCCACUCGAUGUAAUCAUCAAGGUGAACGUAAGAGGGACCACCCUCGAGGUCCACACUUGAGGGGUUGCAUGACAGAGUCGUAUCGGAAGUGGUUAAAGAGGAAAUCACCCUCGAUGACCACGACCAAAUAGCUACACUACAGGGUUAACAUCAGAAGUGCUGAUGAGGCCUCACCCUCAUCACUCGAUAGUAACCCAGUAGUGUCGAGCAACUAAGGGGAACUGAUGUGCGGUGCCUGGGCCUGGUAUUUGAUCCCGUUGAUCGGGUCUUCAAUGAUGAAGUAGGGGCAACUAGGACAAGGUGGGGGGUCACUGAUGGAUCACUAACCAACCUAUACUAAGCAGUUUAGGAUAAGCAGGUAAGUAACAAUAAGCAUGUUACAAAAGCAGGCUAUGCAUCAGAAUAGGAGCAAACAAUAACAGUAGAAAAAUCUAAUGCAAGCAUGAGAGAAUGGAAUGGGCGAUAUCGGGAUGAUCAAAGGGGGGGGCUUGCGUGGAAGCUCCACCGAAAGGGAAAAAGUGUCAUCGUCGACGUAGUCGAUCACAGGGGCGACAUCGGUCUCGGGGUCUACCGGAGAGAAGAGGGGGAAGAAACAGUAAAUACAGAGCAAACAAUGCAUCACAUGGAAAUACACAGAGCUAGGAGUGUUCUAACGUAGUGCUGCACGAUACAGGUGAAGGGGGAAUUCAACCGGGAAGGUAUUCCCGGUUCUGGACCUAUGUCAGACAGAUGACCGGAGGGGGAAUGUUCCAUGUUCAAAUAGUUAGAGGCAUCUGACAGGUAAACGGACCGUGUAUUCGGAUUAGUCCCGUUUUUCUAAGUAACUUUCAUGUAGAAAACAUUUAUAUCCGAGUUACGGUUUAUUUUCUACGAUUAUUCAAAGAUUAAAGGAUUUUCAGAAACUAUUUAAACUAACAGAAAUGGAAUUAUGACAUCAGCAGAGUGUCAGCAUGACAUCAGCAGGUCAAUAGAUCAGCUGACCAGGUCAAACCUGACCUGUGGGUCCAGCGGGACCCACAUGUCAGCCUCUAUUAGAAAAACAGUGGAUUAAACUAAUCUUGCAGGAUCAAUUAGGGGUGUGGGCCCCGGGUGUUAGUGAGUGCUUAGGUUAAUCUAAUUAGUCUUAUUUAUAUAACGUUUAUUAGACUAAUUAACAGAAGGGGGCCCACAUGUCAGUGGCUGGGGGCUGCCCAGUAAACACAGUUGACCGGUCAACAGGCCGGCCGGGCUCCUGGGGCCCAUGGGUCAGAGAACCAGUGGGGUGGCCCCGGGCCAACGACGUCAGCGUGGGCGCCGACGUUUAACCGCCGGUGGCUAUAGCCACGGUGGAGGGUCGGGCGCGCGUCGGAAUCCAUCUAGGGGCGGCCGUUUUGUGAGCGGUUGGCACCAUUCGAACGCGUGGACGACGCCGAGUCGGGUGGUGGUGGUGGCUUACCCGAGGAUGGCCGGAGAUGGCGCCGACGUGGAGCACGGGUGGAGGUGGCCUUCUACGCUUGGCGGAGAUGGUGCUUCAGGGCACGGUUCUUCGUGCGUACUGGCUCUAUGGGUGGCAGGUGCUCACGCGCAAUCAUUGCCGAAGUCGGCAGUAGGCGGGAGGCGACGAGCUCGCCAAAGAAGAGCUCAUGGCAGCGGUCGGAUCACUAGACCGUCGAGGACGGCGCCAGGAGGAGUGGGAGGGGUAGCGGGCGCGUGCAGCGAGUGCAGGCGGAGGUGAUGAGCAUGACGGGGUGGUCGGCAGCUGUCGGGGAAACUGAUCCACGAACACCUAUGGGGCCGGCGGACCGAGCCCCUUUCGGUUCGCCGGGGGGCGGAGGUCGCACGAAGAGCAGAUCGAGGCGAAGCACACGAGCAGUUUACCCAGCUUCGGAGCUCUCCGGAGAGAUAAUACUCCUACUGCUGCUUGUCUGAUUCUAUUAUGUUCUUGCUCGAGAGAGCUAUGUGUUUCUCUGGUUUCCGAAUGAGUCGAACCCCCUCUACGUUGCGCAUGCGCCUCCUUUUAUAUGCUCAAGGGGUCACCGACAGGUGGCAACGUAAACAAGGGUACAAAUGUAAAAAGCGAGGUGGUUGGUACAGUUAUUUGUAUAGUGUUUCCUACCUAACCCUGACGGCAGGGGACAAGGGCAUUAAAUGCCCGUCUGUGUCGCCCAAACAAUGCAGAAAAGGACCGUUAGGGGCGCCACCGCUCGCCACGAUGGCGAUCUUGUCAGCUUCGCAUGCCACCACGCACCGCUGGCUGCACAGCCUCCCGCCACGCGCGCCUGGAAAGGCCCCCAGAGUGACACGUUGGUGGAUGCGCUGGAGCGUGGGCACAGAGUGGCCGCCUGCCGCGGCAAGCGCCUUGCCGCGGCCGUUGUCUUGUCGGGUCCAGAAGCUUGUCGCUCACCGGGCCCUGAUAUGCCUUGGUUGGUCUUCCCGGCAAGCUCCUCUUGCCGGGGCCUUGUUGCCUUGCCGGGACGCGUGGCGCGUCGCGGCAAGUUCCUUGGGUUGCCUUGGUUGGCCUUCCCGGCAAGCUCCUCUUGCCGGGGCCUUGUCUCCUGAGCUUAAAUACUUUGUUCUUGAAUGGCUCCAAAGGAACCACGGAGGACCUUGGCGGUCGCCCGACAAGCCUUGCCGCGGGGCGCUGCAACUGCCCGUGCACAAGUUCGGGAUACUAAGGUACCCCUACUCUAGUACACUGACAGGAGCCCCCAGGCCUGGGCCACACACGGUGCCGAGCGCUGUUGGGCCAGGCCCAAAACAGGGCACGGGCACACGCGGCCUGGGCCACACCGAAUCUGACUCCGUAUCCACCGCGCCCUCCCUAACGGCACGCGUCGAAUGCGGCGUCAUGGGAGAGAUCGUGGGUGGAUUCUUNNNNNNNNNNNNNNNNNNNNNNNNNNNNNNNNNNNNNNNNNNNNNNNNNNNNNNNNNNNNNNNNNNNNNNNNNNNNNNNNNNNNNNNNNNNNNNNNNNNNNNNNNNNNNNNNNNNNNNNNNNNNNNNNNNNNNNNNNNNNNNNNNNNNNNNNNNNNNNNNNNNNNNNNNNNNNNNNNNNNNNNNNNNNNNNNNNNNNNNNNNNNNNNNNNNNNNNNNNNNNNNNNNNNNNNNNNNNNNNNNNNNNNNNNNNNNNNNNNNNNNNNNNNNNNNNNNNNNNNNNNNNNNNNNNNNNNNNNNNNNNNNNNNNNNNNNNNNNNNNNNNNNNNNNNNNNNNNNNNNNNNNNCCCUUCUUCUCCAAGAUGAGAGAGAGCAGCGCUCCGCCCCCCAUUGCCACCAGCAUCACCAACGCCGUCGACCUUCCCCACCACUUCCGCCAUGGCUCCGAAAGCCGACAAGGGGAAGGGUGUGAAGUCGGCCGAGGCGCAGCGGCUCGCGGCACUGCGGAAGGAGCAGGCGAUCUUCUCCCCUCAGCUCGGUGUGCAGGAGCUGAGGGAGUACUACUACCUCUUCUGGUUGACGGAGACGCGAGCACAUCCGCGCACGAGGGUACUCCCGGCCGCCGCUUCGGAACUGGCUCCGAACGGGUACCCAUUCUUCACGCUGUUCUUCUAUUGCGGGCUCUGCCCGCCCUUCUCAGAGUUCUUCUGCGACAUAAUGAACACCUACGGGCUCCGCCUCCUUGAUUUCACCCCCAACGCCGUUCUGACCAUGGCAGUUUUCGUACAUUUGUGCGAAAACUUCGUCGGAGUCCACCCCAAUGUAGCCCUUUUCCGCCACUUCUUCAUGCCUCGGGUCGAGAGAGGAGAGCCGCUUGCCAGAUGGAUCGCCUGGAUCUCGAGGGUCGGCAAGAAGGAAGCGUAUCUGGAGGGUGAACUUCGCAGCAAAUGGGAGGAGUGGAGAGCGGAGUGGUGUUGGAUCGUCGAGGAGAACCCGCGGCCGUUCACUGCUCUGCGCCAAGCCCCAAUCGUGCGCGGUAACGAUUGGAGCAACGUGGCCCCAGAAGACGACAGAUUGAAGAUCGCCAUCACCCGAAUCCUUCGCCUUAGGCUUGCCGGGCUCACUGUAGGCGCCGUCGGCGCAGAUUUCCUUCGACGCCGCAUCGCCCCCUGCAGGAGAGGGGGAGACCCGCCUGGGAGUUCAAGAACUCGGCGGAUAUAAUGCGGCUACGUCCGGGCCUCAACUACAACUUCAUCGUCCUGGAGUUGGAUGCAAUGCUUCUGGAGUUGUUCAAACGCGACCCCCAGCACCCAUUCGUUUUGCCGAGGAGCGUCGUUCCAUUGUGCAAUAAUUCAUCGCUUGACCGGAUCCGCGCUAUGAUGCCGUUGUGCGAUUCCCACGGAAUUGUUCCAACUUGGCAAGAGCCUGCGGAUGACGUCGUGCGGGCGUUCUUUGACAACUUGGAAGAAGUGCCGGUCCGCGCCGACGAGCAGAAGAGCCUUACCCGCGACACCACCGACGCGGAGCUGCAGCGCAUCGCCACCAGGACGGAGGAGGCUACGGCGGCAGCUGCCGCGGGCGCGUUCGGGUUCACCAUAGAGGAGGCAGAGGCGGCAGAGGUGGCAAGCCUUGCCGAGCGCGAGGAGUUUGCUGGUGAGGAAGAUCUUGCCGGCCCUGAGGCUGAGCCGAGCGAGGCCGGCGAGGAAGAGCCCGAGCCUUCAGACAGCUUGCCGCAGGCGGAGCCCCCGGCCCCGCCAAGAAGGCGUCUUCGCAGGGCCGCUGACGUAGCGGGGCGGCAGACGGGUCAACAGCCGCCGAGCCGCGCGACACGCUGUACCGCGGCAAGAAAUGUUGCCGCGGGAGCGCCUCACGCUGUUGUGGCAACUGGAGCGGGAUCUUCCCGGUCCACCGCCGCCGCUCCCGCCAAGUGGGCAAGGGAUCCUACUCCUCCGCCUCGCCGCACCGGAGGGGAGCCGGACUUCGAUCUCUCCGCGCUCAGCUCCGACGAGGAGGAAGAAGAGUAAGUUUCUUUGGUGCUGUUGUAGCUCUUCAAUUCUUGCUGUUUUUGUCUUGUAUCUGACUUGCUUCGAUCUGAAUCCAUUCCUUUUCAGGACGCUGGCCCAGAGAGCGGCGAAGAGAGCCAAGGCCCCGGUGAUUUUCAUCGAAGAUGAUCCCACCGUGUCAGCAAGUGGUGUGUCUGAGACCACCUUGACGAACCCUGCAACCACUCCCCAAAGCAGCCCCCAGCGCAGCCCCCAGCGUAAGUUUGUAGUUUACUUCCUGCUGUCGGGCGCGCAUGGGUGCUUUUUUCUCUACUGAUAUUUUGCUUGUUGAUUUAUGUAGGAGCAGAACAGCCUCACCAGUAGGGCCUGGAAGCCGCCCCCGAAGUGCCAUCCGCUUCAACUACGCCACCAAGGGAGGAGUCCCCGGCAAGGGAGCGCUCUCCGGCAAGGGAGGACUCCCCGGCAAGGGACAGUUCUCCGGCAAGGGAUGGCACCAGUGAUCCUCCGGCGGUCGAGACCGCGACCGCAGAUCCUAGCACAGGUAAUUUCCUUGCCUGAAAACUUCCCUUGGGCUCUUUUUCUUCUGAAUUUCCUUUCUUGGGUUUUUGCUUGACUUUUCUCCCUUCUUCGUUCUUUAGAUCCAUCUGCUGCGGAGCCAAUGGAGACUGAGGACGCCGGCGAGGAAGGCGCGCGUGGCAGCAACGACGACGCCGCUGUCAACGAAGAAAGGGCCGGUGCUAAUGAGCCUGCCGGCGAGGAGGCCGCCAAGGCUGCCGCCGCAGAGGCUGGCGAGGGGUCGGGCGAUCGCACUGACGGCCCUGAGGUCGCAGGAGCACCAAGCGCUACGCCGACCGCCGAUCCCUCCGCCGCUGCCGCGGAGCCAGGCUCUGAAGAGCCCCAGCCCGGCGCCUACUUGAAGGCCGGCGACGGUAUCUUCAUCAAGCUUCCCUGGGCGUCGAGCUCCAAGGCGCCGGUCGAAGGAGAAGCUUUCGAUGAGGAGCUGCUCGCCUCCGCCGGGCUGUCGUUGGUCGAUGCGCCAAGCAGCAGCAGUGGCGAGCCUGAGGAGGAGCAGCUGCUGCGGAAGCUGCUAUCACUCUACCGCGCACGACAAGCCAAGCUGGCCUCCCGGGAAGCGCUUGUCGCGAAGGCGGGAGUCGAUAUGGAGAAACACGCAGAGGAGCUCCGGGGCCUCAAUCAGGAAGCUCUCCGGUCCCUGGCACAGGAGCGGGAGCGACUCGCCGAGGAGCGUACAGCCUUCCUUCUCGAGAAGGCCGAACCUGAGGAGGAGCAAAGGCUCGCUGCCGAGAAGCAGUCCGCGCGAGAAGGCGAGUUGGUGCAGCGGAAGGCCAACCUUGACAGCUACGAGGAGGAGCUUGCCGAGCGCGAGCAAAUGAUUGGCGGGGUGCUCAAGGAAGCAAAGGACGCCGCCGCAGCUGCCGAGGCCGCCAAGAAAGAGCUGGAGGUGAGGGUAGCGCAGCUGGAGGCUGAUCUCUGGGCGAGCGGCGAGGAGCUCGCUGCGCUCAAGCGUGAGCGCGAGAAGGAUGCUGCCGCUCAUGGUGAGCUACAAGGCCUUCUCGCAGAGAGGAGCAAGGAGCUCAGCGCCGCCAAGGAUUCCAAGGCGGAUCUCGAGCUGAAGCUGGCCACGUUGACUCAGACAUUGGACGCCGCCAGGGAGCGAGAAGUGACCUUGUCGGAGAAGAUCGAGGCCGACAAGGCACUGCUGGCGAGCAUCGCUGUUACCCAGAACUCAUUUAGGGAGGCGGUGGAGCAUUGGACCGAGGGUCUGGUGAAUAUCGCCGCAGUCAUCGACGAGGAGCUGGCGCAGUUGGGGAUGGAGGACUUUGGGUAUCCUUCCGACGAGCAUCUCCAACCCAGCGCCAAGCUCAGCCUGUUCUUCAAGGGCGUGGCGACGGUGCUCCAGCGACUCCGGGAGAGGAUCCCAAAGCAGCUGGCCGACGAGUCGCGCAGGAUUUGCGCGGGGGCUCUCCAGAAGGUGCUGAUGAAGGUGGCCUUCCACAACCCAGGCCUCAACCUCACCAACGUCCUCAAGUCCUUGCCGCCUGACGCCGAUCUGGAUGCGCUCAAGGCCCUUGUCGCACCCAUUGUGGACAAGGUGAGCGAGAUCAAGAGGGUUGAGGGCGAUCGCGUAGACUAGGCCGCCCGUUUUCUCUUUCUCCUUGUCGCUGCUAGCCAUAUUAUAAGAUCAAUCUGUUAGAUCUGCGACAAGUUAUUUUGUAAUAUAACUCUAUUUCUGGUAUCAAUCACUAUGUUAUUUCCUUUACUAGAUUCCUUCCUUUGUAUGUUUUUACCCUACGCUUUUAGGGAACUUGUCGGCGCAGGCACCCGAGCCGCGAGCACUGAGUGCGGGACGUCAGCAGCCUGCUGGCGGUGCCGCUUCCGACAAGAAACCUUGUCGCGACUAGAUGCAGCACACUUAAGUUGUUGAGCGGACUCGAAACAAAGUAAGGGCGCAACUAGCUACGAGUUGGUUCCUCUGCGCACAGGUUUUCCAUGCAAAGCACGAUCGUUCAAGGAAGAUAACUUAAAAAUUUAAACCAAUUGCUCAAACUUUGGCAACUUAGCUUUUCUGUCGUUUGCUUCCCGGCAAGGUUUCCGUCAAGGCGAAACUUUCUUGAACGACGCCUGUUCCACAUCAUUAUCUUCUCCUCCCCCCCGGCAAACUUGUGCGCGAGGGAAUCUUCCUUCCUUUGAGAAAAAGAAAGAAGAGAAAAUAACGAUAUGGAGCCUUACGACUCGUUAUUGCUUACCGGGGGUAGGUGCUGCACAAAGUGUCAGAAAAAGCAUGCAAAUAUAUGGAAAAAAAAGCAUGAAAUUGACAAGAUGUGCGGAGCACAUGAGCUUUACUUGUGCACGGGAUCUGCGCCCGGCUUUGUACAAAGGAUUACACGCAACAUCGGCAAGACUUGUACAAAAGGUGGUUGCCGUAACAGGUUCCGGCAACCGCGCCCUAUGGGUAAAACUUACGAAGAUGCUCAAUGUUCCAGGAGUUGCUCACCGGAAUGCCAUCUUCGGUCUCAAGGCGGACAGCGCCGGGCCUAGUGACUCGUUUCACCCGGUAAGGGCCUUCCCACUUCGGCGUCAACUUGUUGGAAUUCUUGGCGGACUGAACGCGCCGAAGAACAAGGUCGCCUUCCUCGAAGCUUCUGGCUUUAACUUUGCGGCUAUGGUAGCGGCGCAAAGCUUGCUGGUAUCGAGCAGCUCAUACAGCAGCCUGAAGACGAUCCUCCUCAAGGAGCAGCGCGUCAUCUUGUCGCAGCUGCUCUUGCUCAAGCUCAUCAUAAGUGAGCACUCGAGGUGACCCGUAUACGAGUUCCGUGGGGAGAACUGCCUCUGCUCCAUAGACUAGAGCGAAAGGUGUCUGGCCAGUGGCUCGAUUUGGCAUCGUCCUGAUCGACCAAAGAACCACCGGCAGCUCGUCGAUCCAGUUUCUUCCGGACCUGUGCAACCUAUCGAAAGUUCUGAUCUUGAGCCCGCGCAGCACUUCAGCAUUUGCCCUCUCCGCUUGACUGUUGCUUCUCGGAUGAGCAACAGAAGCGAAGCAGAUCUUGGCGCCAAGAUCUUGGAUGUACUGCAUGAAGGUGCGGCUCGUGAAUUGUGUGCCGUUGUCGGUGAUGAUCCUGUUAGGGAUCCCGAAACGGCAAACAAUUGACCUGAAGAACUUGAUUGCUGAAUGUGCUGUCACCUUCCUCACUGGUUCCACUUCCGGCCACUUUGUGAACUUGUCGAUUGCAACGUACAAGUACUCAAAGCCCCCGACAGCUCGGGGAAAGGGGCCGAGGAUAUCGAGCCCCCAGACCGAAAAUGGCCAGGAUAAAGGGAUCGUCUGGAGAGCUUGAGCUGGCUGGUGUAUCUGCUUGGAAUGGAACUGGCACGCUCCACACUUGGUUACUUGUGCAGUUGCAUCCUGGAGGGCUGUCGGCCAAAAGAAACCUUGCUGGAACGCUUUGCCGGCAAGUGCUCUUGCGCCAAUGUGGUGGCCACAUAUGCCUCCAUGUAUCUCUGCCAACAACUUUUGUCCGUCUUCCCGGCAAAUACACUUCAAUUUCACACCGUUGAGUCUUCUUCUGUACAGUAUGCUAUCGACAAACUGGUACAUACUUGACUGCCGGUCUACUUUUUCUGCUUCUUCUUGCUCUUCGGGAAGCUCUCCUGUCUGAAGGAAAUGGACAAUCUGCUGUGCCCAUGCUGGAGCUUGUGGCUCGACAACAAGGACUAAAGGCACAUCUGCUGCUGUGGGAACAUCCUCUUCUACGGCGAGCACCUGCGGCUCAGCCGGAGCUUGAUGUUCCCCAGCAAGCUUGCCGGAGCAAAGCUUGUCGAGAGCGUCUGCUACGACGGAACAAACCAUAAGGCUUGCCGGAGCAGAUUGCUCCUCAGCAUCCUUGGUGUUGAUCUUGGGGACCUUCUUGACGGCGGCUUCAGGGAGCUCUGCCGGAAAAUAGUCACGAGAAAUCAACUUCCUCUUCUUAUUCUGUCCAGUUGAUGGCGUUACGGAUGGUUGAGUCAGCCUGAGCACAAAGAUCCCUGGUUCCACAAGUAACUUUAGUGCGGCGCACUUCGACAGGCCAUCAGCAAUGUCAUUCUGAGCUCUCGAAACAUGUUCCAUCUGUAGGCCGUCGAAGUGCUCUUCUAGCUUUCUCACUUCAUCAACAUAUGCUUCCAUCAAUGGACUCUGAUAGUUCUUGUUCACUUGGCGGACGACAAGCUGUGAGUCACCCCUGACAAUGAGCUUCUUGAUCCCAAGGUCUGCUACGAUCCUGAGACCGGCAAGAAAUCCUUCAUACUCUGCAGUAUUGUUGGUUGCUUGCUCCUUGGGAAAGUGCAUCUGGACUACGUACUUGAGGUGCUCUCUGGUGGGUGCGACAAGCAGCACGCCCGCACCGGCGCCUUGCAGCGAGAAGGCACCAUCAAAGUACAUCAGCCACUCUUUGCUCGCCUCCUUGACGGGGAUGCUCGUCUCUGGAAUUUCUUCAUGUUGUGUUGGCGUCCACUCUGCUAUAAACUCUGCCAAUGCUCUGCUUUGGAUAGUUGACGUACUUUCAAACUUGAGGCCAAAGCUUGACAGUUCCAGUGCCCACUCGACAAUCCUGCCUGUUGCUUCUGGAUUUUGCAGUAUCCUCUUCAGCGGAAAACGAGUGACGACUGUGAUCUCAUGCGCAAGUAAUGGCGCAACUUUCUCGAGGCCAUGAGAAGGCCGAAAAGCAAUUUCUGCACACCAGAGUACCUUGAUCUAGCCCCCUGCAGAAGGGAACUGACAAAGUAAACUGGGCGCUGUACCAUUCUCUUCUGCAUCUUGUCAUGCUCUUGCGCAGAUCCAUCCUUGUCGGGACCAGAGCUUGUCGGCGAAGCCCCUUGCUUGUCGCUGGAUCCAUCUGCCGUGGUUGCCGGCUCAUCAUCUGCCUCCCUCUCCGCCACUAACGCAGCACUAACCACUUGAUUGGUUGCCGCUAUAUACAGCAGCAACUUCUCUUGUGACUUAGGUGCGACAAGUGUUGGAGUGGAGGACAGGUACCUCUUCAAGUCCUGCAGCGCAGCCUCCGCUUCCGGAGUCCAUUUCAUUGGACCUGCCUUUUUCAAUAUUUUGAAAAAUGGCAGGGCGCGCUCAGCAGAUCUAGAGAUAAACCUGCUGAGAGCAGCCACGCAACCGGCAAGCCUUCGUACAUCCUUGACGUGCUUUGGUGCUUCGAUCUGCUCAAUGGCCUUGAUCUUGUCGGGAUUGGCUUCAAUUCCGCGUUGAGACACAAAGAACCCGAGAAGCUUGCCGGAAGGGACUCCAAACACGCACUUCUCGGGAUUAAGCUUGAGGUUGAUCUUGCGCAGAUUUGCAAAUGUCUCAUCCAAAUCUUGAAUCAGGGUCGCCCAGUCCUUGCUCUUGACCCCUAUGUCAUCCAUGUAGGCUUCCACAUUUCUGUGCAUUUGUGGCUCAAAAGCGUGGUGGACUACCCUUGCAAAUGUUGAACCAGCAUUCUUCAAACCGAAGGGCAUCCAUACGAAACAGUACGUGCCACACGGGGUGAUGAAUACGGUCUUCUCCUCAUCCUCUUCUGCCAUGAAGAUCUGAUGGUAUCCUGAGUAUGCAUCAAGAAAUGAGAGCAAAUCACAUCCGGCCGUGGAGUCAACAAUCUGAUCGAUGCGCGGCAAGGGAAAUGGGUCUUUGGGACAAGCUUUAUUGACGUCGGUAAAGUCGAUACAAAGCCUCCAUUUUCCGUUAGCCUUGCGCACGACUACAGGAUUGGCCAACCACGUAGGAUGGAGCACUCCUCUGACAAGGCCUGCUGCUUCCAACUUCUUGAUUUCUUCUGCGAUGAAUUCUUGGCGCUCCACUGCCUGUUUCCUGACUUUCUGCUUGACGGGCCACGCAUGAGGACAGACGGCAAGGUGGUGCUCAAUUAGUUUCCUGGGAACACCGGGGAUGUCAGACGGUUGCCAUGCAAACACGUCAUUCGCUCACAGGAAAGCAACGAGCGCGCUUUCCUAUUUGGGGUCGAGAGUGGCACUGAUGGUGAAGGUACCACCAGUGCCGUCCUCCUUGGCAGACACCUUCUUGGUCUCAGGUGGAGUAGCCAUUGCCUUCUUACACUUGCCGGUGGAGCUCGAUGGUGCGUCCUCGACGGUAGCGCAGCACUCCGAAGAGGUGCGCUUGCCGGAGUGGGCAUCAGAGCUCUUGCCGGACCUGGUCUUCUUCAUCCCCCCGGGAGCUUCAGCGGCAAGUGACUUGCGAUCUGUUGCGGCUGUUGCUUCCCGGUAGAUCUUGUCGGCACAGAUAAGAGCAUCCUUCUUGUCGCCAGGGACAGAGAUGACACUUAUCAGGCCUGGCAUCUUCAGCAUGUUGUAGGCAUAGUGAGAGAGCGCCAUGAACUUGGCGAGUGCUGGAUGGCCAAAUAUCCCAUUGUAAGGCAAUGGAAAGUCAGCAACGUCAAAAGUGACCCUCUCAGUCCUGAAGUUCAGCUCGCUGCCAAAUGUUACCGGCAACGUGAUCUUUCCCUUCGGCUUUCUCCUUCCCGGGUUGAUUCCUUGAAAUGUACCAGUCUCUUCGAGCUCGCUGUCAGGGAUCUGGAGUUUCUGGACCACCGCGGAGGAGAUCAGGUUCAAGCCGGCCCCGCCAUCAACUAGCAUCUUAGUGACUUUGAGCUUGCGGAUAGUUGGUGAAACCAACAUCGGCAAGCACCCGACCGCAGUUAUGCGAUCAGGGUGGUCCUCAAUAUCAAAGAUGAUAGGCGUGCUGGACCAUUUCAGAGGCUUGCGUGACUCGACAGGUGGUUCUGCUGCAUUAACUUCCCGCACCCACUGCUUGAGCUGGCGGUGUGAAGUAUGCAGAGAAGCACCACCGUCAACGCACAGGACCUCUGUGGCUUUCCGGAUGUCACACCGUGCAUUUUGUAACAUUUCAUUUUCAUUAUUAAAGCAUGAAAAUUUGGACCAACAAAAACUUUUUGCAUUUUUUUGGCUUUUAUUUGGAGUUGGUUUUCUCUCUGUGUUUCUUUCAAGUGCUUCUUGAAGUCAACUACUCUGCCCUCUAUAUUCCACCUCCUUACCCCAAGCUCCUGACCAAUGACCAUGCCAUGUGAAUAGUGCUAUAUGGAGUUUUCUUACAAAAAUAAUUUGGCCAGAAAGUAUUUUCUAAAAUUAGUUUUCCAAAAACCCCUGAAUUGAGGUUUGCACUACAAGUACUUGAUUAAGGGCAGUAAAAAUCUUUCCAAAAAUAUAUUAGACUCCUAUUAGAUAUAUGAUGCCCAGGAACCACAAAAAUAUAAUUUUAAAAGUUACUGUUCUAUUUUAUUUAAAGGCUUUUUCUUAAGGCCAGAAAUGGUCUUUAAUAGGAAAAAAUUACUUUACUAUUUCAAAAAUAUUUGACAAAAUUUAGGGAAACUCAUAGGACAUAUAUUGUCCAUAUAUAAGAGUUUCAACACCUGGUCAUGUUCAAAAUAUUGGUCAAAUCCCUCUAAAACCCUUUCUGGAUAUUUCAAGCUUUUGAAAUAUUUACAAAGGAAAUAUUCUCCAAAAAUUCCAGGAAAAUUCCAUCAUGUCACAUAUGACAUAUUAGAUGAUCUUGCCAAGUCUCAUGACUUGGAGAACAAGAUAACACCAUCAAAACCCCUCAAAACUAUCUCUGUCCAUUCUGAAGUUUGAUCAACUUUACAUUGCCAAGUAUGUCCAAAUGUGCUCAAACUUGGUGGACAUGCUUCAUUGGUCUAAUGAUGCAUCUGGACCAAAUGGCACAGGUUGGAGAAUAGGAAGUCUUGGUCAAAGUGCCUCAAAACCCUCUCUGACCAGAAUCAAGUUUGAACUACUUUGCACUACCAACUUUUUCUCCAGGACCCCCUUUGGUGAGCCUGAUCAUGUGACCAAAUAAGGCUACCACACCAAGUGGCACAUCAAGGAGAAAUGAUUUACUCCACUGGAUCUACACAAAUCCAUUUCUGCCCAUUUCUAGGGUUUGCAAAAGUUGCAUUGGCAACUUUGUCCAAAUAAGCUCAAAAUGGGUGGAAGGCCCUAAAUAUAUGUGACAUUUCACCCCUUGGAGUAUCUUGGCCAGUGGGAGUCAUUAGCUUACCCAAAACUCCAUCAAACACCUUCUGGCAAAAUACUAAAAAGCCUAUUUUUGCCACUUUCACUAAUCUCCUUGAGUUCAUCUUUUUGCCACAACCCCUCCUCACUCCCCUCUGUCACUUAGACACUUUUCUACCCGAGGAAGCAAUGUGGAGGAAGGAGGGAAUCACGUUUGUCCUCUCUGGACAACAGCUUCCCUUCUCUCUCCCAGCCUCUCUCUCUCCCCUCUGCACCCCAGAGCAUCCCAGGCUCUUUCCAGGUUUUGCCCCCUUCCACUGUAGCCUCCAGACAGAAAAGGACGCGCGCGCGACGCGGAAAACCCACGGAUGCCGGCCAAAGUCGCGCUCUGGAGCGCCUGCCAGAGCGCCGACCGUUGACACCGCGCCUCCCGACCGCCUCGUGCCUUCCCAUCGCGCCAGUUGAUGUGUCUUGACGUCUGCGACACGCCGCCGUGCCGUCCCCAUUGUCUCUCCCUCUCUCUCCCCUCCUGCAGCGCGUGCCCGACGCCGUCCGGCUCGGCCAAUGGCCGGCCUCACACGCGCGGGCGCCAGAACACUCCCCCGCUCUCUCUCCUCCUCCCUGGCGCCCUACUCCAUCCCCACGAGCGCCGUGGACAGCUCCAACCUCUCUCCAACGGCUUCCAGAGCCGAUCCCGCGGGCGCCCGUAGGCCACGCCCACGGUGAACCGCGGCCAGCCUAUAUAAGGCGCUCCCGAGCCCUCCUCUUCCUCCCUGUCGCCCCUCCACACACCCAAUCCACCCCCGGAACCACCCACUUCUCUCCAGAGCCGCCCGAGCUCGAGAUCGAGCUCGAGCUCCGCCGCCUCGGGUCGCCGUCGAUCUGCGGGUACAGGCCUCCUCCGCUCCUUUUCUCUCUCGAACUGGACUCCCCUCGCCUCACUGAUGUUUUCCCCUCUCUUUCCCCCUCGUUUUGCAGCCGGAAACGGCCGGAACCACCGGCGCCCGAAGCACCUCUGCCGCGGGACCUCGUCGCCGGCGAAGCAGGCCACCCCGGCGACCGUCUCCACCACCACCAGAACCGCGACUCGCUCCUGAGUCCAACGGUAGCCUCCGCGCCCCUUCCCGUGCCCUGUAUCGCCGCCGGCGAGCUCGCCGUCGCCUCUGGCCGGAGGUAGACGACGGCCGCCGUGGGGCCGGCCCGUCAGCCACACGCCCUGACGGGUGGGAUCCACCCGUCAGGUUUAAAACGUGCGCGCGCGCGCGCACCGAUCCGCCGUCGGCUGAAGGCGUAUUCAACCUUUACGCCUUCGAUGUGGCGGCCGCGUGGGCUGGGUUUCCCCCCCCCCCUGGGCCUGCUGCUGCUGUGGCCUCUCUGGCCCAGUGGCACAGCGCCGUUUCUCUUUUUCCUUUUCUGUAUUAUUUCCAAAAAUUCCACAGGACAGAAUAUUAAUCCAAAUGCAUUGAUUCCAAUUUCUAAAUUCCUAGAAUAUUGCAACCUAUUUAAUGGUGCAACUUUCAUUCAAAUCCAACCACCUUUUAUUCUCUGUAAAUAUUUAAAUGUGGUUUUUAGCAUUUAAAUAGGCCUUUGAAAAUCCAUAACUCCUAUUUUGCUGCUCCAAAACCAAAACCAAAAGUUGUCCCCUUCCUAGCCUUCCUCUUAGUAUUUUACAAAAAUAAGUUGACAUUUUUGUGAGCACUUUGACUUUUCUGUUUUUAUUAUUGUCUUAUUUUCCCGUUGUUUUCUUGCGACGUUAGAUCCCGUGUUUGACGAGGUAGCUGAGGAAGAAGGAGGAGCAGAGCCUGAAGACUUUGAAGAUCAAGCCAACCAAGGCAAGUAGCCCUUUGACCAUGACUAUGAUACCCCUUUAUAUGCAUGUCAUUUUUAGCUCUUUAUUAUCGAUGCAUCGGAAUCAUGAUGAGAUGGUGAACCACGUGGGUUGGUUACCACGAUUACUUCCUCGUUGAUACUUGCAGUGUGCAUGGCCCUACCUUCUUAUGAGGGUUAUGCCGGUGGGAGUAGAUAGGAUGCAAAUGUAGAUGCUACGCAAAUGGGGUGGGUUUGUGCAUGGUGAAGGAGGCAAUGUGAUUUCAAAAGUCUUUUCGAAAACCCCGUCGGGUGCCACCUAUGCCCGAGGGAGAUGAUGAGAUGGGUGACCACUUGAUGACGAAGUGGUGUGCCAAGGAAGGUGUGUGUUGUUUUCAAAACGGAUUGGUCGGAGUUGCGACCGUUAUUCCAACCUUACAUGCGCGACCACUCUACCCUUAUAUGGGAAAGGGCAUUAUUGAGUACCUAGACCGAUACUAGCUUGGAGCCUGCAUUACUAGUGACGGGGGAGAGUUGGUGCUCUCUCUUGGGACGGGGUCGUGCCAGGUAGGGCGGCCAUGACUGUUUUCACAGGGCACCGGACACACCGUUGGUACCCCGUGCUUGUGGUAUGUGAUGAAAAUGGGAGCGAGGCUCCACAACUUUAUGAUGUGAAAUGUUCGGCACGGGGGUUACUACCAAUCGAGUGGACUCCAUGUUAGUGUCGUCUAGGGAAAGGUAGUGAUCGGGUGCUUACCUCGGGUACUUGAGGUACCGCGGGUCGUGGAUGACACGGAAGUUCCCCGGAUCUAGUGGGUAAAGUGUGCAACCUCUGCAGAGUGUAAAACUAUUCGAAUAGCCGUGUCCACGGUCAAGGACAGUUGGGUAACCGCUCUUGGGCUACGUCCACUUGUUUUCAAACCCGGUGUGUGUGAGAUGAUGGUGUUGUCUUGGAUCAAGUCAGAGGACUUGACACGAUUGAGAUGGGUUGGUGCCCUCUCUGUUUAUGAUAAAUGGGUUGGUGCCCCUUUCUAUUUAUGUUGAUAUCUGUGACCAGAUCUUAUGGUUACUUGAAUUCUCUUGAUGCAUGCUUUAUAGGAUGUUGAACAUGUCCUGCACUCAAAACUAGCUUUAUGCAAAACUUUACCUAUGUCAUGCAUUACUGUACCUUGAACCAAAUCAUGGGUUGCUUGCGAGUACAUUCAAAGUACUCAUUGGCUUGCCACUAGUUAUUUAAUUGACCAGGCAUGGGAGAACCGGAGUUCGAAGAAGAGUUCUUUGGAGACGAUCAUGCGAACUAGGACGUUCCCAGUCAGAAUGCCUGUAGGGUUAAGGAAGAUGGCAUGGGUUCUACUUAUCGACGACGAUUUCCGCUGCUAUGUUUCAUUUGAUGUUCAGCCCUUAAGGCUUUAUCGAUGUAAGACUUGACCAUGUUGGUCACUAUUUGUGUAAGACGGUAUGUAUGGAUGUAAGACUCUUGUUAUUCAGCUUCUGUGUGUUCAGUGAGCAUUGAUCUCUGGGAUCACUGUACACGUGCAUUCGGUGAUCACGACUUGCGAGUCGGGGUCCCCACAGAGCUGGUACCAGAGCCAUCCUGACUGUAGGAAGCCUUAGUUAGCAUGGACGUUAGUUAGAGCGAGACUAUCCACCAGGUUACCCAUAUACCUAUGUUUAUGUUAGUAUCCCAAACAUAGGUCACAUUCCUUUAUUGACCCUUUCCCUUCCACUUUUUGUAGAUGGCCGCCGUACCCGAGGACUUCCUGACCACUGGGUUUCCUGUGCUUCUUGAGGAUAGCCUCAGGAAGUGCCAGUUCACUCGAGUCCCCACCUUCUCCUACCACGAGCACUGGGUCGACAGCACCAAGAGGGAGUAUCACGUGGAGGUAGUCGUGAGGGCGAAUGACGCCCCGAUGAGCUGGUUCUUUGAGGGACCCCAGAUGGCGACACUGCUUCUCGCCGUGGAGACUGCUGCCCUCAAGGCGCUGACUCGCCUCCGGGAUCUCCUGCCAGAGAUGGCGAGAGAGCCAGCCACUCGUUACCUACCUUAUCGUAAGGAAGGUGAUGACGAGAGCAGUGCACCAGCACCACCCUUGGACGAGGGACUUUCUCUCCGCUUCCAGACCUACUUCAGCUUGUGUGCCGAUAGUCUGGCACAACACCUGGCCUCGGAGUCGACGGAGCUUCGGAAGGAACUCCGCGAGACCAAGGAGCUCCUCCGCAUAGUUCAGAUGAAGGCAGACAGGAUCAAGAAGGAUGGAGCGCCCCCUGGACAGCCCGCAGUAGCGUAUCGAGGCGGACGACCCCCACAGGUCGCACAUGCCGAGGGACCACCUCAGCCACGCCGUAUGACGGCAAAGGAGUACCGCAACCUCUUCAAAACGCCACCAGCAAAGCAGCGCCGUGUUCUGCUCCUUCACUCCCCCGCUUCCUCGAGCGAUGAGGAGACCAAGACAGAUGAAGAUGAGGAGGAAGAUCCAGAGGAGCCAGAAUACCCGACCGAGCAUUCCACCACUUAGACUCCGUUCAGGACUAGGAUAGGCUAGCUCGUAGCCUAUGGUAGGAUAGGUCGUGUACCCCUUUUGCGAAGUCGAGUCCUUGUAAUGGUUCUUGUGAAACCAUGUUAUGUUGCGUUUGCGUUCAGCUUGCUUUCAUGAAGUCGUACUUUCCCUUCGGGAACUUGUAAACGACUACAUUCCUCAUUUGGUUUUAAUGCAUGAGUUUGGCCCUUCUGGCCUUUGUUUAACUUAAAUUGUGUCACACCACCCCCUUACUAGGCAUUCCAUCUAUACUGCUUUCCCUCAUUGUUGUUCCCAAUCAUGAGACCUUGACCGCUCCAACAGGAUGCCUGUUGUAACACGUACUGGUACCUCUACCCAGCCGCAAGGAGCCGGAGGUUCUGCUGAGGCCGGAGCCAGCCAGGACCAAGCCCAAGGACAGACUCCACCACCACCACCUCCUCCAAGCAUGGAUAUGGCUCAGCUUCUCCAAGCCUUUCAAGAGGAGCGCCAAGCCAACACUGCAGCCCUCCAGAUGAUUGCUCAGGCUGUCAACCGCCAGCCGGCGGGGCACGUCCAUGGACGUUCCACACUGGUGGAAUUCAAGAAGCAUGCACCACCCACUUUCAUCGAGACUGCUGAACCCCUGGAUGCAGACGACUGGGUCCGCACCAUUGAGGAUCUGCUGGCACUAGUCGGAUGCACUGAGGACCGUGAUAAAGUGGCGUAUGCUGCCCACUGUCUCGGGGGGACUGCCAGAGCUUGGUGGGAUGGAUUCAAGGCUAUGCAUGUUGAGCAAGACAUCACUUGGGACACCUUCAAGACGGAAUUCCGCAAGGCCCACAUCCCUUCUGGAAUCAUGGCCAUCAAGAAGCGUGAGUUCCGAGCCCUGAAGCAAGGUAGUAGCACUGUCAAGGAGUACAUGCAGAAGUUCAGUGUUCUCUCAAGGUAUGCCCCUGAGGAUGUCAGCACUGAUGCUGCCAAAAGGGAGCGCUUCAUGGAAGGCCUUAACUAGACUCUGCAGUACUCGCUUGUUGUGUGUGACUGCCCAACCUUUCCUGAUCUGGUGAACAAGGCACUCAUGCUUGAGGACAAGCGACGUGCCUUGGAUGACACUCGUAAGCGCAAGAUGAUCAGCAAGGGUAGCUCCAGCAACCAGAAGCCUCGCCCGUGGCAGCCAGCCCCGGUCAAGCCAACCUAUCAGCAGCCAAGAGCUCCUGCACCUCGCACCAACUAUCCACCUCAGCAGUAUGCCAACCCCAGGCCAGCUUACAACAACCCCAAUAACAAUGCUGGCAAGGGCGUCGUCCCCAAUCAAGUCACUUGUUUCGGAUGUGGACAGCCAGGGCAUUACUCCAAGAAUUGCCCCAACAAGAAACCUGACGCCCCGCGCCCCAAUGCGCAGAACCCGGGACAAGGCCGUGGAAUGCCACCAAGGAACCAAGCUCCCCGCAACUUGCCCAACAAUGGCAGGGGUCGUGUGAAUCAUGUCACCACGGAAGAAGCCCAGGAAGACCCGGACAUCGUGCUGGGUACGUUCCUUGUCAAUUCAGCACCCGCAACUGUUUUGUUUGAUUCUGGAGCCACGCAUUCUUUUGUCACCCAAAGUUUUGCAUUAAAAAGUGGCAUGACCCCUACACCCCUGAAUAACCCUAUGGUGGUACAAACCCCCGGAGCAGAGAUGAGAGCCAAGAUAGGAUGUAAAGGAGUCGGGAUUACCAUUAACGGGGUAGACUUCCUAGCAGACCUUAUCAUCCUAAAAUCACAAGGCUUGGAUGUGAUCUUGGGAAUGGAUUGGCUCAGCAAGCACCAAGGCUUGAUUGAUUGCGCCAACCGGACGGUCACUAUGACCAAUGACCGAGGAGUCAAAGUCAAAUUUGCCUCCAGCCCCUCUUCUGCUCAAGCCAACCAAGCCAACUGUCUGACUGAAGUUGGAUUGGAACAAGUGCCGGUAGUAUGCGAGUAUUCCGAUGUUUUUCCUGAUGAGCUACCAGGAAUGCCUCCUGACCGAGACAUUGAGUUCAUCAUCGAGCUCAUACCCGGAGCAGGACCCAUCUAUAAGAAGCCUUAUAGGAUGGGAUCGGAGGAGUUAGCAGAAUUGAAGAAGCAGUUGGAAGAGCAGUUGAGGAAGGGAUUUAUCCGCCCUAGUGCCUCCCCUUGGGGAUCACCUGUUCUGUUUGUGGCAAAGAAGGACGGUACCAUCCGCUUAUGCAUUGACUACCGCUCCCUCAACGAGGUUACAAUCAAGAACAAGUACCCACUUCCCAAGAUUGAAGAUCUGUUUGAUCAACUCAAUGGGGCCAAGGUGUUCUCCAAGAUCGACCUCAGAUCUGGGUACUACCAACUGAAGAUCAGACCCCAAGAUAUUCCGAAGACGGCAUUCGUAACCAGAUAUGGCCUGUAUGAAUGCACGGUCAUGUCCUUUGGGUUGACCAAUGCCUCAGCUUACUUCAUGUAUCUCAUGAAUAAGGUCUUCAUGGAAUAUUUGGACAAGUUCGUCGUCGUCUUCAUUGAUGACAUUCUUGUCUUCUCGAAGUCGGAAGAAGAGCACGAGCAACACUUGAGGAUGGUCCUAGACAAGCUUCGAGAGCACCAACUGUAUGCCAAGUUUAGCAAGUGUGAAUUCUGGCUGCGUGAAGUUGGAUUUCUGGGACAUGUUCUAACAGAAGAGGGAUUGUCAGUCGACCCUGCCAAGAUAGAAGCCGUGACUGAAUGGCAAUCCCCGAGCAAUGUGAAGGAAGUCAGAAGCUUCCUCGGACUCGCGGGAUAUUACCGCAAGUUCGUUGAAGGAUUCUCAAGCAUUGCCCGACCCAUGACUCAGCUCUUGAAGAAGGACAAGAAGUUCGAAUGGACGCCGAAGUGCGAAGAAAGCUUCCAGGAGCUGAAGAAGAGGCUAACCACCGCUCCAGUUCUGGCCACACCAGAUAUACACAAGGAGUUUGUGAUAUAUUGUGAUGCGUCAAGAAUCGGACUGGGAGGUGUUCUGAUGCAAGAAGGCAGAGUCGUGGCCUACCUUUCAAGGCAGCUACGACCUCACGAAGAGAACUACGCUACUCAUGACCUUGAGCUAGCAGCAGUGGUUCAUGCCCUGAAGACUUGGCGACAUUACCUCUUGGGGAAGCGAUGUGAGGUAUACACGGAUCACAAAAGUCUGAAGUAUAUUUUCACUCAGAGGGAAUUGAACAUGAGGCAGAGAAGAUGGCUGGAGUUGAUAAAGGAUUAUGACCUCAGUGUUCAAUACCACCCUGGAAAGGCUAAUGUGGUAGUAGACGCGUUGAGCAGGAAGGCUUGCUCCUUGAAUGCUAUGCUAAAGCACAAGCUACCCGCCUUGUAUGAAGAACUUGAAAGCUUCGGGUUGGAACUGGUUGCACCAGGAUUCUUGGCCAGCCUCGAAGUUAAGCCUACCUUGAUGGAUGAUAUCAAGAAAGCUCAGAAGGGGCAUGAGAGUAUUGAAGGCAUCAAGAGGAAGAUCAAGGCAGGCAAAGCCUCAGGAUUCUCAGAAGAUGAGGAAGGAAUUGUGUGGUUUGGGAAUCGCAUCUGCGUGCCCAACAAGGUUGAGCUCAAGAACCUGAUCUUGCAAGAAGCUCAUGACAGCCCAUAUUCCAUCCACCCUGGAGGCACCAAGAUGUAUCAAGACCUGAAGGAAAGAUUUUGGUGGCACGGGAUGAAAAGGGAGAUUGCCACCUAUGUUGCAAAAUGCGACGUAUGCCAGAGAGUCAAAGCUGAGCAUCAGCGACCCGCUGGAUUGUUGCAACCCCUUAAGGUGCCUGAAUGGAAGUGGGACAGAGUCGGGAUGGACUUCAUCACCGGUUUACCCAGGUCAAGCAAGGGACAUGACUCAAUAUGGGUCAUCGUUGACCAUCUGACCAAGGUGGCCCACUUCAUUCCUGUCAAGACGACCAACAAGGGGAACCAGUUAGCCAGUCUCUACAUCAACCGAAUCGUGAGCCUUCAUGGUGUUCCCAAGGAGAUUGUGUCAGAUCGAGGAACCCAGUUCACCUCAAGGUUUUGGAAGAAAUUCCAGGAGGCUAUGGGGACCAAGUUGUCCUUCAGCACUGCUUUCCACCCACAGACCGGAGGUCAGACCGAGCGAGUGAAUCAAAUACUCGAAGACAUGCUCCGAGCCUGUGUCUUAGCUUAUGGAGCUAAGUGGGAAGAUUGCCUCCCUUUCGCCGAGUUCUCUUACAACAACAGUUAUCAGGCCAGCCUUCAGAUGGCACCAUUUGAAGUGUUAUACGGGCGGAAGUGCCGUACACCUCUCAACUGGUCGGAGACCGGAGAAGGACUUGUCUUUGGGCCUGAUAUCCUUCGCGAAGCAGAAGAGCAAGUCCAGCUUGUCAGAGAGCGUCUGAAGUCUGCCAAGUCAAGGCAGAAGAGCUAUGCGGACUCACGUCGCAGAGACAUAAACUUCCGAGUUGGAGACCAUGUCUAUCUCCGGGUCACCCCUCUCAAAGGAGCCCAGCGCUUUCAUGUCAAGGGAAAGCUCGCUCCGAGAUACAUUGGGCCCUUCAAGAUCACUGAGCGACGAGGAGAAGUGGCUUACCAGUUGGAACUUCCACCUGAACUUUCUGAUGUGCACAACGUGUUCCACGUGUCACAACUCCGGAAGUGUCUCCAAGUUCCAGACAAGCCCGACCUCUACAAGGACGUCAAUCACCAAGCCGUUGAUCUUCAACCUGAUUUGACUUAUCGUGAGCGGCCCAUCUGCAUUCUGGAUGAGGCUGAGCGACGCACUCGAAGGCGCACCAUCAAGUACUUCAAGGUCCAAUGGAGCAACCACACUGAAGCAGAAGCAACUUGGGAGCGUGAAGACUACCUUAGAUCCGAAUUUCCGUAUCUCUUUUAAGCCUAGUUUAGGAAUCUCGGGGACGAGAUUCUUGUAAGGGGGGUAGGUCUGUCACACCCUGCAUUUUGUAACAUUUCAUUUUCAUUAUUAAAGCAUGAAAGUUUGGACCAACAAAAACUUUUUUUUGCAUUAUUUGGCUUUUAUUUGGAGUUGGUUUCCUCUCUGUGUUUCUUUCAAGUGCUUCUUGAAGUCAACUACUCUACCCUCUAAAUUCCAUCUCCUUACCCCAAGCUCCUGACCAAUGACCAUGCCAGGUGAAUAGUGCUAUAUAGAAUUUUCUUACAAAAAUAAUUUGGCCAGAAAGUAUUUUCUAAAAUUAGUUUUCCAAAAACCCCUGAAUUGAGGUUUGCACUGCAAGUACUUGAUUAAGGGCAGUAAAAAUCAUUCCAAAAAUAUAUUUGACUCCUAUUAGAUAUAGGAUGCCCAGGAACCACAAACCUAUAAUUUUAAAAAUUGUUUUACUAUUUUAUUUAAAGGCUUUUUCUUAAGGCCAGAAAUGGUCUUUAAUAGGGAAAAAUUAUUUUAUUGUUUUAAAAAUAUUUGACAAAAUUUAUGGAAACUCAUAGGACAUAUAUUGUCCAUAUAUAAGAGUUUCAACACCUGGUCAUGUUCAAAAUAUUGGUCAAAUCCCUCUAAAACCCUUUCUGGAUAUUUCAAGCUUUUGAAAUAUUUACAAAGGAAAUAUUCUCCAAAAAUUCCAGGAAAAUUCCAUCAUGUCACAUAUGACAUAUUAGAUGAUCUUGCCAAGUCUCAUGACUUGGAGAACAUGAUAACACCAUCAAAACCCCUCAAAACUAUCUCUGUCCAUUCUGAAGUUUGAUCAACUUUACAUUGCCAAGUAUGUCCAAAUGUGCUCAAACUUGGUGGACAUGCUUCAUUGGUCUAAUGAUGCAUCUGGACCAAAUGGCACAGGUUGGAGAAUAGGAAGUCUUGGUCAAAGUGCCUCAAAACCCUCUCUGACCAGAAUCAAGUUUGAACUACUUUGCACUACCAACUUUUUCUCCAGGACCCCAACUUUGGUGAGCCUGAUCAUGUGACCAAAUAAGGCUACCACACCAAGUGGCACAUCAAGGAGAAAUGAUUUACUCCACUGGAUCUACACAAAUCCAUUUCUGCCCAUUUCUAGGGUUUGCAAAAGUUGCAUUGGCAACUUUGUCCAAAUAAGCUCAAAAUGGGUGGAAGGCCCUAAAUAUAUGUGACAUUUCACCCCUUGGAGUAUCUUGGCCAGUGGGAGUCAUUAGCUUACCCAAAACUCCAUCAAACACCUUCUGGCAAAAUACUAAAAAGCCUAUUUUUGCCACUUUCACUAAUCUCCUUGAGUUCAUCUUUUUGCCACAACCCCUCCUCACUCCCCUCUGUCACUUAGACACUUUUCUACCCGAGGAAGCAAUGUGGAGGAAGGAGGGAAUCAUGUUUGUCCUCUCUGGACAACAGCUUCCCUUCUCUCUCCCAGCCUCUCUCUCUCCCCUCUGCACCCCAGAGCAUCCCAGGCUCUUUCCAGGUUUUGCCCCCUUCCACUGUAGCCUCCAGACAGAAAAGGACGCGCGCGCGACGCGGAAAACCCACGGAUGCCGGCCAAAGUCGCGCUCUGGAGCGCCUGCCAGAGCGCCGACCGUUGACACCGCGCCUCCCGACCGCCUCGUGCCUUCCCAUCGCGCCAGUUGAUGUGUCUUGACGUCUGCGACACGCCGCCGUGCCGUCCCCAUUGUCUCUCCCUCUCUCUCCCCUCCUGCAGCGCGUGCCCGACGCCGUCCGGCUCGGCCAAUGGCCGGCCUCACACGCGCGGGCGCCAGAACACUCCCCCGCUCUCUCUCCUCCUCCCUGGCGCCCUACUCCAUCCCCACGAGCGCCGUGGACAGCUCCAACCUCUCUCCAACGGCUUCCAGAGCCGAUCCCGCGGGCGCCCGUAGGCCACGCCCACGGUGAACCGCGGCCAGCCUAUAUAAGGCACUCCCGAGCCCUUCUCUUCCUCCCUGUCGCCCCUCCACACACCCAAUCCACCCCCGGAACCACCCACUUCUCUCCAGAGCCGCCCGAGCUCGAGAUCGAGCUCGAGCUCCGCCGCCUCGGGUCGCCGUCGAUCUGCGGGUACAGGCCUCCUCCGCUCCUUUUCUCUCUCGAACUGGACUCCCCUCGCCUCACUGAUGCUUUCCCCUCUCUUUCCCCCUCGUUUUGCAGCCGGAAACGGCCGGAACCACCGGCGCCCGAAGCACCUCCGCCGCGGGACCUCGUCGCCGGCGAAGCAGGCCACCCCGGCGACCGUCUCCACCACCACCAGAACCGCGACUCGCUCCUGAGUCCAACGGUAGCCUCCGCGCCCCUUCCCGUGCCCUGUAUCGCCGCCGGCGAGCUCGCCGUCGCCUCUAGCCGGAGGUAGACGACGGCCGCCGUGGGGCCGGCCCGUCAGCCACACGCCCUGACGGGUGGGAUCCACCCGUCAGGUUUAAAACGUGCGCGCGCGCGCGCACCGAUCCGCCGUCGGCUGAAGGCGUAUUCAGCCUUUACGCCUUCGAUGUGGCGGCCGCGUGGGCUGGGUUUCCCCCCCCCCCCUGGGCCUGCUGCUGCUGUGGCCUCUCUGGCCCAGUGGCACAGCGCCGUUUCUCUUUUUCCUUUUCUGUAUUAUUUCCAAAAAUUCCACAGGGCAGAAUAUUAAUCCAAAUGCAUUGAUUCCAAUUUCUAAAUUCCUAGAAUAUUGCAACCUAUUUAAUGGUGCAACUUUCAUUCAAAUCCAACCACCUUUUAUUCUCUGUAAAUAUUUAAAUGUGGUUUUUAGCAUUUAAAUAGGCCUUUGAAAAUCCAUAACUCCUAUUUUGCUGCUCCAAAACCAAAACCAAAAGUUGUCCCCUUCCUAGCCUUCCUCUUAGUAUUUUACAAAAAUAAGUUCACAUUUUUGUGAGCACUUUGACUUUUCUGUUUUUAUUAUUGUCUUAUUUUCCCGUUGUUUUCUUGCGACGUUAGAUCCCGUGUUUGACGAGGUAGCUGAGGAAGAAGGAGGAGCAGAGCCUGAAGACUUUGAAGAUCAAGCCAACCAAGGCAAGCAGCCCUUUGACCAUGACUAUGAUACCCCUUUAUAUGCAUGUCAUUUUUAGCUCUUUAUUAUCGAUGCAUCGGAAUCAUGAUGAGAUGGUGAACCACGUGGGUUGGUUACCACGAUUACUUCCUCGUUGAUACUUGCAGUGUGCAUGGCCCUACCUUCUUAUGAGGGUUAUGCCGAUGGGAGUAGAUAGGAUGCAAAUGUAGAUGCUACGCAAAUGGGGUGGGUUUGUGCAUGGUGAAGGAGGCAAUGUGAUUUCAAAAGUCUUUUCGAAAACCCCGUCGGGUGCCACCUAUGCCCGAGGGAGAUGAUGAGAUGGGUGACCACUUGAUGACGAAGUGGUGUGCCAUGGAAGGUGUGUGUUGUUUUCAAACGGAUUGGUCGGAGUUGCGACCGUUAUUCCAACCUUACAUGCGCGACCACUCUACCCUUAUAUGGGAAAGGGCAUUAUUGAGUACCUAGACCGAUACUAGCUUGGAGCCCGCAUUACUAGUGACGGGGGAGAGUUGGUGCUCUCUCUUGGGACGGGGUCGUGCCAGGUAGGGCGGCCAUGACUGUUUUCACAGGGCACCGGACACACCGUUGGUACCCCGUGCUUGUGGUAUGUGAUGAAAAUGGGAGCGAGGCUCCACAACUUUAUGAUGUGAAAUGUUCGGCACGGGGGUUACUACCAAUCGAGUGGACUCCAUGUUAGUGUCGUCUAGGGAAAGGUAGUGAUCGGGUGCUUACCCCGGGUACUUGAGGUACCGCGGGUCGUGGAUGACACGGAAGUUCCCCGGAUCUAGUGGGUAAAGUGUGCAACCUCUGCAGAGUGUAAAACUAUUCGAAUAGCCGUGUCCACGGUCAAGGACAGUUGGGUAACCGCUCUUGGGCUACGUCCACUUGUUUUCAAACCCGGUGUGUGUGAGAUGAUGGUGUGUCUUGGAUCAAGUCAGAGGACUUGACACGAUUGAGAUGGGUUGGUGCCCUCUCUGUUUAUGAUAAAUGGGUUGGUGCCCCUUUCUAUUUAUGUUGAUAUCUGUGACCAGAUCUUAUGGUUACUUGAAUUCUCUUGAUGCAUGCUUUAUAGGAUGUUGAACAUGUCCUGCACUCAAAACUAGCUUUAUGCAAAACUUUACCUAUGUCAUGCAUUACUGUACCUUGAACCAAAUCAUGGGUUGCUUGCGAGUACAUUCAAAGUACUCAUUGGCUUGCCACUGGUUAUUUAAUUGACCAGGCAUGGGAGAACCGGAGUUCGAAGAAGAGUUCUUUGGAGACGAUCAUGCGAACUAGGACGUUCCCAGUCAGAAUUCCUGUAGGGUUAAGGCAGAUGGCAUGGGUUCUACUUAUCGACGACGAUUUCCGCUGCUAUGUUUCAUUUGAUGUUCAGCCCUUAAGGCUUUAUCGAUGUAAGACUUGACCAUGUUGGUCACUAUUUGUGUAAGACGGUAUGUAUGGAUGUAAGACUCUUGUUAUUCAGCUUCUGUGUGUUCAGUGAGCAUUGAUCUCUGGGAUCACUGUACACGUGCAUUCGGUGAUCACGACUUGCGAGUCGAGGUCCCCACACUGGAACUCCUGCUCAUCAGUCUCAUCAUCAUCCAUGUCUUCAUUGUCGUUGUCAUCUUCAUCCUUGUCGCGGCCGCGAGGAGGUCUGUCUCCUUGCCGCUGCUUGGCCUUGCCGCGACGUCCUCCUCGGCCGGGACGUUUCUUGCCGGAUCCUCCAGCACCUUCCUGGGCCUUCUCCUUAUCGCGUUGCUCGUAUUCAGCUUUCUGUUGCUCAACAAGCUGCUCGACUUUCUUGCAGCUCUGGAGAUCGUGGCCCUUGGUGCGGUGGAUCUUGCAGUACUGCUUGUUGGUGCCGUCCUGCUUGUCGGCAACCGCCACCUCCGCGGCACCCUCCUUGCCGGAGUCACCAGCUUUGGCUUUCUUCGCGCCACCACCGUUGCCGGACUGCUCAACAACUAGCACCUCUUUUCCUUUCUUUCUCCUGUUGUUCCGCCGUCGGUUUUUCUUUGCCGGGGCAGCAUCAUCACUGUCAGAUCCUCCUGCUCCUAUGUUCUCUUCGGGGAGUCUCCUCCCUUCCUCAGCACGUGCACACUUGUCGGCCAGGGCAUAUAUCUCACUGACGUCUUUGAUCUUGCACAUCGCCAUCUCCUCCCGCAUCCUGCGGUUUCACACGUUCUGAUGGAACGCGCUGAUCACCGCGGCAGGGUGGACGUCUGGGAUGUUGUGUUGUACGCUGCUGAAUCUCUGAAUGUACUUGCGCAGGGGUUCUCCUUCCUUCUGGGCGAGCAGAUGAAGGUCACUCUCUUGGCCAUGGGGCUUGUGGCCGCCUGUGAAGGCGCCGACAAACUGAUGGCACAGAUUAGCCCAGGAGGAUAUGGAGUUAUCCGGCAAGUGCAUGAGCCAGGAUCUGACGUUGGGCUUGAGCACCAGCGGGAAGUAGUUGGCAAGGAUCUUGUCGUCCUGUCCCCCAGCAGCCUGCACCGCAAUGGUGUAGAUGCUGAGGAACUCUGACGGAUGCGUCUUGCUGUCGUACUUCUCCGGUACGUCUGGCUUGAAGUUCUUCGUGCUGGGCCACUGGACUUGCCGCAGCUCACGAGUGAACACAGGGCAACCUACCGCAUACGGCAGAUCGCCUAGUUCCCCUGGCGCAUGCAUGUCAACAGAAGGCCCAGCGUGCUUGUCGGAUUGACGUCGCGCUUCUCUUCGGCGCUCGAUGCGAGUACGAGCGUCCUCUUGCUGUCGAUCAUGAAGAACUUGGCGCUGAUCGCGACGAGCUCGUGGAUCCGACGAUGCGGUGGAGUCGCUGUCGAGGUGGAUCCGACGAGUCGGCGAUCUUGGCUUUCGGGGUGGUGAUUGCAUGGUGGUUGCACCUCCACCAGUUUCGUCGCCACCGGCUCGCGCCUGGCAACCCUGCCGCGGCAGCGACGCGCUCGGCUGUCGUGGAGUGUCUCCGUUGGCGUAGCCGAAGAGACUCUGAAUGGUGGCCCUCCAUUCGUCGAUCUUGUCCGACGUUGGAGGGUAAUCCAGGAGCAGUUGAGCUCGUGCCAAAGAUUCUGCCGGAGUGGUGGGUGGCAGUGGCGGACGGCGCGAGGAGCGGGAUGUGCUCGGACUUCUAACUAUGUUAGAAGGAGCAUUUUCCCGUCCGGGCGACCGUGUCCCGCUCGUGCUGGCACGUUGGCGUGCAUGCUGGUCUUGAGCGCCCCGGGAUCCACCAGCUUGAUCUUGGCCCAACAAACGUAUGGUACUGCGAGUACCAUGACGCUAUUGGUCCUGCGCCUCCUGAGAUGGGCGCGGAACAAGUGCGGACGUCGAGGUCUGCGCCGCCUUGCCUUUGGGCCUGGCAGCGUCGUGAGCUUCCUCGUCAACGUCCGUCCUUCCGCCGACGUCUACCCCACCACCCGUUUGCUCCGGUGGCGGUGGGAUCGACGUGGACGGAACUGCUGCCUCCGAAGCCUUCUUCUUCGGUGGCAUGUUGAUGAAGAAAAUGAAGAUCUAGCUCGUGUGAACGCCGGAUCAGGUUCACACAGCCUCGACGCCCCCUACCUGGCGCGCCAAAGAUGUCGGGGAAACUGAUCCACGAACACCUAUGGGGCCGGCGGACCGAGCCCCUUUCGGUUCAGCGGGGGGCAGAGGUCGCACGAAGAACAGAUCGAGGCGAAGCACACGAGCAGUUUACCCAGCUUCGGAGCUCUCCGGAGAGAUAAUACUCCUACUGCUGCUUGUCUGAUUCUAUUAUGUUCUUGCUCGAGAGAGCUAUGUGUUUCUCUGGUUUCCGAAUGAGUCGAACCCCCUCUACGUUGCGCAUGAACCUGUCAAGGGGUCACCGACAGGUGGCAACGUAAACAAGGGUACAAAUGUAAAAAGCGAGGUGGUUGGUACAGUUAUUUGUACAGUGUUUCCUACCUAACGCUGACGGCAGGGGACAAGGGCAUUAAAUGCCCGUCUGUGUCACCCAAACAGUGCAGAAAAGGACCGUUAGGGGCGCCACCGCUCGCCACGAUGGCGAUCUUGUCAGCUUCGCAUGCCACCGCGCACCGCUGGCUGCACAGCCUCCCGCCACGCGCGCCUGGAAAGGCCCCCAGAGCGACACGUUGGUGGAUGCGCUGGAGCGUGGGCACAGAGUGGCCGCCUGCCGCGGCAAGCGCCUUGCCACGGCCGUUGUCUUGUGGGUCCGGAAGCUUGUCGCUCACCGGGCCCUAAUAUGCCUUGGUUGGUCUUCCCGGCAAGCUCCUCUUGCCGGGGCCUUGUUGCCUUGCCGGGACGCGUGGCGCGUCGCGGCAAGUUCCUUGGGAUGCCUUGGUUCGCCUUCCCGGCAAGCUCCUCUUGCCGGGGCAUUGUCUCCUGAACUUAAAUACUUUGUUCUUGAAUGGCUCCAAGGGAACCACGGAGGACCUUGGCGGUCGCCCGGCAAGCCUUGCCGCGGGGCGCUGCAACUGCCCAUGCACAAGUUCGGGAUACUAAGGUACCCCUACUCUAGUACACCGACAGCAGCGAGCUCAGCGAGACGUGGCCACGGCAGUGAGCACCACCGUGGCGAUGAGCUCAGACAUGAUGAUGAGAGCAGCUACGGUGGAAGAAGAGAAGCGUGAGGAGAGGGGAAAGACGCCUUGGCUCACCGGGAGCCAUAGGGAGGUGGUAGUGUGCUCGGGGAGGCGCGGAGUGUCCGGAAUUGACGGCGACAGAUAGCGGCGAUCCGAGGAAGGAGAAGAAGAUGGCGGCGGCAUAGGUGCUUCCCGGCUCGUUCCGUUCGGCGUAGUCGACGUAGUCGAUGUCGGGUAGGCAUUCGAGCACGUCGGCGAGGCGAACAGGAGGCGGUGGCCGCGGAAUCGACGCGGCGAUGGCGGCGAGCCUGCUCGGAGGAGCACGGGCAGAGGGGAAGAAAGAGCGAGGGAGUGGGAUGGCAAGGGGGGAUCUGGUGCGGAGAGGGAGAGGCGGAGCAGGCGAGGGGAAGUGGGAGUGGCAGCGGAGGAGGGGACCAAGGCAUCGGGAGGCUUAUCCACCUCGACAACGGCGAGCGGGUGCGGUGGGGGCGCGCUCGGCGCGUGCACGGGGUCGAUGGAACAAGAGGGAGGGUAGAGCAAUCGGGGAGGGGGCGUGGGCCGGCCUGCUGGGCCAGCUGGCUCGGGUGGCCGAAGCCUAAGUGGGGCAGGGGCUUUCUCUCCCACUCACAUCUUUUUUUUCUUUUAAUUUUUCUUUUGAAAACUUUUCUGUUUUCAUUUAACAAAAGCCUUUUUACAUUUUCUUUUGCAAUAAUUACCUUUUGCAAAAAUGUGCCACUGGGGAAAACAAAUACUAGGGGAAGUGGUGCACUGCCACCAUAAGCUUGGGAUUUAUUUGAAUCCAUUUGGAAUUUUCCUAAUUGGAAAGGCAUUGAAAAUGUUGUUUUGCACUGUAAUAAUCGCUUCUAUCCACCUUAGCAUUGUGGUGAAGUUGUUUUCCCUUAACAAUAAAUUGUUUUGGAAUAUUUGCUAAAUGAUGAACAUUUUUCCAGUAACUUUGUGCAACUUGAAAUUUUCAAUUUGAAUUUGAACUAGAUUCAGAGAAGGAAUUUGAAAUGAGAAAUUAAUCCAAUGUGAUUAAGCUUUGUAAAUCAAGAUGACUUGGCAUUGAUCAUAAGGGAUUGAUGUAAUGUGAUGCUGGGGACGCUACGAACCACCACAACCUCACUUGACCGCCCUACUGUAGCAACUGGAUUUUCAAUAGUCCGAUCAACCGCCAAUGUCCUCAUAUAAUUCAGCUACAUGAGGCUCCACUCUGAAUACAUCAGGAACAUCAUUGGACGCCAGACAAACAGGAAAACCAGCAACACUACCAGCAUGAACGACAUUCUCGAGUGGCUUUUCAGUGUCAAUAUCAGAAUCUUCGUGGCAACUAGGGGCAGCAACAUGGUGGGAUUCCUGAGCUACAUAAAGUUCUGCACUAUCAACGGCAACCGAUAUAGAAGCAUUCACAUUGUCACCACCAACAACAACACAAUCCCCCUGGUUCAUAUCAACACGAACAAUGCCAACCGAUUGACGAACUUCUACGUUUGCAUCUCCAGGCUGCAAAAAGUUCUAAAAAGCCACAACAACACAAAAGAGCGAGGGGAGAAUUAACCCAACAACACACAGUUCACUUAUGCCAAAGACUGUAGCCCACAUAUGCAAAAGAACUGCAAUUCACUUAUGUAAGAAGACUGCAACCCACAAAUGUAAAACAAUUGCAGUUCACUUAUGUAAAAGACUACAACCCACAUAUGCAAAAAGAACUGCAGUUCACUUAUGUAAAAAGACUGAAGGUCACACAUGUAAAGCUAUGCUGCUCACAUAUGUAAAAAGACUACAACCCACAUAUGCAAAAAGAACCGCAGUUCACUUCUGUCAAAGACUGGAGCUCACAUAUGUAAAACUAUGCAGCUCAGAUAUGUAAAAGAAAUGCAUAUGAGUGAACAGAACAGUGUACGUCAAGCUUAUAACAACAACAAAAAAUUAGAUUACAACCCACUAACAGAAAAAGUAACUACACCAAACCUUAUCAGCUACAGCAUCCAGAGGGGACGACGCAUCAGCCAAGUCCUCAUCCUUCUCAGAGCCAUCGUAGGGAUCUUUGUGCACAUCACAAGCAGCAACUCCAGUCUACGGGCAUAGAACAAACCAAAACGAAAUAAGAUGGUAACGACCAAAAAAGGAAAAAAACUUCAACCAUGCACAAGCAGUACACAUUUUAUAAUCGUGAGGUACACAGAAAAUAAAAUAAAAUGGAAAGAAAAAAAAUGCAGGUUCAAGAAGAGAAGCACAUGGCAGAACAGGCAUGGGAGAAGUACUUAUACCUGACCAAUUCCAUCGUCCCUAGAUCUGUGAACACCAGAAGAUUCCACUCCAGCCUAUGACAAAAAACAAAGAGUGAGGAGCAGUUCACGUAAUACAUGAAAGAGGUUCAAAAGGACAAAAAGCGGACAAUGUACAUUAUCAGCACUGGCGCUAGCGUCCCAUCGGUUCAUUUCAUCCAAAAUGUGCUCCGCAUCCUUCUCAUACCGAGCGCAUUUCUCUUCGUGUGAAUGUUUCAACUGAGCAUCCGAAGACCGAAUAUUCAUCACUACAAUCUUCAAUCUUUCAACCAUGCCAGAAUCAAAAUUGUGAGCAGCAACAAUAUCUUCUUCUCGGGGGCCAUGGCUGCCGGGGAAAACCAGCAACUAUCCUCAACCCGUCACCAUAGGUUGGCAAAUCUUUAGUUAACUUCAAAACCUUCAGAAGAAGCUCAUCAACCUCCUUGUGUUUUUUGCCGCCAACAAAUGUCUGUUCAAAAAAGCUUCUAUUAUCAAACAUCCGACGAGCCAUGAAACCAUGAGUAGGCGGCGACACAUUAUCAUAAGCAGGAAGCUGGCUACAGAUAGGCUCAUAGAAUCUAGCAUGACUGCCAGGCCCCGCAUCAGAGCUGCUGCACAGUACUGCAUCAGGACAGAUGUACACAAUAUCGCCUGACGCCUUCCACUGCAAAAAAAGAUAAAAAGGGGAAACAGGUACACAUGUGAAUACUAGAAAGUUCAGAUUUAUAAUAAAUGCAAUUUUUUUAAAAACCCUAUGAUCUUAAAAACUCUGAUGCACUAACCGGCAGCCUCCUGAAUUUGUAAGUGUCCAGAUAAAUUUUUCCCUUUACAAGCAUAUCCUCGUUGUAUAACUUGAUCAGGUCCUUGUUCGUCAGGAAUGAUGCGCGUGGCAUCACUGUGUGCAUAAAUGAAAAUUUGCGAAGCUUCAAGCAAUCAAGAUACAUAAUCAGGGGGACAAUGGCACAACCCUCUGCACUAUUCUGCUUGCUGCCUUCUAUCUGCCACUUCACCACAGCUGCCUGCAGCUCUUCGUCAACAAACUGACAAAAGUCCAUCUAUGCCAUAGCCGCAUAAUCUAUGUUCUCAACCAUGGUAGCAACCCUGCCCAAAUGAACUACAGGCCCGAGGCACAACAAAUUCUGAUAAAGUAUCAGGAAGAAUACCUUGACGACAAGAUCAACCGUCAUAGGAUCAUCACCCUCCACCAAUACCGCCUGCUUUUGAACCAAGUGCUUGACACAUAUACUUCAUGAAGGGUCAAAGCCAAGCUCAUCCUUGAGGGCAGACAAUGAGUCAUCAUGGCCACUGGUAGCAGGCAUGGUUGUAGUGUGAGCUCCCAUAGGAAAAUCAAAAAUGUGAUGAACUACAUCAUGAUUGAUUCGAAGAACUCUACCAUUCCCAAAGUCCAUUGUCAUUAUGGCAGGGUCAAUCAAUCCCAUCGAAUAGCACAUAACAAUGCGCAACACAUUUUUCUUUACUGUGAAGUCAAAGACAACACCAAAGCCAGCAACCCGAACACAAUUACAGUGUGCUUCUUUCAAUAAAGCAGCAGCUUUGUUCUACUUCUUGAGCUUGCGUUGGUUUUUCCCUUGAAGAGGAAAGGGUCAUGCAGCAAAGUAGAGAUAAAUAUUUCCCUCUGUCAUAGAACCAAGAUAUCAAUCCAGUACAAGGUCAAGCUAGUACCCAAUCAAUGCACCUGCACAAAUAAUCAAACACUUGCACCCAACGCGAUAACGGGGUUGUCAAUCCCUUCACAGUCAAUUGCAAAGGUGAGAUCUGAUAUAGAUAGGUAAUACUAUCUAAUUUUUUUUUUGCGUUUUUUGGUUUAUAGAUCCGUAAAUAAAAGAUUGCAAAAUAGUAGAUUAGAAAGAAAAUAUGAUGGAAAAUACACCCAGGGGCCAUAGGUUUCACUAGACACUUCUCUCAUGAAGGCAAAUAAUACGGUGGGUAAACAAAUUACUGUCAAGCAAUUGAUAGAAAAGUGCAAGGUUGUGAUGAUAUCCAAGGCAAUGAUUAUGCAUAUAGGCAUCAUGUCCGUGUCAACUAGACCGACUCCUGCUUGCAUCUACUAUUAUUACUCCACACAUCGACCGCUAUCCAACAUGCAUCUAGAGUAUUAAGUUCAUAAAGAAUGAAGUAAUGCCUUAAGUAAGAUGACAUGAUGUAGAGGGAUAAACUCAAGCAAUAUGAUGAAAACCCAUCUCUUUAUCCUCGAUGGCAACAAUACAAUACGUGCCUCGCUACCUCUAAUUUUUCACUGGGUGAGGAGACCGCAAGAUUGAACCCAAAAUUAAGCAGUCUCCCAUUGCAAGAAAUACCAAUCUAAUUGGCCAAACCAAACCGAUAAUUCGAAGUGAAAUACAAAGAUAUGAAAUCAUGCAUAUAAGAAUUUAAAGAAAAUUCAAAUAAUAUUCAUAGAUAAUCUGAUCAUAAAUCCACAAUUCAUCGUAUCUUGACACACACACCGCAAAACAAGAUUACAUCAGAUAGAUCUCCAAGAUCGUCGAGGAGAGCAGGGUAUUGAGAAUCAAAGAGAGACAAGAAGCCAUCUAGCUACCAGCUAUGGGCCCAUAGGUCUGAGGUAAACUACUCACACUUCAUCGGAAGGGUAAUAGGAUUGAUGUAGAAGCCCUCUGUGAUUGGAUCCCCCUCCGGUAGAGUACCAGAAAAGGCCUCUAGAUGGGAUCUCAUGAGGUUAGAGACCUGCAGUGGCGGAAAAGUAUUUUCGUGGAUGCUUCUGAGUGUUUUGUAAUAUAUGUAAUUUAUAGGACAAAGUAGGUCGGUGGACUCCCGAGGGGACCACAAGACAGGGGCGCGCCCCCUAGGGCAUGCCCCCCACGGCUUGUCGUUGCCUCGUGGGUCUUCUGACUUCAUCUCCAAGUCUCGUAGGUGUCUUUUGGUCCAAUAAAAAUCAUCACGAAAGGAGAUUGCAAAAUAGUAGAGCGGAAAGAAAAUAUGAUGAAAAUACACCCAGGGGGCAUAGGUUUCACUAGACGCUUCUCUCAUGAAGGCAAAUAAUACGGUGGGUGAACAAAUUACUGUCAAGCAAUUGAUAGAAAAGUGCAAAGUUGUGAUGAUAUCCAAGGCAAUGAUUAUGCAUAUAGGCAUCAUGUCCGUGUCAAGUAGACCAACUCCUGCCUGCAUCUACUACUAUUACUCCACACAUCGACCGCUAUCCAACAUGCAUCUAGAGUAUUAAGUUCGUAAAGAAUGAAGUAAUGCCUUAAGUAAGAUGACAUGAUGUAGAGGGAUAAACUUAAUCAAUAUGAUGAAAACCCAUCUUCUUAUCCUCGAUGGCAACAAUACAAUACGUUCCUCGCUAUCCCUACUUUGUCACUAGGUGAGGACACCGCAAGAUUGAACCCAAAACUAAGAAGUUUCCCAUUGCAAGAAAUAGCAAUCUAAUUGGCCAAACCAAACGGAUAAUUCAAAGAGAAAUACAAAGAUAUGAAAUCAUGCAUAUAAGAAUUCAGUGAAAAUUCAAAUAAUAUUCGUAGAUAAUAUGAUCAUAAAUCCACAAUUCAUCAGAUCUCGACAAACACACCGCAAAAGAAGAUUACAUCGGAUAGAUCUCUAAGAACAUUGAGGAGAGCAUGGUAUUGAGAAUCAAAGAGAGAGAAGAAGCCAUCUAGCUACUAGCUAUGGACCCAUAGGUCUGAGGUAAACUACUCACGCUUCGUUGGAAGAGUAAUAGGAUUGAUGUAGAAGCCCUCCGUGAUUGAAUCCCCCUCCGACAGAUUACCGGAAAAGGCCUCCAGAUGGGAUCACACAAGGUCAUAAACCUGCAGCGGCGGAAAAGUAUUUUCGUGGAUGCUUCUAAGGGUUUUGGAAUAUAUGUGAAUUUAUAGGACAAAGAAGUAGGUCGGUGGACUCCCGAGGGGACCACAAGCUAGGGGCGCUCGCCUAGGGCGUGCCCCCACGGCUUGUCGUCGCCUCGUGGGUCUUCUGACUUCAUAUCCAAGUCUCGUAGGUGUCUUUUGGUCCAAGAAAAAUCAUCGGGAAAGUUUUAUUCUGUUUGGAAUCCGUUUGAUAUUCCUUUUGUGUGAAACUCAAAAACAAGGAAAAAACAGAAACUGCACUGGGCUCUAGGUUAAUAAGUUAGUCCUAAAAAUAAUAUAAAAUAGCAUAUUAAUGCAUGUAAACAUCCAAAACGGAUAAUAUAAUAGCAUGGAACAAUAAAUAAUUAUAUAUACGUUGGCGACGUAUCAAGCAUCCCCAAGCUUAAUUCUUGCUCGUCCUCGAGUAGGUAAAUGAUAAAAAUAGAAUUUUUGAUGUGGAAUGCUACCUAACAUAUUUAUCCAUGCAAUCUCUUUUAGCUGACAUGAAAAUUCAGAAUCGUAUGAUUCAAAACGAAAGUUCAUUCACACAAAAAUAAUAAUACUUCAAGCAUACUAAAAGCAAAUCAUUAAGCUUCAAAAAUAACAUGGCUAAAGAAAGUUAUCCCUACAAUAUGAUAUAUUCUUGUUAUGCUCCCUCUUCUCAGCACAAAGUAUAAAUCAUGCCCACCCUGGUGUCAGCCAAGCAAUUAUUUCAUACUUUUUAACGCGCUUUAGCCUUUUCAGCUCUUCAUGCAAUACAUGAGCGUGAGCCAUGGACAUAGCACUAUGGGUGGAGUAGAAGGUGGUAGUAGACAAAAUAAGGGAGAAAGUCUCACAUCAACUAGGAAAAUCAAUGGACUAUGGAGAUGUCCAUCAAUUGAUAUCAAUGUGAGUGUGUAGGGAUUGCCAUGUAACGGAUGGACUAGAUCUAUAAGUGUAUGAAACACUACAAAAAAAUACACUUCUGUGAUGAUACGUGUUUGUCACAGUAGGUCGCGUUUUUUGUCAUGCAUGUACAUCCAUGACAAAUUUAUGACACAAUCAAGAUAGUCAUACAUGUGCUGUCGUAGAAGUGUUCCAUGACAUUACCAAAAUUAUCAUCACAGAAGUGUCCACUUCCAUGACGAUAAAUCGCGCGUCACAGAACUGCUUUCAUCCAGGGUGACCGACACGUGGCAUCCACCGUAACGGAACGCUGUUAAGCUAUCGGGUCGGGUUUUGGAUCUGCUAACCCGUUAACAGCCCCGACCAAUGGGGAUUUUUCACGUGUAAAAUCAUCAUUGGCUGGAGCAAACACGUGUCGGCUCACCGUUGGGACAGAUGUCAUCCGGUCAUUGGACCGAAGGCGCCAAUGAUACGGUGACACGUGGCACGGCCCAACAGAGGCCCAUUCCGGUGAAAAGGCCGGCCCAUUUGAAUUGGUCAAAAGGUGGCGGGCCGGCCCACGGAAAGCCUGUUAACGGCCUGUUCGCUUAUAGCCCAUUUACAGCCCGCUAACCGAGGGCCCAUUACACCCUAUCUGAAUUAGGCCAGUAGCGUCAUCUGGGCCAUCCAAUAUGAUUCAACCUGUUUUAACUUCCAGCCCAUGUGUGACCCAUGACUUCUUUCGGCCCAUAUGAGGACCUUUGUAACUCUUGGCCCAUUAACGGCCCGUGCUGAAACUGGCCCGUAAUGAACAGUGUAUCACUUUAUACCCAUUAACGGCCUGUUAUUCCAUCGGGCCAUUUCUAGCCCAAGUUAUCUUUCGGCCUUCUCAGCGCCCAUUGAUUCUUGGGUUCAUUUGCAGCAUUCGGUUACAUACGACCUGUUACUAUCAUUUUCUGCUUGUGGGCCAAAUUCAGCCCGUCGUUACAGUCGGCCCAUUUGCGGAUCGUUAAUACGUUGGGCCGUUUUCAUGUCAAAAAAACCCAUUGGGCUGUUUUCAUAGAGUUAUCAAAUACGGCCUAUUAACGGCCUGUUAUGGCCACGAAUAGCACGGCCCGUGAUUGGCGAAAUGAUGAUACUCCCCGUAGAAGGCCCAUGGAUCCUACGGCCCGUAUGAGGCCCAUGGAUAGUACGGCCCGUAGAAGGCCCAUGGACCCUACGGCUCGUAGAAGGCCCAUUGAUCCCUAAGGCCCGUAUAGAAGGCCGAUGGAUCCUACGGCUCGUAUAGAAGGCCAAUGGUCCUACGGCCGAACGAAGGCCCAUGGAUCAUACGGCCUGCAGGAGGCCCAUGGUUACAACAGUCUCUGUGUUGCCAUGAUUAUUUUGGCCUAGUUACCAAAAAUAGGCUAUUGUGGCCACUAUAAAAACACAGAAAAAGAACUACAAUGACUACAAGCAAACAACUAAACAAGACAAUAAGGAAAUAAAUAAGCAAGCAAUUAAGGCUAGCCUAUUACCGCUAUUACACAUAUUACAUCCACUGGGCAUCAAAGUUCGCCACCAGUGCAAAUAUAGGGAACAAAGCAGCAUAUUACAUACACUUGGCCAUCAAAAUUGGCCACCAGUGCAAAUAAACGCGGCAGCAAAACAAGAGCAUAACUGAAACAACUUCAGAAGAGCUCAAGAAACGUUAACCUGGGUAUCCACCAUGCUGGCAAUAAGCUUAGCAAGUUGAUUAGCUUUGUCCUAUUUGGCGCUAAAAUCCUCCAACGCUUGCUGUUGCACCAGAAAGUAUGCAUUUGAAUGCUCCAGGGACUUCCGCAGUCCUUCCGCUUCUUGUCGCAGCACAGCUGAUCGAUGUCUUUCAACUUGUAGUUGAGACUCAAGAAACCGAACUGAUUCAGAAAGUGAGUUUGAAUAGCUUGUGCAUGCGGUAGUGGCCAGUAACUCGAACACUAAACCAAGACAGGACUUUGGGGUUGUCUCGCUGUCUUCCUUAGCUGUUUUAUCAGCUUUGUUGGAGACUAACAAGGAUGUGUCACUAUCCUGAACCUUAUAUGCAUUACUUCCUUUACCAUUGCUUAAUAAGGCACUCUUCCCCAAUAUUCUGUCAGCAUUCUAAAAGAAGAAACAAGCAGACACAUAACAAGUUUAGCAUGUACUAGUAUAUGAAACUCAUUUCGGUGAACCAGUUCAUUAGUAAGGUGGACAGGAUUAAACUACCAAGUCUUCUGUUGUCAAGUACUAGUACAUAAUAAAAGCAUCAAACAAACAUAUAUCUAUGUCCUAUGGUCACUGCAUUGUCUUGCCAAAUCAAAUAGAGACACGGUUCAAAUCAUAUCAGGUCAAGACAAAGCAGCAGUGAAAGAAUACAAAGCGUGGGAAACUACACGGCACAACAAGAUUUCAGAUGGGUACCACGGGUCUACAUGUACAACAACACUAUUGGCUCUGUUGUGAUGCUAGUAAUGUGCAUGAUAUGAAAGUCAACUGUAUACACAAUUGAAAUUGAAAUCAACAGAGCUAUUGAUAAGAGCAAACCUGUUAAAGAAACAUGUGUGAACAUACCUGCUGUGCCAUUGGAGUUUCGAUUGGAUCCUUGAAUUUAAAAAUAAGUUCGUAUCAGUAAAUACAGUGAUACAAGAGCAAAGCAAUCAUAGUUAAAAAAGGCGCGCCUAAGCGAGCGCUUAAGCGCGCCUAGGCUCUAGGCGUUGGCAAAACGCAUUGCGCAUAACUACGCAUAAUCUAUGCAUAACUGCGCAUAAGCAUGCACUUUGGUCAGUAAAGCGCAAGGCGGUGGCAAAACGCACAAUUAAUGCCUAGCGCUUUUUUGAACUAUGAUAGCAAUGGAAUCUUAAAUUAGAACAUUUGUUCUUCAGGUUUAGGCACUUGUUCUACAUGAACAGAGUACCGUAAGAUGCGAGAAUAAAACGCUUCAAAACAGAAAAUGAGCUCAUAGACCUUACCACAUUCUUGGUUCGGGACCAGUACAGAACAAGGCGUUCCCAGUCAUCGUCCAGUAAAUGUGUCUCAGGAGAACGUAAGGGAAUUUGAUGAGUUUCUUUGCCGGUGAAGUAUGUUUUCUUCAGGUAAUUCCGAUACUGCCACCAAGCAUUCUUGAAGAUAGCAGAGGUAUUAGCACAGGUUACCUCAUCCUGAGUUUCCAAAUUGGUCCUUCUCUAUAGAGAAAAAUGGGAAAAUUUGCUGUAUUAUAACCAUCAUGGAGGUAGGAUGUAUGGGACGAAGCAAAGUAAUUGCCAUGAAUAACAUUACUUACACAUAACUCCUAGACAAACACCUGCAACUGGCAUUUUCCUUCAUCUUCAGUAUAAUAUUUCCAAGAUGGGAAGAUACGCACAUACGAUUUAACAACAUCAAAUGCGAUAGAUGCUAAACUAUGACUGGUUGGUUGUGCUUCCUCCACAGGAAUAGGCGUACUAACUGGUGGAGUUGGGGUUCGCCGUGAUAGUACUGGCCCUUUGGGCACUGGAGCUGCCGUACUAACUGCUGUUGUUUGGGAGCUCUGUGGUGGAGAUGGUGCUGUGUCAACAGGAAGUGGGUUACUAUCGGCUGGGGUUGGGGUUAGAUUGGGUGAAGCUGGUUCUCUGUCCAUCGCAGUAGGGGUACAAUCUGCGAGAGUUUGGGUUAUGUGUGGCAGGCCUGGUUCUUGUGCAUGUACAACCGGGGUGCUAUCUCCACCAAGAGGUAGCACUGUUUCAUUUAAAGACCGUGUUUUUAUUCCGCUAGAUACUGGCAUCACCCGCUCCAAUUCAAAUGGCUGAUAAACAGGAAACAUAGUUGAAUGUACAGACAUUGUAUGAGAGACAGAUGCAAUAGAUAGUGUGGAAAAAAGAGGGCAUGAAAUAUUUGACAUGUAUAUUGUUUAACUAAAACGGAUAGCGUGACAUAAUUUCACAUAUAUGAUGUCUAUCUAAACUGGAUAGCAUAGCAUAACGUAAUUCAAAGAUAUGAUGAAUAACUAAACAUGAUUGCAUGACAUAAUUCACCUACAUGUUAUCUAAGUAAUCAGGAUUGCAUCAUUUAAUUCACAUAUGUGAUUUAUAUGCUAAACAGAGGGCAUUCAAUAUGAUGUCUGAACUAAGAACAUGGUGUUGAAUAUUGUGUAUAUGAUGUCUAAACUAUGCAAUGCAAGACACCGUAUGCAUGAUAUGAGCAGUAUAACCGUGCCAAGUUAGAGCAUACACCUCAGUGGGGGAAUAGGACUGGUCAUCUGUCUCUGAAUCCAUCUCUGAGGAGCUAUCGGGACCCAACAAGAGAUCAGCUUCGACAGGUAGCACUGUCUGCUCUGAAAGCCUUGUUUUCACUCCAGAUUUUUCCAUCUCCCACCCAAAUGGCUGAUUCACAGGAAGAGUAGUUUAAUGUACAAACAUUGUCGACAAAUGGAAAUGUAAUGAAGAAAAGGAUGGGUAAGAUAUCAUUCAAAUAUAUGAUGCCUGGUUAAACAAGAUGGCAUUGCACAUUUCACAUAUAUUAUGGCUGGCUAAAAGACAUGAGACUGCAUAAUUCCCAUAUAUGAUAUAGAAACUAAACAGGUGGCAUUACAGAACAUGUCUAAACUAAGCAGAUGACAUAUAUGAUGUCAAAAGUAGGCACUGCAAGGCAACAUAUGCAUGAUAUGACUAACAUCAUCAUGCCAAGGUAGAGCAAACACCUUGGGGGUAAAUAGGAGUGGUCAGCGGCGUCUGAAUACGCCUCAGAACAGAUAUCUUCCUCUGGAUUAAAAUCUGGAGAGGGGUGGGGACGGUUUGCCAUUGAACCCACCAUGGAGCGAUGUCUGCAUGACAUUGUAUUGCCGCGCAAUACUCUUCUCUUUUUCUCUACAUGUUCAGCAUGACUGUGUGAAAUAUCUGACAUGCAUACGAAAAAAAUAUGGUGAGAUUAUGUAAGGAGAGCAUGCAGAAAUUUAGAGUGAUGGUAACAACCAAUGGAUCGACGUUUUUCCAUUGAACAAAAAUAGCCCUAAUGGAUCGACGUGAAUGUGUAGUAAUAAGUGAUGCAACAAGUGUACAACCUCUUUGUCGUAGCCAUGUCGACCUCAGCAUCAUUGGGUUGGUCGCUGAAGCAGUUGAGGCAGAGGUGGCUGUCGGAGGUGUGGAGGAAGAUCUGAGGAAUCUGUAGACGGCGUCUAGGGCACUGCUCUGUUGUGAUGGAUCGUUCUAUUGUUGGAGCAGCUCCGGUGAGCCGUAAGACGUCAAGGCUGAAGCAGCACAAGACAGGCAUCGUCAAUCUCAUGUGGGAUUCUAAUAGCAUCUCCAAUAGAUGAUGAAAAAUGGAUGUAAAAUUAACAUCACCAAAAACCACCUCACUACAACAGAUGAGGUAAAAACUGUUAACUCUGAACUUAACUGUCGAAACUGAAAUUAACUGUGGAAUCUGAAUGCUACUGUCGAAACUGAACGCAAUGGUAGCAGAGAGACACUUGACAUGUAGUUUAGGGAGGGCCUGCAGUUCAUCUUCAACCUGCACACCCCUGAGCCGCCUGCCACCACCGGCCGAACCGCCGACCCCAGCGCCGCCUCGCCGCCCCGAAACAACUCGCCACCGCCGCGCCGGCCAGCCCUCUAGGCCCCCCGCCCCCCACGCUGAACCCUAAGAUAGAUAAUGGGGUACCUCUUCGGCGAGCCCCCAUCCCUGCUGCGGGUGGUUCUUCCUUAACUCCGGCGAGCCCCCCUCCCCAACCCCUGAAAAUCGACUGACCCAAAAGUCGAUUCAGUCGACUGAAGUGUGGCUUAAUCGAAGCAGAGCAGCAGGACGAGUGAGGGGGAGAGCAGCAGCAGCAGCUCGGCGAGCGAGCGAUCGAGCGAGAGCCGGAGCAGCAGCAGCAGAUCCGGCUGGUAUGGACGCCACCGCUGAAGGGGCCUCGCACUGGGGGAGAGCCGCCAUGGAGAUGUCGCCCAUGGCGCCGGCUUCAAGGUAGCCACUCCAUGGGGUGCAGGAUGGAGCACCGUCAGCGCCGGGAGGUCGAGUUAAGGAGAAGGUGCGAUGCGAUGAGUGUACAACCUCUUUGGUGGCGCCGAGUAGGCCUCGGCUUCGUCCGAGGAGUCGGUGAGGAUGCUGCGGUUCCGGUGGAGCAGGUUAAGGCGGCGCUGUGGGGAUGGAGCAACCACGAUAGACGAGGCGAUCGUCGGAGCAGCUCCUUGGAGGUGGAGGACGGGGCGGCUGAACCGGCGGGACGACGAGAUGGACGGCAGAUCCUCAUCCGGGGAGGUGGACGAGGGACGUCGAGCUGUUGCGGUGGACGACGUUGUCGGGGAAGAGGCUCCGUCUGGGCAGCGGUGACGUGAUGGACGGAGGAGGAAGGGGUUUCGUGGCUAGAGCAGAGAGGUUAUGGCGGCCUGGGAUUUUGAAUGGCGAAAAGGGGGCGAUGGGAGGGGGUGAAGCAUGACUUAGGGACGCGUUUGUCCAAAAUGUAGGGUGUGUUACAAAAGUACCCCCCACCGAUUUGAACUAGCGGCCCUUUCGGCUCAGGGUUAGAAGGGGGAUUUCACGUGUCGGGAUUUCGCAGCUCGAGGGAGUUUUCGCGCGCGUUGUAAUUUCGGGAUAGCAAGGUGCGGGUUGUGAAGGCGCCAGUUUUGGGAGCACGAUAUCUGAAUUUUCGGGAUAUAACAAGAUGCGGGUUGAAUUUUAGGGACAAGCCUAACGUGUAGUAAUAUUGUACUUUUUUUACUUCAUAGUAAUAUUGUACUUGUAUGUACCAAAUCAAUUCGCACUUCCCUCAACCAAAAAUAAAACAAAAAAAUAAAACUAUUCACACCACAUAAAGAGAGAGUCUUGCCCCGUUUUACUAUACAAAUGUUAUUCAAAGCUACUCCCUCCUUCCAUCUAUAUAGGGCCUAAUGCGUUUUUCGAUGCUAACUUUGACCAAAUAUUAGAGCAAUGAUAUAUGACAUGCAACUUACACAAAGCACACCGUUAACUUCACCUAUUAAAGGUUCUUCCAAUGAUAUAAUUUUCACAUUGUGCAUGUCAUGUACUCUUAAUCUUGUCAAUAGUCAAAGGCAGUCUUAAAAAUCUCAUUACGCCCUUUAUAGAUGGAAGGAGGGAGUAUGAAUCCAUGUUAUGUUCGAUUAAUUUUUUUCGCUUUGCUGUAUAAUGCAUGUAACCUACUCAUACCAACAUUUUAGUGCAUUCCAAAUGUCUAUACUACCGCUGCAAUUCGAACUAAAUUUUAAUUCGUUUCUCUAUUUCAAUAAGAAUCUACAAUCAUGAUUGUUGCCAACUUCAACCAUCAUAAUUUCCUUGCUAUCCGUCAGAUAUAAAUCGGACGGCCUAUAAUACAGGAUGGCAGGCACACCAUCAUCAACAACUCCGUUUUUUAUAAGAGUAGAGAUAAAAUAUAUUAAAUGUAGUAUAACAUGUUCAUAAACACACCAUGUGUAUCACCAUUAUAUAUAUUCACACAUACGUCGGUUUAAAACACUAUGAUAAAUUCUUCAAACAUCCGAAUUCACUUUUUAUAAUGAAGUAUAUAUGAUCUCUAUUCAUCUUUUACACCCACACAACCCUCUUAUCUUUGUAGCUAGCGCUAACUUUCUCUUGUGCAUGCACACGCCCGCAUCACUCUCACCCUCCCUCAGCAUUCUCGAGCUCCAUCGCGCAAAUUCGUCUUUUCACUUUAGGUCGUUCACCCACGGUGUGUGUAGGCCCCCAGCUCCUUCUUUACAGCACACAUCGAUCGAUAUGCCUCUCUAGCCAGGUGUGCCUAACACAAACACAAGCUUCCCCUCUUCUCUUGUCACCGUCCAUGCCUCACUCCCACCACUCUUUUCAUCGUUCUUGUACUCGCACACUCCUCCCCGCUCGAUAUAGUAUGCCUCUCGUACCACCUCCUACAUGUAUCCCUCUAUCUCUAUCCUUCUCCUCGUACCUCAUUUGCUUCUAACACACACAUGCAUGUAUAUACCGAUUGAUCUCCCAACAUAUACCUGGAUCGACUUUAACUACCCCCCCAUCGAUCGACGUACCUCACAAGUUAUGUCUCUCCUUUCUCUAACAAAGGGCGAUUGAUCUUCCUAUGUAGUUAUGUCUGCUUACCACAGCCACAUCGUCCCCCUCAUCAUUCGUGCAUGCCUCCUGACCCGUCUCUCACACGCACGUGCACAGACAACAAGCAGCCAUCUCCUCUCUUAAUGAUAUUGCGGGCGUGCCCUCCGUUUGUCUAGCAAGCCUAUCCCACCAUUUGUUAGAAGCAACUCCACUACCACCCCCUCCAACACUCUAGCUCUGUCUCUCUCCCAACCUUAUUCCUCUCAUGCACAUAUCCAUGGAUGCCGAUCGAUCUCCCUUAGUACAUGAGGCAGAUCGAUCUCCUUAAUACAUGAGGUAGGCCUCUCUCCUCCUCCACACAUAUACCAGCCAUUGUACCUCUAUAGUUAAUUGGGCCUCCCUGUUCCCCCACAACACACCGAUAGUCAAGCGCUGCAGGUAGGUAUCCAUGCCACAGAGACAAACUGCACAUGUCCCCUCUCACGUUCCAGUAGGCCAGCCACUCUAUAUCUUUGACGUGGGCACACACAAAUUUGAUGGCACUCUUUAUCGAUCGCGCGCGCGCACACACACACAUCAUCCCUCUUUCGAUUCUAUGGACACCUCAAGCCGGUGAUACCUCCACUCUCUUCUCGUGGAUCGCCCCCUCUAUAUAUAUGUUAUAUCCAGGACUCUAUUUCACACACGUUGCAUAUGUUACAUUUUNNNNNNNNNNNNNNNNNNNNNNNNNNNNNNNNNNNNNNNNNNNNNNNNNNNNNNNNNNNNNNNNNNNNNNNNNNNNNNNNNNNNNNNNNNNNNNNNNNNNNNNNNNNNNNNNNNNNNNNNNNNNNNNNNNNNNNNNNNNNNNNNNNNNNNNNNNNNNNNNNNNNNNNNNNNNNNNNNNNNNNNNNNNNNNNNNNNNNNNNNNNNNNNNNNNNNNNNNNNNNNNNNNNNNNNNNNNNNNNNNNNNNNNNNNNNNNNNNNNNNNNNNNNNNNNNNNNNNNNNNNNNNNNNGAACCCACACACUAUAUCUCUCUAGGUUUGUAUCUCUCUCACACAACCCCACGUAGGUGGUGUACGUAUACAAGAAGAGAAUAGGUGCACCGUGCACGUACUCACGCUUCGUGCCCAGCCACACCCGCGCGGGUACACGGUGGAGCUCAUUUCUUUACAAAAUGGCAGCCCACGUGCUAAUUUGAACGCCUAUAGCGGUUGUUUACCUAGGGAGGUCGUGUACCAUGCCUGCACGAAACAAAGUUUGACUUGACGCGUUGCCGCGUUAUUUUUAAAUAAAGUUAUAUGCUCAAUGGAACGUACACAGAAUAGAAAACGAUUUUUAUGGAGAAAAAGGUAGUCCGCUCACUAUAUACAAUGGAGCCUUGCGUGCCUGGUUUGUCGCUCUUCAGAGUAUCGCACACAAGGCUGCGGUGGCCUCUCUCUCUCUCUCACCAUUGGUCAUUGAUUCGGCCGCAUCCCGUCCACCGGGGGAAAGGGAGUGCGGUGGCCUCUCUCUCUCUUACCGUUGGUCACUGAUCCGGCCGCAUCUCGUCCGCCGGGGGAAAGGGAGGAAGUGCAUCGUUUCUCCGUUUGACGACGCCGAGGCAGCACGUCCCAAUCUGCAGUACAUGCCAUUCUCUCUGACCAAGCUCCGGCGCGGCAGGGCCUACGCCACCUACUCACAGAUUCAGCCCGCCGCUGCUCACCUAGUUACAUCCCGACGACCUCCAGGUAUCCCCUCCGGCCUUGCUUCACCGCCCGUCUUCCCACGUCGCUGCAUGUGGAUCUUCCAUAGUUCUUUGCCCAAAACGUAGCUCGUCUAGCGUACUUUCGAUAUUGCAUUCUCGUCCUCACACCGUUUUAGACAAACACAACCGUGUUGUUAUCUUCCCUUAGGGCAAGCAAUAUGCUUCUUUUUUGUCGUCGCAUGUGUCAUCAACUGUUAUUGGCCAGUAAUUGUUUCCUUUCUACCUCUUUUUUGUAAACAGGGCUAUCCAUUUCACCUCGUUGCUAUUGCGACCUUUUGGUGAACUGCACAAAUCACUUUUUUCUUAAGAGUGUUUUGUGCAGUUGUACUAAAAUGUCACAUGGGCAACAUCUCUACAUUUCAGUGUGACUGCACAAAGGGAGAUUGGUUUUGCUCUAUCCUCCUCAUCCAACUCCGAGCCUAAUCUUCUCCAACUAGUUAGUCUUAAAAGAGACUACAAAGGUGACUGGCUUCUAUUUAUGUGUUUAUUGUUUCAUCAACAGUCUUCUAUUAUCGUAAUCACACUUAAUAUCUUUGGAAUAGGGACGCUCAGCUCUAUUUUAGUGGAACUGCACAAAAUGAUCGGAAUGUUGCAUGCUCUAGAUAGCUAUUUUUUCCCAACAUGCCUUGUUGAUUUAGACAGAGUUGGGGGGACGUUGCUGCCAAUGAAAGCAUGGAUCAAUUUUAAUUUAACACCUUCUCACAACUCUAUCUUCAGUUGUGAUGUAAUUAUUAGCUCUGAUAUGCUAAUAAUUGACAUGCAUUAGCAAGGAAGUUAGUUUUUUAUUGUUUCCGAAAGAGCAUCGAUGGCAAGACACGCGAAACAGAAGCUGAAAGCUCACACCAUUGUACAAUUUCAUGUCUCGCUGGAAAAUUAUUUGUAUAGUACGUCAAUUAUGUAAACAAAUGAUGGAAGCUUGAUAGCAUUGCCAGAAGCCUCUUCAUCAACCGGGUCCAUGUGCCAUGCACAAAAUUAUACUCCUUCGUUCCUAAAUAUUUAUCUUUUUACAAAUUUCAAACGGACAUAUUUUAGAGUGUAGAUUCACUCAUUUUGCUUCAUAUGUGUACUCCCUCCGUUCCUAAAUAUUCUAUUCAUCUUUCUAGAGAUUUCAACAAGUGACUACAUAUGGAGCAAAAUGAGAGAAUCUACACUCUAAAAUAUGUAUAUACAUCCGUAUGUGCCAGUCCAUUUGAAAUCUCUAAAAAGACAAAUAUUUGAGUAGUCACUCGUUGAAAUCUCUAGAAAGACAAAUAUACUCCGGAGUAUAUUUAAGAACCGAGGGGGUAGUGCACAACCGCAUGGGAGACUCAACCCGGUCGUUGCGCCGCAUUAAUAGUGAGUAAUGAGCAGACAAAUCGUAAGCCCCACCUUUCCCACUGUAAGUUGCUCUGAAGAAGCAACCAUCAAUACGCUUUUCUUUGAAUCCUCUCAUACUACUCCAUCCGUCACUGUUUAUACAACGUGCUUCAGAAAAAAGAAAAAAGAUCUAUGGGACCAAGGCGACUAGCGAUCGUCCUGAAAAAUAGCAUUGGUAGUUAUAGCAUGGUGUCUAUUACUAGUAGAGGGAAUAAUGCGUACACACAUGCAUGCAAUGCUUCCACCCCGGGUACACACAUGCAUGCACUUACUCCAUUCCGUAGUUACAUGGAGAGAAAAUUGUGGACUUGAUUUCGGUUACCACACCCUAAUUAAUUGAGCAUUAAACCAAACGCGUCUAAAGUCUCUCUGGUGGUGGAAAUGCAUUGAGAGAAAUGCAUCAUAAUGAAGCGCGCCCUGUAAACUGUGAUGGAGGGAGGAGUAGUAUGAAGGUUCAAAACCAAGUACGCAUAUGGCCAGUCGGUCAACGCGCCUCCUCUUGGCAUAUCACUGACAUGUGGGACAGGAGUGUGAGAAAACCGAUCUCAAUUGACGGCAAAGAGCCAACCCGCCGUUCCUUGAGAGAGACGAGGAGCGAGAACACACAGACUGGUUCGCAUGGAGGCCAAGAUAUAUUCGAGCAUGGUUGGUUGAUCGAUAUCAUUCAUUACAUGUUGCCAUGUUGGGCUGCCGUUUUCCGCCCUUCUCCGGAAUAAACGUGUACUCUAUCAGAGAUAAAAAGAAAUAAGAGUACAAACGCUCCACCAUGCGGUUCUAGUAGCAGUACUACUCGUACUACUGCGCUUGGCUCUUCGCCUCUUCGUGAAGUCGAACAAUGAUGGCACUCCGCAUGUUGGGUACUACAGUGUAUGCCUCUGACAAUCUGACACCGAAUGGACUGAUGCAUGUCCACCGAGGGUAGGUUGCAUUAGUCAAAAGGCGUAAGCGAGCUUCACCUUGUCCUGCAAGCUUCUCCUCGUUCUACGAGUUGACGGGACACACCAAAAAGUAGUGCUAGUCCAUACUCCCUCCUUUCCGGUUAAUAUGGCUCAAUCCUUUUUGCGGGUAAAUGAGAGAGCUUUAUUCAUAUAUAAGCAUUCUUAGGACGAUUAGCCGAGACACUGGUCACUAGGAAGCGAGGUACCCCACAAAAAAAUAAGUAGGAAGCGAGGUGUUUCAUCAAGCCAGCUCUCGGCCACAUUCAAAGUGCAGAAAGCACGGUUCGCACGAAGAUGCGCCGCAAGGUUUGCUGACCUGUUUACAUGCUGAAUAACAAAAAAAGAGGAAAUAUUACCGAGCGCUACUAUUUGUAACAGGAUAUGAGCCAGAAUUAAGCGAGAAUUGUGGCGAGUGUUCCAUGCAAUCAACUUCCAUUAUCACAUGCGAGAACCCUCGAAGAUAACCAAAUGUGUUGAAGAUUGCUUUAUCACAUUUUAAAAUUAUAAUAAGAGUGCAGACGCUCCUCCAUCCGGUUCCUAGUACUAGUAUAGUACGUACCUUUAUAGACUAUAUUAGUAAACUUUGCGCUUGGUUGUUCGCCUAUUCGGGAAGUUGAACAACAGUGGCACUAGUAGUAUAGUGUAUGCUUCUGGCAAUCUGACACCAAAUUAACUGUUGCACGUCCACCGCCUGAGCGAGGGAGAGCUUGCAUUAGUCAAAAGUUUUUCCUUGUCCUGCGAACCACCGCGCGCAAGUAAUGCUAGUCCUUACUGCCUCCUAUCCGGUUAAUAUGGAUUAAUUUCAAACGAGAUAAAUACACUGUCUGUCACUGUAUAUUUGUAAAAAUACGGUCAGUGGACUUCAUAAUACGCUCAUUGCACUCAAUAUAUAUAUUUUCCGGUGUUUAUACGGUCACUAGCUCACCCUGACUGAGUAUGUGUGUGCAUGCACGUGUAGGUUGAGCACUUAGCGUGACCGUGUGUGUUCCAUCGUGUGCUCGGACAUGCAUGCAUUAGGGCAUCGCGCACGUUUUUGCGUCCAUGUGUAUGUGUGACUGUUGCAUACACUUAGGGGGAGUACGUGUAGGGGGCACUAAGGAGCAGUAAAAUCACACAAUAAAUCACGUCUGUCGUGUUCGUGUCUGACCCUCCUCCACGGCUCGACGCCACACGGUCGCUCGGCAUGCCACUCAACGCAAACCGAGUAUACGAUAACUUUCCCACCCGCUUGUCGAUGGAUCGCGCCAUGGAGUACUACUAGCACUACUGGAAGAGAUUGAAGAGUUGGGGGAGGAUAGCUAGCUAUAGCACGGACUCCCAAAAACUUUUUACAUGCAUGUUGUAGCCGGCUAUUGCGACCUUUGAACACGGAGCAGCCGCGUGCACCCAGAAGCGACGCGGGCGACACUCUCUCGGCCGGCGCGCCGCUUCAAUGCCGGCGCUAGUGAGAGGUCACGUCCGCUCUGGCCGGGCAUGAAUGCGGCACUGACUGUUUCGGGCGGGAAGCACGCGCAGGUGAUGAAGAGGGUUUGGGUUGGUCAGGACCGGCCGUGGCAGCGGUCCGGACGUGCGCAAACAAGCGAUGUCGUAUGUUAAUAUUGCUGCGUAUAUAAUUAACAACGUAAAUAAUGUGCCAGUUGGACAAAUAUGAUUGUAGAUGGAGAUGGAAAUGGAAUUUUACGUAAACACGGAUAUGCAUGUCUAUGUCUAUGUGUGUGUGCGCGACGACUCUCGCGACCUAGAAGCGGGGGCGUGUUUUUGAUCGAGUUUUCUUUCUUGGUACGUUAGAAAAUCAGUUUAUCCAAUUCACAUCUAGAUGUUAUUUAAGGAUAUCACAUCUAAGCUCCCACAAGUAUAUAAUGUAGCUACAAGAAACAAAAAAAACUAGGACCAAAAAAAAUACCACAAACAGAGUGGACAUCAACUUAGAUGUGACAUAACUAGGGUUUAGGGUGUUAUCUCUAUGACAUAACUUAGAUGUGACAUAACUAGGGUUUAGGGUGACAUGAACCUAGGAUUCAAAGACAAAUAAAAAAUUCAGAAAAGAAUUUUCCUCUCACUACAUCUCUGUCCAUCUGGUUUGUCGAUGUUGGUUCAUUAAUCUUAAGCCCAUCAUGUUUGUUGGUUGUUUGCUGUCAUGUUGUUAUUACUUCCAUUAGGGCAUCUAUUGGUUCAUUAAUCUUAAGCCCAUUAUUCCAUGGAAUAGCUGAACUAUAAUACUAUUAUUCAUUUAUGAUAGUUUGUGAGAUAUAGAAAUAGAUAAAUUUCAGUUUGUAAUGGCUAACAGCCAGCAUGUGAAUCUGUUCUUGAUACUCCUUUUCCCUUUUCUUAGAAUCAUCAUAUACAAAUUAGAACCUUUCUAACAUCUGCAUAUUUCAGGUUUCCGAGGAGGUAAAGGAAGUGAAGUUCAGACAGUGCAGCAGCAGCAACACCUCCAAGGUGAGAAAUAUGUUCCUAUUUAUCUUUUUUUGCUCAAGUUCUUCAGUACAUCAUAUAAUAUAGAGAAGUGCAGAUCAAGUGGUGCAAUCAUAUACAUCUGGCCACUUAAGUCAUCCUUCCCUUUAAGCAGAGUGAUGCCUUUCAAUGUCACACAAUAAUGUUUGUUGCAAUAACAUUCUGCUCUUAGUGUUCGUUUGUUUACAAAGAUCCUGCUUAUAUAUACUGAUGAUGAGUCUUGUUGAAACCUUACAUAUGUUGGUUCCUGCUUAUUUGCUCCAAUGGCACAAACUUGAGCUGCUAGCAUAAAAAGUGUUGCAGGCGACAGACAGUGAGGAGCUACUGUAAAAAACUUGAGCUACUGUCAAAAAAUUUAGUUAGGUACAAUUAGCAUCAUGUAAGAAAAUGACCAUAAUGUGCCCUGAUAAUGAUGUAUUUUGUCAUAAAAAUAUAUAGUGGACUACCAUGAUAAUGACAUGGUCCUGUGUUUGCAAGCUGUCAUAAUCUUCAGUUUACUUGACUUUUGAGCAUGCUAGUAGUGUACUUCCAUGAGUUGUUUUAUUGACAUGGCACAUUUGCAAUGGAGUUUUAUAUAUCUUUAGCCACUAUUCAUUAACAACAAGUCAGUUUUGCUGCUGUUAUGCCUGUAUUCACUGCUGCUGCUUCUGUACUUGUGAUGAUGUUGUACUUCUGAUGAUGCUACUUGUGAUCUUCUGAAAUGACCCAUUGGUGACUUCAUUACGCGGGGAUAAUGAUUUUGCAGGUACCCCGAGAGGCCCUUGAGUUUCCUGGAAUAUCGAUUAACUUCCGUUUCGACAAAUUCGGGUACUCCAUAUGUCCUAUUUUCAGCAAAGGUCAUGCUGAAAUUUUCUAUGAAAUUUAGCAUGACUUUGCUAAAAAUAGGACAUAUGGGGUACUUGCGACUAAUGCAUGGGCCGGGGUAUCUUAGUACUUAGUUAAGUAGGAUCAACUGCCCCUUUAUUCUUGCUGCAUUAAACCAUAGGUGGCAAUAGAGCCAAGUGAUUAGGCCCAACUUAGAAUUCUCCUUAGCCUCGAUAAACCCUAGAUGAUAAACCCAACAUAGGUGGCAAUAGAGCCAAGUGAUUAGUGCCAAGUGAUUAGUGCCAAGUGAUUAGGCCCAACCUAGGGUGCCUCGGCAUCGAUAAACCCUAAAUGAUGAAAAAUUAACUUAGCAUUUAGGGUGAAUCGUCGUCGACAAACCCUAAAUGAUGAAACCUUGGCUUCUAUAGGGUGCCUCGGUGUCGAUGAGAACCUAAAUGAUGUACGCUUAGGCUUUUAGGGUGCCUCGGCAUCGACAAACCCAAAAUGAUAAAAGCUUAGAUUUUAGGAUGCCUCGGUGUCGACAAACCCUAAUGAUGAGACCAUGAUCUUGUUGCUUGACAAUAGCCAACUUUUUGACCAAACUUUUUUCCUAUUUAGAGUGAAACAUGGCCCAUAACGAUGAGGCCGGCGGUUCUGGCGGCAAGCAAUUCCGGGAGCUGUCCUAGGAGUUGGAGGAAGAACCUCACCGCUAUGAGGACGCCGCGGAAGACACCGAUCCUGACUACACAACCCCUAGUGGCGUCAGGGAUGACACCACUGAUGGUGCCGCCGAGGAUGCCACCACUGAUGGUGCCACCGAGGAUGGCACCACUGAUGAUGGCGGCGCACGCACAGAUGGCGCCAACCGAAGAGGCAACGGAAGGACCGGUGCCCGAACACACUCCGCACCAUCAAGGAGUAAUUUACUCAAGUGGACUCCGACGGGCAUCCAACGGAGCCCAAACAUAUAGUCAAGGGGUACUCGGUUCAGCUCGGGUGCAUUCUCCGGAGCAGUGUCUCGAUCAACACCGAGAACCUUAGGCAUAAGGACCGAGGGAAUUUGCGCAACCUCCUCUUCACGAAGCUGCACGAACGAUACAAGUUGCCCACUGAAUUAGAAAACACACGCCUCUUAGGGAAUAAAGUGAACAGUGCCACCCUCACGAGGAUGAGCACGGCCCUGUCUACUUGGAGAAGUGCGGUGAAGAGAAUGAUUGAGAAAGGUGAUAGUUAUGAGAAGAUCAAGGUGAAAAAUCCUUCGAUCAGCGAAGAUGACUACAAAGAGUUCAAGAUCAAGUUCGAGAGCAGCACAACCUCCGAAUCAAGUCAGUGGGGGAAAGAAAUGCGGGAGUUGAACUUAGGGGAACAAAAACUCGGUUCCAGCGGUUAUAGAGUGGCGGAGCCUAUAUGGGACAAGGAGAACGUGGAGCGUGCCGAGCAAGGCCUACCGCCCUGCUUCGAGAAAUACAGUGAUAAGUAGACCAGGAACUAUGUCAGGGCCCGAUACAAGGAGGACCUGAUAAGAAAGGAGCUUACCACGGAUCCAAAGACCAGGGCGCUUGAGCUUGUUCUGGUGAAGGAGACUGAAAGCAGUAGCGCGGGGUCGUCUCAGAGCACCCCUGCUUGGGACAUCACUCUAAAUAGGGCGUUGAACGUAAUGAAAAACAAGGAUAAGCUCAGUAAGCCGUCGUCAGCUGGUCGUGUGGCCGACAAAGGCUUGUCCACAAAAUGGUCGUCAUACUAUACCGCUGGUGGGCGAAAGACGAAAAAGACCAGCUCGGAAAGCCAAUCGUGCGAGGUUCAAGAACUCAAGGCACAAGUGGCGCGGAUUCUAGAGAUUGUCCAAGAGCAAGUGCAACAACAACUGGGCUCGACGCUCACCGGCAUUAUGCCUACCUUGAUUCAUGGGCUGACGACGUGGAUUGCGGGUGGCCAACAGGGGCCGCCCCCGAUUCCUAGCUUCACGGCCAGCAACUCGCACAAUGCUCAGGCGGCACCAUUGGUGUCUCCGGUGGCGGCGGUAUUGGUGUCUCUGGCGCUGGCACGGGCAUUGGAGCUUAAUGCACCCGGGUGUACGCCGGCCGGCAGUUCGGCAGCAAGCGGCCCCUCCGUCAGUUGCACGCCCGCCGUUGGCGGUGCCUAGACAUUAGCCGAGCUCGACGCCAUCAUCAUGGUAACUAAUUAAGCCUCUCGGCCGAGGACUUCAUCUCCUUGCCUUUGUCUAGGCAUCCCUGACGCCCUACAUGUUUUCACAGGGCGCCGCCGACUUUCCGUGCACUCUCCUGCACUUCGUGAGCGACAAGUUGGUCGAUGUCACCAAGGGCAAAAUCGUUCAACCGGGCAACCCUGUGUUCCACGGUAAACCGAUGCCACCCACCGUGUAUAGGGUUCAACAGGUUCGGGUGCUGCCAGGCUGCGACGAGUUGUUACCUCCGAUUCGACCCACCGGGGCCGACGAAGAUGAUCUGAUGACCCUCAGUGCCUGCCUAAGCUGGCCCCUGCUUUGGCUAAAGAGCCAGAUUCGUUUGGGGGUGGGGGACACCACCCCAAAGACAACACCGCCAGUCGUGCCAGUGCCAAGCCAUGGCAAGACCGCCGCAACGCUACCGGACAUGCCGGACAUCCCUAUGGCACAAGAUCCGAACAUGCAUAUGGCAUAGGAUCUGGACGACGACGACAACAACGAUGGCCGUACAUUUAGCAACGUCGAUAAGUACUUUGCCGAACAUGGGUACGAUGACGAAUUGUUGGGGCCUCCUUCUCAAGAACCCAACCCUAGAAAAUACAAUCGCGAUCUAGCUGGUACCGCGGAGAAACCCAAUUGCAACAGGCGUCGUCUGGCGUUUAGUUCUCAGGAGACGCCUCCAGCUGCCGACUUCACCGAGCCUCAGAUAGCCGAGGUGCCAAAUAUUAUCAGCCCCAACACACUCAAGAAGGCGGUCUGUGAGCAGAACUCGGUCCCAUUACAACAGAAGAAGAAGGGACGGAAAAGAAAGUGUAACAAGGGUGCGAGCCAGCCGGCACCGAGUACGAUCCAUGCUCAGGACGGGCCACCUUCACCUAAGGAUAUCUCGAGGAGGGUGCAUGUGGCGGGUAGGGCGAUGCUACCGACAAAUAUGCUCAAUGCUGCAACCGGUGCUAUGCAGAGUCUUCAUGACAGUGUUCUUUCUUUGGAGAAGCGGCGUCUCAGAGAGAAUGAUGUGGCAUACCCGGUUUUCGUGGCCAAGGUGCCAGAGGGCAAGGGCUUUGUGGAUGGCGCCAUCGGGGGUACGAUCGUCCUGCGAAUUGAUGACAUGUUUGCUAUGUUUAACGUUCAUCCGCUGCACUACACCUUCGUUCGGCUGUUUUCACUGAGUAUGGAGAUGCGGAUCAUUAGAGACAAGACCCUGGACAUCGUGAUAGUCGACCCCUUCUACAUGCGUGCCAAGAUCUUGGGCAGCGCUGGGGACCGGCAUGUCGCGAGUUCUUACCUCGAAGGCGUCAUUCUGGCAAACCCAGAUAAGGAUAACUUCCUUGUGCCUUACUUUCCCGAGUAAGUCAUCCGCCUAACUGCCCCGUAACAUAUGAUUUCUUAGAUUUUGAUCGUUCUUUUUUUCUAACAUUCCGUGUUCUGUGCAGUGACACACAUUGCACACUCAUCCUCUUAAGCCCGAAAUAUUCCAUGGCCACGUAUUUCGACCCGGACCGUGACUCCAAGAUAGACUACACAAAUAUCAAGAAAGUUCUUCAUGAUGUUCUCCCCAGCUACGCCAAAUCUUGAGGCACCUUCACCAAGCAGUUCGUAGGUACGGCAGGCACGUGUUCACCCACAAUACAAAGUUCUCCUGCGUCAAGCAGCCGCCUGGCAGUCAGAAGGAUGCCUACUACACCCUCCAUCACAUGCGGGUGAUCGUACGGGACCAUCAUCACCUUCUGCUACCAGAUAAUCUCAAAGGUUGGGCCACGAGCUUGUCGGCAAUCCAGGACGCGGACAUCAGACAAGAAUUAUUUCGCAUCCAGCCGGAGUUUGCGGAAAUUAUCCAUCAAGAUGUCCUUCAUACGUCGGGGCAGUUCUACCUCAGAUAUCAACCGUCCAACAGUGAGAUAGACACAACGCUACAAACGCAGGCUGACAACGCCCAUGAUUUCAUGACCAUCACGACAGAUGGCAGCUUCAUCCACGCUCCGGUCCCAUGAGUCGAGUCGAAAGUAGUGAUGCUAUGUGUAGUUCUGAAACAUUGAUUGGCUCAUGUUGUAAUUAAACUUUAAUGAACUCGUAUGUCUCUUUGGGUUGGACAGUUGUUCAACUUAGAUGUAAUCGAUGCUAUUUAUUAGUAGGACCAUGAAUCGUGCUAUUAAUGUCUUGCUUUUCUCUUCCGAUCCUUUUGUUGCAUACUUAUAUAUUGCUUAUGUAUUGUCUGUUGUUUGGCUUGUGCAUAGAGAUGCCGUCGUAUGUCAUGUACAAGGGUAAGGUUCCCGGAGUCUACGACGACUGGGAGGAGUGUCGGAGACAGGUUCACCAUUGCAGCGGUAAUAGUUACAAAGGGUACACCACUAGGGCGGAGGCGGAAUCUAGAUACGCCCGCUAUCUAGCGGGAGAGAGGAGGGAGCGUUGGAGGAACCAGAUGAAGACCAGUUUCAUCGCGAUGAUGCUCAUCGUGAUGACCGCAGCUCUCUUCUAUGUGAUGGUAGUUUAGAUGAUCGAUAUCGACUUGUAAUGUGAAGACAAACUCGCUACUCGCGGUCUCGACACUUGUAAUGUUCUAUCUUUGUUCGGUCUUUUGAAUUCAGAGACUAAUAUGAUGAAUUGUAUUUAGAGACUAAUCUUCUAUUGUAUUCGAUGAAUCUGCUGUUGCUGUGUGGUGUUGUCUAAAUUCUGUCCAAUAAUAUAUUUUGUAACCUGUGAAAAUAUCAGAAAAGAAAAAAAAUCCCUAAUAUUCAUACUAGUGGCGCACCACUCAAGACACUAAUGGCGCACUGUGAUAAUCACACUAAUGGCGCAUCACCCACUGGUGCGCCAUUAGUGUGCCAAAGCACAUGGGUACAUAUGGCUCCCUGGGAGGCAUACUAAUGGCGCACUGUGGGCUAUACUAAUGGCGCACUACGUGGUGUGCCAUUAGUACACCAGAUACUAAUGGCGCACAGUAUUUAAUUCUAAUGGCGUGGUGCUAGUGGCGCACCAGUAGUGCGCCAUUAGUAGGCAAAACUGGUGCGCCACUAGCAUGCCUUUUCCUAGUAGUGAGGAGGUUGAGCAUGGGACUAUCCCUUCAACCAUGGCGGUGAUAGGAGUUGAGCAUGAAGACAUUUGCACCUAAACCUAUUCGACACCCACAUAUGACGAGAUGCCCCAAUUGCCAUGUGAGGAGAGCCACCACCACAUGAGUGACAUGAGUGACUCCACCACAUGUGACAUUGAGUGUAUUUCCUAUGAGAGGAUGAGCGUGACCACCACUAGCCCCACACAUGACAGCAUGCCACACAACCUAUGUGAGGUUGAGAGCCAUUUGAGUGACUCCACCAAUCAUAUGAGAGAGAGCAUCUUACCGGGAGUGACUGAGGUAGUUGAGAGGGCAUGUGAGGCCACUAUGAUUUCUAACGACUUACCCUCUACUCCGAGUGUGUUUUCCUUUUUGGUGUUAGAUCUCCAAUAAGACGAAACACCAAUCCUGGAUAAGUCCACACCUCCAAUGGGAAAACCGAUGGGCAUGGUGGAAGAAGAUGCACCCCCCACAUGGUACCAUCAAGUUCCAACCUCACCUACAACACAAGAGCGGAGCUCCAAAGGUAACAUAGAUGAUGGUACCUCACUUAUCCCACUAGUGGACUAUCUUGUAAAUGAUUGCUUGCAUGAUGUUGAUCACCAUAUGGAUUCAUCACAUACCAUGUCCUGUUUCGAUAUGCCACCCAUUUAUGGUGAAUAUGGCGAUGAGAAUGUUGAAUUGCCUAGUUGUGAUGCUAUGCUCCAUAGGAUAUCUUGUGAAAAUUCUAUUGGUCACGUCAUGUUUGACAAUCCAUUGAACUUGUUAUAUGUUAUGAGUGAGGUCUCCCAUGUUGCAUCAUUACAAUCUCAACAUAGUAACUAUGCAUGGCCCAUUAAAAUAAAUCCCAUUUGCACUUAUGGCAUAGUUGACAAGAUGAUGGUCAUUGGCUUUUGUUUUUCAUGUGAUGAUAUUUCCAUGCUUCCUUUACAUGAUUUGUGCAAUUCAUCUACUAUGCCAUGAUCACAUUGUUUCGAAUAUGCUUUGCUUUCGAUGUUGUCAAUAUUCUCCAUGUGAUGUUUCCACUAAUGCUCAUGAGGAGACCCCCAUAGUUUCCUCAUACAUAUUAGGAGAUUUUGAUACAUCCCAUCCUUUGCAUGCUUGCCAUAAUUUCUUGCACCAUAUGCAUUCCAUGAAUUAGACUGUUCUACAUAUUUCUCGUGAUGCAUUACACAAUUUGAGUCUCCAUUAUGCUAUACAUAGAAACAAACCUAUCAUGAUGGAUGACAUGUUUCUAUAUCACGCAUCUCAUUUAUUUGAGAAUUGGAUAUUUAGUGCUAACCAACACAUACAUGUGCACAUCAUGAUGGAUGAUGUGUACAUAUACCAUACACACACAAUUUUCCUUUUGACUUUGUUUUGUGUAGGUACUCACAUAUACUCAUCAACCUCUCAAUCCCAAGAGUUGACGAAACGAGCUCUUGAGAGCAACAACGAUUUGGGAUCACGUGAAUUGUCCUUACCACCGUUCUCUUCGCGCGACGACUACGCGCAUCUCUUUUACUUCACUCUCACAUGGCUAUGGACUAUUUACCACUUGUCACCUUAUGCCCAUCCUAUCGUGUUCAAUUUGCAUGUUAUGCCUCUUGACAUGAUUUUGCCAUGCAAUUGUGACCCUUUCUUGCAUUUACCCAUGUUUCACCAUUAUGCUACUCCUAUGUGUAUCUGCAUGCUUGGUGGUGAUACUAGUUGCUAUUGCCAUGUUCUAUAAAUGCUCCAUUCUAUUUUUGGUCCUUGCGUUGGGAGACUCAUGAUGUUCAAUUGCUAUUUACAUAGGACUUCUUGCCAAUACAAUGAUGGUACUUUCCUCAUAUCUUGCUUUCAUGCUUAUGCUAUGUCAUGUGCAUUAUGUAUGCCCACUAUUAGCACACAUGAAAUGAUUACCAUGAUUACUGCUAGUAUGUUGCAUCUUUGUGCUACUGGCUUUCUCACUACAUGGAUCAACUAUUUCACCAACAUGAAGCCUCUUUGCCGUCAGCUAAUCGUCGGGGCAGACAGCGAAGAUUAUUUUGCCGUCAUGAACCUGACAGCAAAUGAUGACUAACGGCAAAGAUUAGGAUUGACUGACAACAAAGAAUGACUAACGACAAAUACAUAUUUUACCGUCUGUAAAAAAACUGAUGACGACAAAGACAUAUUUUGCCGUCUGUUAAAAAAACUGAUGACGACAAAGAUAUUUUGCCGUCUGUAAAAGAAACUGAUGAUGGCAAAGAUAUUUUGCCAUCUGUAAAUAAAAACCACACACGGCAAAACAAGAAACACACCUCGUGGAUCGAUCUCUCGGAUUGAUGACGUGCCAGGAUCCUAGACGCACAUCUCACCCACUCAAGCUGUCGGGCGCACGCCCCCACUCACGCACUGACCCACACGCCCCCCAGGACUCCACACGCCGCACCCAUGAGCGAACCAGCCUGGCUGCCCCCACCCACCCCGUCUCCUCUCUCCUUAUCUCCCCGUGCGAGCUCCUUUCUCUCUCUCGAACGCAUCUAGCGCCCCCAGCGUCUCCCUCUCUCUGCCUCGUCUCACUUCACCCCUGCGCUGGUGGCCCCGCCCGCAAUGUCGGCAGCCCCGCCCCUAUGCACCAGCAUCCCUGCAAGCCUCCGGCGGCCCCGCCCCCACCGGCGGCGUCCCGUGUCCCUGCCCCCAUGGUGCCGCUGGCCUGGGCCCUCCCCCACCGCCCCGAGCAGCCGCACGCGAGCAGCCAGGGCACAACCGGCGCUCCCCCGUCGCCUUGAGCCACCGCACUUGGUCGGCCCUACUCCCCAGCACCACUGACCCCGACCACUUCCCCCUCUUCACUCUAGCCCCUGUCGACCCGAGAAGACGUCGGCGUCCGCAGCACGAUACCGGAUUCGACGCGCCGCUCGCUGUCGACCACCAGCAGGCACCCGCCUCUGCCUCCGUUGCUCUCAUGCGCCGCCACCUUCCCGUGCCGCAGGAUUCUGCCUCCUCUAUUCUCCCCUGUCGACGGUGGGGCUUGGCAUUGAUGGAGUUGGCGGGGUCCAAUGGAUCCAAUGCCUAGAUGUGGUUGGCGAGCUCCGGCGCGGCGGCGGACGGCUUGAGCUCCUCAUGCAUCGGUGGUGCGUCGGUGUACUCCGGAUCAAACUAUGUACCCUAGAGUGUAAUCCGUUCGUGUGUAAUUUGGUCAUCUUGUUAAACGCAGCAGUUUUUUGGAUUAGCUAGUGAUGAUGAAUAGUUAUGUAUAGUGAAAUUAUUUCCUGCGUCGUCAAUUCUUGGAACAACAGUUUGUAUGGAUAUUGUGGUGUUCUUCGUUAGUUCGGUCCCCUCUGGACAAAUUAGAUAUAUUUUUUAUAAAAAAAUCUUUGCCGUCUAUGAUAUUUGAGAAUGAUGACAAAGAUGGAUUCUGGCUAACAGCAAAGGCACUGACGCCGUCCGUCGGUCGGGUCGUUCUGUUAAACGCUUUUUUUGCCAUCUGGCAAUUUUUAAUGACAACAAAAUCGGUUGAAUGACAGCAAAUUCUUUGACAUCUACCCGAUAAAAUGGUGACGGCAAAAUCCCCCUUUCCCGACAUGGUUUGCCGUCAUGGACUGACGGAAAAUCUUCGUCGUUUGUUAUCCUGCCUUUGCCGUCUGUAGGAGCCUGACGUAUUUACUAUGAUUUCUUGCUAUGUUGCAUCACCCAUGAUCCAUUCUUGCUCGUUUCAUUGGGUUGAUAGAAUAUAUGUUCAUGCCUCUCACUUGAUUUGUCUUGAUCAUUGUCUCUUGUAUCCAUUAGUUUCUCCUCUCAUAUGCCAUUGUAGUGAGCGCACCCAUGCUAUGCUUAUUGAUCUUGGAGACUUGGACAUAUUACUUGUGAUGCUUUGUUUGAUUGAGCUUUUGUCUUUGGUUCUACUCGCAUCAUACACUUCCAUACCAUGCCACCUUCCCGUGUACCUUCUAAUGAUAAGAAUGAUGAAAACACUUGUUGGGUAUCCCACCGCUCGAAUGAUAGGUGUUGCAUUUGCACUAACCUCAUUUGCUUUUCCGAGUGUUUGUCAUGUUCUUUUAGUUUUGAAGGAUUCACAAGGCGGUACCAUCAAGAGACACAUUAGUUAUGUGAAGGCGUACACGAUGUGAGACACGAACAUUUUUGAGAAACUACUAAAGGUGAACUCUUUCCCUUUGAGCUAUCUUCAAUUAUGCAUAUUGGAUGGGCCAUACUUUCAUUGUUGUCUCCUUCUUCUUGUCUACAUGAUACAUCUAUUGGAUGGAGCACCGACAUUGGGAUGGACCCUAUGGACCUUCAAGUUGAGGAGUGCUCGAACUUAGUGGAUUCACCUACUUUGGAAGCACCACCGGACCACCACUUCUAUCACGACACUGAGCCAUGGUACAACACCACCCAUAACAACUUUGCAUCUUAUGCAGGGAUUGACUCACAUUUUGAUUGUCUUGUUGCAUCUUGUAUUUCUAUGUCAUCCAUGAUAUAUGAGCUUAUGCACCUCCUUAGCAAAUUUUUUGUGAUCUUUCUUGAUGGCAUAUUCAUACAUAAUGAUCACAUUGCCCAUAAUCAAUUGCAUGAUCACAUAAUCACACUGAGCACAAAUUACCAUGUUCAUGCUUUUGAUACAUCGUCCCAUUAUGACAUCAUUUUGCACGAUGGUGAAAUUAAUCACAUUCGCAACACCUUUGUGCGUACUACAAAUGCUUUUGCUCCCAUGAAUGCUUUGCAUAUCAUUCUAUAUCAUCUUGAUAAGCUUCAUGCGCUUUGUCACGAACAAUCUUGCCGAAAUGGACUCAUACUUACUUGAUGGACGCCUUGGGUGUGCUAACCAUUGUAUUUCCGAGUGUUGCUUGUCUUUGCUCUUUUUGCAUGAAUACCACUCCGGAGACACCUUGGAGUACUUGGAUGGCGCCAUGUCUUCAACUUCAUCCAACUACAAGUUCGUCCACGAUAACCGUUUCCAUGGUGAUGAGGAUCACGAUCCGAGGUUCGAUCUUUCCCAAGGGGGGGAGAUGAUGCGGAGCAUCCUACGAUCAUCCUCAUGUACACUACGACUACUCCCCAAGCCCCAAGAGGACAUACAAAUGAGACCUCGACUAUACGCCAUUGGACACAAGGUGAACUCGCUCCUAUCCGAACUGUCACUUUCGACAUGUGAGACGUGGCUACUACCUCAAACAUAUGUGACAUGCAUGAUCAGGAACCAAGAGGAAGACCCUGGAAGAGCUAGGAGCAUUGGACAAGACAGCGAGGACACAAAGCGUGAGGAGCAAGAGAAAGGGCUGAUAGAAAGUCAUAGCCUCCGGAUAACCGGUCCAUAUCGGACGUCCGACGACUGGAGAUUCAGCCGGCCAGGUCAACUAUAGCCAAAGGCCAAGUCUACAGCGACCGGACGACCGACCAAGGCCGGACGUCCGACAUCCAUCGGCCAUCGAAUGACCGACAACGUCCGGAUAGCCGAUGCCACAUGUCAAGAGAAUAAACAUCGGAAGUCCGAAGACUUCCGGACGUCUGGACGCCCGCGAGCCACCGGAGGAUCGUUACCCACCGGACAUCCGGUACUUCUCUGGGCAUAGAGAUCGGGCCCGAGGCCCAUGUAUCUAUUUCUCCCCUCACUUACCCCUUCGUGGCCCUAGACUAUAUAUACUCCUCCACCUCCUCCAUUUUAGGGUUAGCAUUGGUUUAGCUCAUUUGAGAGAUAGAGCUUUGCUCAUCCAUCUGGAUCUACUCCACCGAGAGAGAUCGCGGCCUCUACGGAGAAGAUUCAUCUUGGAUUCAAGACCCUUCAUGGGAAGACCUUUGAGACCUCCUCACAGAGAAGAACUUGCUACUUGUAUCGUCCUUUGUUGAUCGUGGAUCGCGUAUCUCUUCGUGUUCUGAGGAUCUAGCACAUGUGUAAUCGAAUCUUGUUGGUUUGAGUGUUUUCUCUCGUGUUUCCUCUCGUGUUUUCCCUCAUGUUCUUAUUAGGAUCCGCUCCAAUCAUGAAAGGUUGGCCCUAGGGUUUCCACCCUACAUCACUUGCUAAAAACCUGGGUGCUACCUAAGCUUAGUUAUGUAAACAAGAGCAAGAUAGUUCGUAAAACUUUUUCUUUUUCACUUUCAGUUUAUCAACUGAAUUUCUUGAGGAUAAGCAAAUGUUUAAAGUUGGGGGAGUUGAUACGUCUCCGUGGUAUAUACUUUUCCUAACACUUAUACUCUUGUUUUGGACUCUAAUUUACUUGAUUUGAAUGAAACUAACCCGGACUAACGUUGUUUUCAGCAUAACUACCGUGGUGUUGUCUUUGUGUGCAGAUAUAAAAGUUCUCAGAAUGGAAUGAAACUUUUUGGAGAUUAUUUAUGGAAUAAAAGAAAAAUACUGGAGCGAAGAACCACCGGAGGGGGGAGGGGGGUGAGCACAACCCACCAGGGCGCGCCCCCUCCUGGCGCGCCCAGGUGAGUUGUGCCAAACUGUGGCCCCGCCGACCCUAUCUCCGACACUAUAAAAUCCUAUUUUUUGAGAAAAAAAUCAGGAAGAAAGAAUUAUUGUGUUUUACGAGAUGGAGACGCCGCCGCCUCCUGUUCUUCAUCUAGAGGCCAGAUCUGGAGUCCGUUUGGGGCUCCGGAGAUGGGAAUCUUCGAUCUUCAUCAUCACCAACCCUUCUCCAUCGCCAAUUCCAUGAUGCUCCCCACCGGGAGUGAGUAAUUCCUUCGUAGGCUUGCUGGUCGGUGAGGGAGUUUGAUGAGAUUCAUAUGUAAUCGAGUUAGUUUUGUUAGGGCCUGAUCCCUAGUAUCCAUUAUGUUCUGAGAUUGAUGUUGUUAUGACUUUGCCAUGCUUAACGCUUGUCACUUUGGGCCCGGGUGCCAUGAUUUCAGAUCUAAAAUGUUUAUCUUAUCACCAUUAUAUCUAUGUUCUAUAACCGAUCUUGCAAGUUAUAGUCACCUAUUACGUGUUAUGAUCCGCAAACCCCGGAGUGACAAUAGUCGACAUACUUUCCGGUGAUGACCAUAAUUUGAGGAGUUCAUGUAUUCACUGUGUGCCAAUGCUUUGUUCCGGUUCUCUAUUCAAAGGAGGCCUUAAUAUCCCUUAGUUUCCUUAUGGACCCUACUGCCACGGGAGGGUAGGACAAAAGAUGUCGAGCAAGUAUGACUAUUUACGAAAUACAUGCCUACAAUAUAUAUAUAUAUAUAUGAACUGGAGCUAGUGCCGUAUCGCCCUAGGUUAUGACUGUUAUAUGAUGAAUAUCAUCCAGCGAAUUCACCGAUCCAAUGCCUACGAGUUUUUCACAUAUUGUUCUUGCUAAGUUACUAUUGCUAUUGUUACUAUUUCACUUGCUACAAAAUCAUUGCUAUCACUGGUACCGUUACUACUACUAUUGCUACUACCAUCGAAAUUAUCAUACUAAUGUGCUACUAAUUAUAUUUCUGCAGAUAAUUAAUCUCCAGGUGUGGUUGAAUUGACAACUCAUCUACUAAUACUUGCAAAUACUCUUUGGCUUCCCUUGUGUCGAAUCUAUAAAUUUGGGUUGAAUACUUUACCCUCGAAAACUAUUGCGAUCCCCUAUACUUGUAGGUUAUCAGUCACGAUCCCUUCCCCCCUUCUCGGCCUCGCACUAAUGCGCUUGGUUAAUAGGCGCAGUGUGGCUAUUCUAUUUCCAACUCCAACCACGCAACCCCGGAGCCACACCCCUAAGAUAGAUAUUGGGAUGACGGGUGUCGGUGUCAAAAACCGGCGGAUCUCCGGUAGGGGGUCCCGAACUGUGCGUCUAAGGAUAAUGGUAACAUGAGGCAGGGGACAUGAUGUUUUACCCAGGUUUGGGCCCUCUCGGUGGAGGUAAUACCCUACUUCCUUCUUGAUUGAUCUUGAUGAUAUGAGUAUUACAAAAGUUGAUCUACCACGAGAUCGUAGAGGCUAAACCCUAGAAGCUAGCCUAUGAUUAUGAUUGUUGUUGUCCUACGGACUAAACCCUCAAGUUUAUAUAGACACCGGAGGAGGCUAGGGUUACACAGAGUUGGUUACAAAGAAGAACAUGUAACAUCUGAAUCGCCAAGCUUGUCUUCCACGCAAAGGAGAGUCCCAUCCAGACACAGGACAAAGUCUUGAGUCUUGUAUCUUCAUAGUGCAACAGUCCGGCCAAAGUAUAUAGUCCGGCUGUCCGGAUACCCCCUAAUCCAGGACUCCCUCAGUAGCCCCUGAACCAGGCUUCAAUGACGAUGAGUCCGGCGUGCAGAUUGUCUUCGGCAUUGCAAGGCGGGUUCCAUCUCCGAAUACUCCAAAGUAAGUCUCGAACACUUAAACCGUGUCUGGCUCUGCAAGAUAAUUUCCACACACCACCGUAGAGAGCAUAACACUUUACAAAUCUAAUCUGCUGACAAUUUUUUCAUGGUGUGCCCUUACGCCGCGGCCUGGUUUGAUACGAACCGGUUUUUCUCGGCCUGCCAUGACACGCACUACAAGGCGGUUUUAUUGGCACGCCUCGUCGAAGCAGAGAUCGUGUCCCCUUAUUGCGGGAUUCCCAUCAAUACGGGUGCGGGCAACCCCACUAUGCCUGUUGGUAUAACUCCAUGUUUUUAGGCAAGUCCCAAGCGAUUACACUGGGGAUGCUCGAUAUUCACCCCCUUUAUAGAGGGGCCGAGGCCUAUCCCUCUCUCUUACCACGCUUGCGCCUUUCUGCAUCUCGAGUUCCAACACCCGAAGCUCAAGCUUAGGCACUUCGAAUCUUCAAUCAUGUCCAGAUCUAACCUUCAAGGCCAAUGGAUGGCCUCCUCUGUCACAGAGGAGGACAUUGCAAAGCUUAGGGAGGCCAGAUAUCUGACCGCCGACAUCAAGCACAGGCUUCCUGCUCCAGGGAAGGUCAUCCCUACUCCCGAGCCCAACGAGAGCGUUGUAUUUGUUUCUCACUUCCUCCGUGGCUUAGGCUUCACCCUCGAUCCCUUCGUGAGAGGGCUCUUGUUCUAUUACGGGCUAGUUUUCAUGAUCUAGCUCCGGACUCCAUCCUUCACAUCUCGUCAUUUAUCAUCGUGUGUGAAGCCUUCCUCCACAUCACCCCGCACUUCGGCUUAUGGCUCAAGACCUUUAAUGUAAAUCGAAGGCAAUCGAGGGGCGACACGUGGAGUGCGGAGGUGCUGCAAUAAGCAGAAACGCCGAUGCCCCAUGGCCAGAGGGCUUCUUCCCGGAGGUGUCCGAUCUAUGGCAGCAGAGGUGGUUCUAUGUCACGGCUCCUAGAGGCACAAAGUGGGUGGCUGCCCCCGACUUCCGCUCGGCCCCCCCGCCUCAACUGGCGUCGUGGGCCAACAUGGGACUGGAUUGGGGGCCUACUAAUGACGUACCGACAUUUCAAAGCCGCAUUCGGGAGCUUCUUGAGAGGGACAUCAGUUUGUCAGUGUAAUUCAGGUAAUGCUAGUCCGACGGAUCUUGCCGUGCAAACGUCGGCCCCUCCAGAUGUGGGAGUCCAACCCAGAAGGUCCACGAACUAUUCAGCACUUCUUCGGCCUGUCGCUCGAAGGGAUGUAUAGGUUAUUCUUCGGACCACAAGUAAAGUAUCCGGACACCACCAAGGAUGCGGAUCUGAGCUGCAACCGCCCAGAUACCCCAGUAAGUAACCCUGAAACCGAACACUUCGUUUAUAUUUAUCACAACAUUAUUCUAAAAACUGUCCAUGGCCAGGAUUGGCUCAGCAAGGCGGAGAGAAUCAGGUGUCCGGCACCACUUCCCUAAGGCUCGCCUAGUCCUGCAAUAGCCAGGAUGCUUAGAUGUGUGCUAAGUCAAGUGCCCUCGGGGAAAGAUGAAGGGAAGAAUGGAGAAGCCGAGCUUCACACAUUGCACAUCCAAACCGGGGGAAUUACUGUCUCCACGAUGGAGGAUAGUCGAGGAGGGGAAUCUAAGGUCUCCUCCCCCCGUGGGAAGAAGAGGGCCGCCUCCGAGGACUUUGAAACAGAGGUGCCUAGACAAGGGAAAAAAACUUCACCAGGGGGCCCUGUCCCGGAGGGCAUCCUCACCGCGCCACGCCCGCAAACGGGGCAGCCCUCCACCGAGUUGUCAGUUAAUCGUAAGUACAACACUACUGCUUCUUCCUCCGAGACCAAUAACCAGGAUCCAUCCUUUGAAGUCCGGCCAGUAGCUCUUCUCGAUAGAGUUCGUCUUCGGGGGAUCUUCUUCCGGAGAUGAUGGAGAGUGAAACCCCACCUACCUCUCCGCCCCAUGGGGCGGGCGACCCUGAGGUGCAUGGAGGAGUCCAGAUUCGCCGAGGCCAGAAGCUAACACUUCGGCUGCCCUGAUCCCGGAGCGUUCGGCUCCCACGGGGGGCAAUAAGGAGGGUCCGGUACAGUCCGGCGGCCGGCCGGACAAGCUGACGGGCCUUCUGGAGCAAGCUGCUCUCUCAGAGGAUCACCGUGCGUUAAUGGGCACGGUGCUUGACAAAAUUUCAUCCGCUACAAGCGGGUUGAAUGAAGCUUUUACGAGCCUGCUCAAAGGCUUUGAGGUACAUACAUAAUUUUUGGCUGUACCACACGCGCUAGGUGUGCUCCAUAUAGAUAGUAGCCCCUGAGAAUCUGAUUGCCAGCCCUGGGCGGAAAAAGCAGGAUCACACUCUCAAGUAAUGAUUGCACUGCAUUCAUGCGCAGGUGGCUAAGGGUCCGGCGAUAGACCAGACCGCUGAAUUCACCGAACUGAAGCGAUAGAUUGAAGUUGUGGACGCCGACAUAACGCUUGUGAACGAGCGGCUUGACUAGUCAUAGAGUAUGUGCUCUAUUUUCCUCAUUCGUUAUAGGAAAUAUUAAGAGGAGCAUAAUAUUAAUGUGAUAUGCUUUGGCUGUAGGCCAAGCUGCUGCCGUGGAGGCCCUGAGGGCGGAACUUGCCCUAGCCAAGGAACAAGCCUGGGCUAGCAAUGCGGCUGCCCUAAAGGCGGCCGAAGAUUUGAGAGCCAAACAGGCUGCUCAUCGCCGAAGCGAAGAUAAAAUAGCCGAGAUGGCUGUGGAGCUGAGAGACGCCGCCGGCCGGUAUGAGCUCCUUGAAAAGGAGAAUCAGGCGAAGUCGGCUGACCUGAAGAAGGCCCUUGAUGCGUCCAAGGAGACGCGUUCCAAAAUUAGGGAUGCGCGGGAGGAUCUUCGACAAGCCAGAGAAAUUGCGGCUGGAAACCCCUACUUGUUGCGGAUGAAGUUCUUAGAUCCAAAGUACACUCCUCUGGAUCGGCUCUGGAGCGCUGCAGACAUGUAUGCGGAUCUGGCAAAAAGUACGGCUGAUGCAACCAAGUUUUUUGAGGAUCAAAAAGAUAGUGAAGUAGAAAGGCUGUUUUGGUCGCAAUUCUGUGCUCCAACACGCCCGUUGCCAUUGAGUGAAAGGAUGGCCACUGUGGACGAGCUCCAUAGGUUGUCCAGUCUUGCAAUGAGGUGUGUAAUAGACCAUCUAUGGCCGAAGGGACCGAAGCCGGACAAUUAUUUUGGUUUAGUGCAACAAUUCCUUGGCGUCGUAUCACGAAUCGACGCCAUGAAGAGUUCGGCGUGCAUAGAGGGUGCACAGAUGGCUCUUGCCCAUGUUAAAACAUAUUGGGCAGAUAUCGAGGCCACCAUCAUUGCAACCCAGAAUCCGGCGGGAGGCCAGGAUCCAGCCGAGCACUAUUUCAAGCAGGUAACAGAAGGUGCUCAUUUAAUAGAGGCUUAGUGCUCGAAGAGUGUCAUGUUAGAGUGACAAAUCGUUCUGUUGUAAAACAAUUGUAUUUUAAUUAUAGAGGCUAUGUUUAUACUUUCGCCCGCAAGUGUUAUUGUGCCUCCUGUGCGGCCGUUUGAUGUAUAUAUAACCUGAAAGUUAGAAGUCGUUGGCUUCAGCCCCCACGCAUACAAUGUGGGGGUGUUCGCAAAAAUGUGCGUAAUCACACUUGAUCCAACGUCUUGGUCCAUUAAGGAGGUGAUCGCACGUCGAACUAGGCAACCGGACUAUAUAACUUUAAUACUUUCACUUAGCCAUAGGAUUUUGACGGUGGGGCUACUAUGUAGCCCCUGGUACCUUCGCGUGCAUCCGGAUAUGGGUGCGUGUGUACAUGACCGGGAAACAGACCUUCGUUAAUGCGGAGGAAUCCUAAAGAUUCCGAUGAGUCCUCGAGUGGUUGACCAGUCUCUCGCUAUAUCAUGACAGUUAGUUUUCGGCUUUCUCUACUGAGGUGCUCAUCCGGAAUAACCAGGGCACAAUCGCAGUAGUUCUCCUUUGGCCGCCUCAGCCGAUAGAAGCGGAACGUAAGGCAGCAAACCCAGGAGCCGGGCAAACCCAACAUUUGACUAAAGACAUGAUUCGGAGCUGAUGCAUAUAAGGCCAAACUCGCGACGCCAAACACUCCCGAAGGUAUUCGGACUUUAUAACAUAUAUUGGGCUGAGUAGCGCCCUUGAUUAUGAACCUUGUAUUUCCAGGUACGUGCAUUAGUCUGUCGUGGCGAAAUGCCAAUAACGCCAGUAUCCCCUGUGGGUGUAUUGAGUGCCCAUGGGAUGUCAAGCAACAAGAGACAAUAAAGAAGGUUUAUACAUGGGCUUAAUCUAAAGAGAAACCUUUGAGCAGGGCCCUGCUGCACGUCUGCGUCUUUGUCUCCGUUGUGCCGUGUCCUUUUAGGGUGUCACACGAAUGGUGUCUGUAAAAAGGAAAACUAAUGUAAAAGAGUAUGGCGUAAGCGUGCGAAGAGUUGGUUAUUAUAAAUGGAUAGUAGAAGUGUAAGACAUUUGCCUGUUAAUAAGGUCAAGCCAAAAGGUGGGCUUUAUUGCAUGUUUGCAGCCCCUGAUGCCCUCUGUGGGAUUACGUGUAUAGAACCCAGCUCAGGUUUAUCUAGGCUGUUACCGACGGUGGUGCGCCGGACUCGUCUAACCAUGUCCGUGGUCUUAACGACCGAUCAUGCGUUCUGAUAGGAGAGGCCGCUUAGUGUCAGGCUGCUAUAGCCGCCGCAUACUCUUCCGCACGUAAGGAACACUCUGUGUUUCCGCUAACUGUGAUGACGCCAUGUGUAUCAGGCAUCUUGAGUUUAAGGUAGGCAUAGUGUGGCACUGCAUUGAAGCGAGCAAAGGCCGUUCUUCCGAGCAAUGCAUGAUAACCGCUUCGGAAGGGAGCGAUGUCGAAGAGUAAAUCUUCGCUUCUGAAGUUGCCGGGAGAACCGAAUGUCACCUCUAAUAUGAGGGAGCCCCUGCAGCACGCCUCAACGCCUAGUAUCACUCCUUUAAAGGUGGUGUUACUUUGGCUGAUUCUGGAUGGUUCUAUCCCCAUCUUGCGGAUAGUGUCCUGAUAUAUUAGAUUGAUACUACUGCCGCCGCCAAUGAGGACAUGAAUGAGAUGGUAUCCAUCAAUUAUUGGGUCGAUCACCAAGGCAGCCGAUCCUCCAUGUCGGAUACUAAUCGGGUGGUCCCUGUGAUCAAAGGUGAUCGGGCAGGCCGACUGGGGGUUGAGUUUGGGGGCAACGGGCUCUACAGCGUAUACGUCUCUGAGCGCGCGCUUGCGCCUUCUCUUUGGUAUAUGAGUCGCGUAGAUCAUGUUUACUGUUUUUGCCUCUGGCGGGAAUUUUUUCUGUCCCCCAGUGUUCGGCUGGCGAGGCUCAUCCUCGUCUUCUCUUCGUGUUUCCCUUCCCUUGUGUUCGGCAUUUAACUUGCUGGCCUGCUUAAAGCCCCAGCAUUCUCUGUGAGUGUGGUUCGCAGCUUUUUCGGGGGUGCCAUGAAUUUGGCACAAUCUAUCUAGGACUUUGUUCAGGCCGGACGGUCCCUCUUUGCUGCCUUUAAAUGGCUUCUUUUGUUGACCGGGUCGAGAGCCCCUGAAUCCAACGUUGAUCGUUGUGUUGUUGGGACUUUCUUCCUUGUUUUGACGCUUGUUUUUAUUGCGCCGUGGCUUCCCGUUGCCAUCCCUAAUUUCGGAUGUGCCCGGGUCGCUGGUGCCUCUAUGGGCCAACCAGCUGUCUUCACCCGCGCAGAAGCGGGUCAUAAGGCUUGUUAAGGCUGGCAUUGUCCUCGGCUUUUCCUGGCCGAGGUCUCUGGCGAGCCACUCGUCUCGGAUGCUGUGCUUGAAGGCCUCUAGGGCUUCGGCAUCCGGACAAUCAACAAUUUGAUUCUUCUUAGUGAGAAAUCUGUUCCAAAGCUUACGAGCGGACUCUCCGGGCUGUUGUAUGAUACGUCUCCAACUUAUCUACUUUUCCAAACACUUUUGCCCUUGUUUUGGACUCUAACUUGCAUGAUUUGAAUGAAACUAACCCGGACUGACGCUGUUUUCAGCAAAACUGCCAUGAUGUUGUUUUAUGUGUAGAAAAGAAAAGUUCUCGGAAUGUCCUGGAAAUCCAUGGAGGCACUUUUUGGAUUUAAUAAGAAUUUUUGGCGAAAGAAUUAAUGCCAGGGGGCCCACGGCCUGUCCACGAGACAGGGGGAGCCCCCCUAUCUCGUGGGCCCCCCUGGACCUCCUCUGACCUCAACUCCAACUCCAUAUAUUUCGUCUCGGGGAGAAAAAAAUCAGAGAGAAAGUUUCAUCGCGUUUCACGACACGGAGCCACCGCCAAGUCCUAAUCUCUCUCGGGAGGGCUGAUCUGGAGUCCGUUCGGGGCUCUCGGGAGGGGGAUUCAUCGCCGUCGUCAUCAUCAACCAUCCUCCAUCACCAAUUUCAUGAUGCUCACUGCCGUGCGUGAGUAAUUCAAUCGUAGGCUUGCUGGACAGUGAUGGGUUGGAUGAGAUUUACCAUGUAAUCAAGUUAGUUUUGUUAGGGUUUGAUCCCUAGUAUCCACUAUGUUCUGAGAUUGAUGUCGCUAUGACUUUGCUAUGCUUACUGCUUGUCACUAGGGCCCGAGUGCCAUGAUUUCAGAUCUGAACCUAUUAUGUUUUCAUGAAUAUAUGUGUGUUUUUUAUCCUAUCUUGCAAGUCUAUAGUCACCUAUUAUGUGUUAUGAUCCGACAACCUCGAAGUGACAAUAAUCGGGAUACUUCUCGGUGAUGACCGUAGUUUGAGGAGUUCAUGUAUUCACUAUGUGUUAAUGCUUUGGUCCGGUUCUCUAUUAAAAGGAGGGCUUAAUAUCCCUUAGUUUCCGCUAGGACCCCGCUUCAAUGGGAGGGUAGGACAAAAGACAUCAUGCAAGUUCUUUUCCAUAAGCACGUAUGACUAUUUACGGAAUACAUGCCUACAUUAUAUUGAUGAAUUGGAGCUCGUUCUAUAUCACCCUAUGUUAUAACUAUUGCAUGAGGAAUCGCAUCCGGCAUAAUUAUCCAUCACUGAUCCAUUGCCUACGAGCUUUUCAUAUAUUGUUCUUCGCUUAUUUACUUUUCUGUUGCUACUGUUACAACUACUACAAAAACCCAAAAACAUUUAUAUUUACUUUUGUACCACUUUUGCUACUAAACACUUUGCUGCAGAUACUAAGUUAUCCAGGUGUGGUUGAAUUUACAACUCAACUGCUAAUAGUCAAGAAUAUUCUUUGGCUCCCCUUGUGUCGAAUCAAUAAAUUUGGGUUGAAUACUCUACCUUCAAAUGCUGUUGCGAUCCCCUAUACUUGUGGGUUAUCAAGACUAAUUUCUGGCGCCAUUGCCGGGGAGCAUAGCUCUAUUCUCUGAGUCACUUGGGAUUUAUAUCUGUUGAUCACUAUGAAGAACUUGAAAGAUGAUCGAACUACUAUUUUUCCCUCAACUACGAGGGGAGGUAAGGAACUGCCAUCUAGCCUUGCACUAGAUUCUCCUUCUGUUAUCAGUAGGCUUGCUACAACUAGAUCUGCUACUGCUAUGAAUUCUGAUAUGUCGCAUAUUAUUGAUGAUGCCACUUCUGCUAGGCAUGAUGAAACUACUUCUGUGCUUGAUACUACUGUGCCAUUAGGUGAAUUCCUAGAUGAACAACUUGCUAGAGUUAGGGGGAAUGAAAAUAUUGAAGAACCUAUUAUUGAUGAUAGUGAUGAUGAAGGUUCCCCCAAUGAUUAUGUAUUACCUGUUGUUCCUAAGGAUUAUGUUAUGAAUGAAAAAGAUGCUAUGGAAAUUCUUGCUUGCAAUGAUAGAAAUGAUCUUCAGAAGUUAUUAGCUAAAUGGAAGCAGCAGUCUCUUAAUGCUAGAAUGAAACCCGAUCCUGCUUUUGCUACUUCACCUAUCUGUGUUACUGAUAAGGAUUAUGAAUUCUCUGUUGAUCCUGAUAUUAUUACUUUAGUUGAAUCUGAUCCUUUUUAUGCCCUUGAAUCUGAAAUUGUUGUGGCACAUCUUACCAAGUUGAAUGAUAUAGCCACCCUGUUUACUAAUGAUGAGAAGUCUCGCUAUUUAUACAUCCUUAAGAUAUUUCCGUUCUCAUUAAAGGGUGAUGCUAAGACUUGGUAUAAUUCUCUUGCUCCUGGUUGUGUGCGUAGUCCCCAGGAUAUGAUUUAUUACUUCUCUGCUAAAUAUUUCCCUGCUCAUAAGAAACAAGCUGCCUUGCGGGGAAUAUAUAAUUUUGUGCAAAUCAAAGAAGAGAGUCUCCCACAAGCUUGGGGGAGGCUUCUCCGGUUACUUAAUGCUUUGCCUGAUCAUCCUCUUAAGAAAAAUGAAAUACUUGAUAUCUUUUAUAAUGGACUAACCGAUGCUUCCAAGGACUACUUGGAUAGUUGUGCUGGUUAUGUUUUCAGGGAAAGAACAGUCGACGAAGCUAAAAUACUAUUGAAUAAUAUGUUGACCAAUGAAAAUAAUUGGACUCUUCCUGAGCCAGUUCCUAAAGUAAUUCCUGAACCAAUUGAGCCAACUCCUAAGCCUAUUCCUAAAACCACUCCGAAGAAGAGAGGUGUUUUAUUUCUCAGUCCUGAAGAUAUGUAAGAGGCAAAGAAAUCAAUGAAAGAAAAAGGUAUUAAAGCUGAAGAUGUUAAGAAUUUACCUCCUAUUGAAGAAAUACAUGGUCUUAAUAUACCGCAUGUUGAAGAACCACAUUGUCUUGAUAACUCGACACAGGUAGUAAAGGUAAAUUCUCUCUAUAGAUAUGACAAAGUUGAAGUCCCCUCUACUAAAUUUCAUAGCCCAUGCUUAGAUGAAUUUGAUGACUUUAUGGCUAGACAAGAAAGUUUCAAUGUUUAUGUUGGUAGAGAGUUAAAGAAUAAUGCUUUCGAGAUAGGACGCGUAGGUGAUAAUCUGGCUAGAGUUAAAGAUGAACUUCACCGCGUUAGCAAAUAUGCUUCUAUGGUUGCUACUCAAGCUGAGCAAGUACUAAAAGCUCAAAAUGAUUUGCUUGAUGAAUUAAAUAAUAAAAAUGACUUUGCUGUUAGAGUGGCUACUAGAACUGGUAGAAUGACUCAGGAACCUUUGUAUCCUGAAGGCCACCCUAAGAGAAUCGAGCAAGAUUCUCAGAGAAAUAAUUUAGGGGCACCUAGUUCUUCUAAAAAGAAGAAGAAGAAAAACGAUAGAACUUUGCAUGCUUCUAGUGAACCUACUGUAGACACACUUGAGAAUCCUAAUGAUAUUUCUACCUCUGAUGCUGAAACACAAUCAGGUGAUGAACAUGAACCUAGUGAUAAUGUUAAUGAUAAUGUUCAUGUUCAUGCUCAACCUAGCAAAGACAAUGAUGUAGAAAUUGAACCUGCUGUUGAUCUUGAUAACCCACAAUCAAAGAAUCAACGUUAUGAUAAGAGAGAUUUUGUUGCUAGGAAGCACUGUAAAGAAAGAGAACCAUGGGUUCAGAAACCCAUGCCCUUUCCUCCUAAACUAUCCAAGUCAAAGGAUGAUGAGGAUUUUGAGCGCAUUGCUGAAAUGAUUAGAUCUAUUUUCUUACGUAUGCGCUUAACUGAUAUGCUUAAAGUAAAUCCUUAUGCUAAGUAUAUGAAGGAUAUCAUCACAAAUAAAAGAAAGAUACCGAAAGCUGAAAUUUCCACCAUGCUUGCUAAUUACACUUUUAAGGGUGGAAUACCAAAGAAACUUGGAGAUCCGGGUGUACCAACUAUACUAUGCUCUAUUAAAAGAAAUUAUGUCAGAACUGCUUUAUGUCAUCUUGGAGCUGGUGUUAGUGUUAUGCCUCUCUCUUUAUAUCAUAGACUUGAAUUAAAUAAGUUGACACCUACUGAAAUAUCUUUGCAAAUGGCUGAUAAAUCAACUGCUAUACCUGUCGGUAUUUGUGAGGAUGUGCCUGUUGUGGUUGCAAAUGUCACUAUCUUAAUGGACUUUUUUAUUCUUGAUAUCCCCGAGGACGAUAGUAUGUCUAUUAUCCUUGGUAGACCUUUUCUUAAUAAUGCAGGGGCUGUUAUUGAUUGCAACAAAGGCAAUGUCACUUUUCAUGUUAAUGGUAAUGAGAAUAUUGUACACUUUCCGAGGAAACAAUCUCAAGUUCAUAGCAUCAAUUCAAUUGAAAAAGUUCCAACUAUCAUUUUUGGAUAUUUUGAAUUUCCUCUCCCUACUGUCAAGAAAAAGUAUGAUAUUCUUAUUGUUGGGGAUUUUCAUAUCCCCGUUGAGUUAACUUAGUGUUAUUCAAAAUUUCUCCGGUUCCGUCUUAUUCGAAAUGAGUUUGUUAACAAGACUUGAUCAACCUUGUUAGUGGAUUCAUUUUGAUGAUCACGAGAUGGGUGAAACUAGAAGGCACAACCCUCUGUACCCUCUUUUUACUUUCUGUUAUUUAGAAUAAAUAAAGCAAAAAUAGUAUUAUCCAUCUGUUUUCUGAAUUAUCAAUGCAUUAAAAAAUAGUCCGAAAAUAAAAGUGCUCCAAAUGCCCUGCAAAUUUAGUAUGAUUUUUUCUGGAAUAUUUGAGGAUUUUAGGCACUGAAAACACUGCAGGAGGGGCAAGCACCAGGCCACGAGAGAGGAGGGUGCGCCCCCCUGUAGGGCGCGCCCCCUGUCUCGUGGGCCCCAGGUGGCUCCCCUCCACUUAUGCCAGCACCCACACACUUCAUCUUCUACCCAAAAAAUUCCCCAUCCAGCUCAAACACAAGUUCUGGCUCGUUUUGCUGCGAUUUUCGAUCUCUUAGCUCAAAGCUCCAUUCGCAAAACUACUUUGGGAGAUUGUUGCUUGGUAUGUGACUCCUCCAUUGGUCCAAUUAGUUUUUGUUCUAGUGCUUUAUUUAUUGCAAAUUUUUGUUGCAAAGGUGACCAUGUUCUUGAGCUUGCAUGUUAAAUUUUUGAGGUCCCAAGCAAUUCAAAUGCAUGAUAUAGGCUCUAGGCACUUGUAGGAGUAGUUGCUAUCAAUCGUGUUUAGUUUUAUUCACUUUUAUUUUGAAGUUACUAAAAUUUCAGAAAUUUUCAAAAAAAGAUAUAUGCUUAGAAGGAUGUACCAAGGUGGUUCCUCGGCAAAGAAAGGGCCAAGUAUUGCUAUACAUGAACAAGAUGUUAAUUUGCCAAGGGUCGCAAAUGUACGGGCUUGUGAGUGGCCAUCCGAUGAUUUUAUGGUCGAAGCAGGCUUCAAGGAGGGAUUUGACGCGUAUGUGCGUAAUGCCGAGCUGGACGACUUCUUACAAGAUAAGUGUCCCCAAUAUUAUCAGUUGAUUGAUUCCUUUGUGCGGAGGUUCGAAUAUAUUUCUGCGUGCAAUUUCCUAGUGUCAUGUUUGAUAUUUAUGAUACAUGUUAUACCAUGGAUUUAGAGGAUUUCACAACUGCUUGCAAACUCCCGUAGUGGGGUAAUAUUAAUGAUCCUCCCAAAUCUGAAUUUAGAGAUUUUCUUGCUAGUAUUACUGUGGGAGAAUCAAGGAACGUAGCACAAGCUACCAUAGGGAGCAUUCACUUUCCUGCUAUACAUUACUUUGCUCUCUUUAUUGGUAGAUGCAUUAACGGCAAGGACGAGGUAUUUCACAUGUGUGCCCCUGAUCUUAGUGUCCUCAAGAGUGCUAUGUCAGGUUAUAAAGGUUAUAACUUGGGGGCAAUAGUUGCACGUAGGUUGCAGAACAAUAAUAGAAGGGGAGAUUUCUUUGGAGUAAUUUAUGCAACCCGUGUGGCUAAUUUUCUUAAUAUAGCUCCUCGAGAGGGGGAUAUGAUUGUACCUCCUGUUUAUUUGGAUAAAGAAGCUAUGUUUGAUCAUCAUUUUCUUGAGAGGAAUGAACAAUUCCUCCAUUAUCGACUAAUCUAUGACAGACGCAACGUUGUCCCUGUUACUCUUCCUGCUCCCUACCUUUUUGGUUAUCUGGCAAAAGGAAGAUAUGUUGUCACUAGGGAAGAAGCAACUGAAUAUGAGAGAGGAAUGGAGGCACCUCGCCAACACGCUACUGCUCAAGAGGCGGUCGCCUCUGCAUCUCAGUACUACCCCAGUUACUCUUAUGGAUAUCAGUCAUGCGGUCAUUGGUAUUAGACCAACUUAGGCCAAAAGCCUAAGCUUGGGGGAGUAUGUAUUUCUCACCGACUUUACAUUCAUGUUCACACACUAGUCGUUGGUGCUCAUACUCUUUCAUUGUAUUAUCCAUGCUAGUUUAAAUUUCUUUUUCUAGUUUUCUUCUUGUGUGUUCGAUAAACUUUAAGAAAAACCAAAAAAAUAGUUAGUUUAAUUUCCUUGCCUGUAGUAGAAAUUAAAAUGAAAACCCAAAAAGAUUUAUCGUUCUUCUUUUACUUGUUGGGAGCUUUCCCGUGUAAAUAGUUUUAUUUUCUUUUCUUUCUUUUGGGGGUCGAGAAGAUCAUAUUGAAAAUGCUUAGUGGCUCUUAUAUGCAUGAUUGUUUAUUUAACUUAGAGCCCAUAUUACUUGUCUUCUCUCUUGAGUUGAAUGCUUGCAGAUUCCAGCUUAGUCCAAUGCACGUACACUCUUAUUAUUAUACACAUCGUUUGGACGUGCAAGUGAAAUGCAAUAAUGACGAUAUAUGAUGGACUUAUUGGGAUGAGAAAAGCUGGUAUGAACUCGACCUCUCUUGUUUUUGUAAAUAUGAUGAGUUCAUCGUUCCUGAGUCAGCUAUUAUGAAGUAAACAUAUUUGGAAUGACAUUUAGAGAUUAUAGUUGCUUGUGCCAUGCUUAAUUAGCUAUGAGUUAUAAUGGUUUACCUUGCGUGCCAACAUGCUAUUAGAAUGAUUAUGAUGUGAUAUGAUCGGAUGGUAUCCUCCUUUGAAUGAAUUGAGUGACUCGACUUGGCACAUGUUCACGCAUGUAGUUGAAUCAAAUCAACAUAGCCUUCACGAUAUUUAUGUUCAUGGUGGAUUAUAUCCUACUCAUGCUUGUACUCGGUGUGAAUUAAUUUUAAUGCAUGUUUACGACUGUUUUCGCUCUCUCAGUUGGUCGCUUCCCAGUCUUUUGCUAGCCUUCACUUGUACUAAGCGGGAAUACUGCUUGUGCAUCCAAACUCCUUAAACCCCAAAGUUGUUCCACAUGAGUCCACUAUACCUACAUAUAUGCGGUAUUUACCUACCGUUCCAAGUAAAUUUGUAUGUGCCAAACUCCAAACCUUCAAAUGAAAUUCUGUUUUGUAUGCUCGAGCAACUCAUGUUUCAACUAGGGCUGCCUAUAUCUUCCAUGCUAGGUGGGUUAUUCUCACGAGGAGUGGACUCCGCUCCUCAUUCACGAGAAAGGGCCGGUAACCGGGAUGCCCAGUCCCAUGAUCCAAAAAGAUCAAAGCAAAUCAAAAUAAUUAAACAAAACUCCCCCAGGGUUGUUGUAUGUUGGAGGCACUCGUUGUUUCGAGCAAGCCAUGGAUUGAUGCUUGUUGGUGGUUGGGGGAGUAUAAACCUUUACUAUUCUGUUUGGGAACUGCCUAUAAUGCAUGUAGUAUGGAAGAUACAGCCAUCUCAUAGUUGUUGUGUUGACAGCGAAAGUAUGCCACUCAAAAUGUUAUUCAAUCUCUAUUUUAAAAUCAAGCUCUGGCACCUCUACAAGUCCCUGCUUCCCUCUGCGAAGGGCCUAUCUAUUUACUUUUAUGUUGAGUCAUCAUCCCUUCUUAUUAAAAGCACUCGCUGGAGAGCACACUGUCAUUUGCAUUCAUUAUUAUUGGUUUAUAUUGGGUAUGACUUGACUGGAUCUCUUUUACCAUGAAUUACAAUGUUUAGUCAGUCCUUGAUCUUUAAAGGUGCUCUGCAUUUAUGUUUUGCAGUCUCAGAAAGGGCUAGCGAGAUACCAUUUUGUUAUAUCAUGUUAUGAUUAUUUUGAGAAAGUGUUGUCAUCCGAGUUUUAUUAUUAUGGCUCGCUAGCUGAUUAUGCUAUUGAUAUGAGUAAUUGUGAGACCUAUGUGUUAUUGUGAGUAUGGUUAGUUCAUAAUAUUUGCUGAAACUUGAAUGCUGCCUUUUCAUGUUACAACAACAAGAUCAAACAGAGUUUGUAAAAGUUUUUCUUUAUCACUUUCAGUUUAUCAACUGAAUUGCUUGAGGACAAGCAAAGGUUUAAGCUUGGGGGAGUUGAUACGUCUCCAACGUAUCUACUUUUCCGAACACUUUUGCCCUUGUUUUGGACUAUAACUUGCAUGAUUUGAAUGAAACUAACCCGGACUAACGCUGUUUUCAGCAGAACUGCCAUGAUGUUGUUUUAUGUGUAGAAAAGAAAAGUUCUCGGAAUGUCAUGGAAAUCCACGGAGGCACUUUUUGGAUUUAAUAAGAAUUUUUGGCGAAAGAAUUAAUGCCAGGGGGCCCACGGCAUGUCCACGAGACAGGGGGGCGCCCCCCUAGGGCGCGGCCCCCUAUCUCAUGGCCCCCCUGGACCUCCUCCGACCUCAACUCCAACUCCAUAUAUUCCGUCUCGGGGAGAAAAAAAAUCAGAGAGAAGGUUUCAUCGCGUUUCACGACACGGAGCCGCCGCCAAGCCCUAAUCUCUCUCGGGAGGGCUGAUCUGGAGUCCGUUCGGGGCUCCGGAGAGGGGGAUUCGUCGCCGUCGUCAUCAUCAACCAUCCUCCAUCUGUUGGGGAACGUAGCAAAAAUUGAAGAUUUUCCUACGUGUCACCAAGAUCUAUCUAUGGAGAGACUAGCAACGAGGGGAUGGAGAGUGCAUCUACAUACCCUUGUAGAUCGCUAAGCGGAAGCGUUCAAGAGAACGGGGUUGAAGGAGUCGUACUCGUCGUGAUCCAAAUCACUGGAGAUCCUAGUGCCGAACGGACGGCACCUCCGCGUUCAACACACGUACAGCCCGGUGACGUCUCCCAUGCCUUGACCCAGCAAGGAGAGAGGGAGAGGUUGAGGAAGAAUCCAUCCAGCAGCAGCAUGACGGCGUGGUGGUCGUUGAGGAGCAUGGCAAUCCUGCAGGGCUUCGCCAAGCACCGCGGGAGAGGAGGAGGACUUGGGAGAGGGGGAAGGCUGCGCCAGAACUUUGGUAAAGCUCCCAUGCGCCUCCCCACUAUAUAUAGGGGUGGAGGGGGCUGGUUCCUUGCCCUCCAAGUCCAUUGGGGCGUUGGCAAAGGUGGGAGGAAAGAAAUCCUAUCAUUUCCUUCCCCACCGAUUGUUAUCCCCCCUUUUUAGGGAUCUUGAUCUUAUCCCUUCGGGAUAUGAUCUUAUUCCUUCUAAGGGGGAAUCUUGGUGUGCCUUGACCAGGGGUGUGGGGCCUUUCCCCCACUACCCACGUUCAUGUGGGUCCCCCCAUGCAGGUGGGCCCCACUCCGGAACCUUCGAGAACCUUCCCGGUACAAUACCGAAUAUUCCCGAACAUUUUCCGGUGGCCAAAAUAGGACUUCCCAUAUAUAAAUCUUUACCUCCGGACCAUUCCGGAACUCCUCGUGACGUCCGGGAUCUCAUCUGGGACUCUGAAUAACAUUCGGCAACCACAUACAAACUUCCUUUAUAACCCUAGCAUCAUCGAACCUUAAGUGUGUAGACCCUACGGGUUCGGGAACCAUGCAGACAUGACCGAGACGUUCUACGGUCAAUAACCAACAGCGGGAUCUGGAUACCCAUGUUGGCUCCCACAUGUUCCAUGAUGAUCUCAUCGGAUGAACCACGAUGUCAAGGACUCAAUCGAUCUCGUAUACAAUUCCCUUUGUCUAACGGUAUUGUACUUGCCCGAGAUUCGAUCGUCGGUAUACCGAUACCUUGUUCAAUCUCGUUACCGGCAAGUCUCUUUACUCGUUCCGUAACACAUCAUCCCGCGAUCAACUCUUUGAUCACAUUGUGCACAUUAUUAUGAUGUCCUACCGAGUGGGCCCAGAGAUACCUCUCCGUCAUACGGAGUGACAAAUACCAGUCUCGAUUCGUGCCAACCCAACAGACACUUUCAGAGAUACCUGUAGUGCACCUUUAUAGCCACCCAGUUACGUUGUGACGUUUGGUACACCCAAAGCAUUCCUACGGUAUCCAGGAGUUGCAUAAUCUCAUGGUCUAAGGAAAAGAUACUUGACAUUAGAAAAGCUUUAGCAUACGAACUACACGAUCUCUGUGCUAGGCUUAGGAUUGGGUCUUGUCCAUCACAUCAUUCUCCUAAUGAUGUGAUCCCGUUAUCAACGACAUCCAAUGUCCAUGGUUAGGAAACCGUAACCAUCUAUUGAUCAACGAGCUAGUCAACUAGAGGCUUACUAGGGACAUGGUGUUGUCUAUGUACCCACACAUGUAUCUGAGUUUCCUGUCAAUACAAUUAUAGCAUGGAUAAUAAACGAUUAUCAUGAACAAGGCAAUAUAAUAAUAAAUAAUUUAUUAUUGCCUCUAGGGCAUAUUUCCAAUAGUCUCCCACUUGCACUAGAGUCAAUAAUCUAGUUCACAUCGCCAUGUGAUUAACACUCAUAGGUCACAUCGGCAUGUGACCAACAUCCAAAGAGUUUACUAGUGUCACUAAACUAGUUCUCAUCACCAUGUGAUUAAGACUCAAUGAGUUCUGGGGUUUGAUCAUGUUUUUCUUGUGAGAGAGGUUUUAGUCAACGGGUCUGCAACAUUCAGAUCCGUAUGUACUUCGCAAAUCUCUAGGUCAUAUUGUAAAUGUUGCUUCCACGCUCCACUUGGAGCUAUUCCAAAUGGUUGCUCCACUACACGUAUCCGGUUUGCUACUCAGAGUCAUUCGAAUAGGUGUUAAAGCUUGCAUCGACAUAACCCUUUAUGUCGAACUCUUUAUCACCUCCAUAAUCGAGAAACAUAUCCUUAUUCCUCUAAGGAUAAUUUUGACCGCUAUCUGGUGAUCCACUCCUUGAUCACCUUUGUACCCUCUUGCCAGAUAUGUAGCAAGGCACACAUCAGGUGCGGUACACAGCAUAGCAUACUAUAGAGCCUACGUCUAAAGCAUAGGGGAUGACCUUCGUCCUUUCUCUCUAUUCUGCCGUGGUCGAGCUUUAAGUCUUAACUUCAUACCUUACAACUCAGGCAAGAACUCCUUUGACUGAUCCAUCUUGAACACCUUCAAGAUCACGUCAAGGUAUGUGCUCAUUUGAAAGUAUUAUUAAGCAUUUUCAUCUAUCUUAUAGAUCUUGACGCUUAUUGUUCAAGUAGCCUAAUCCAGGUUUUCCAUUGAAAAACACUUUUCAAAUAACCCUAUAUGCUUUCUAGAAAGUCUACAUCAUUUCUGAUCAACAAUAUGUUUACAACAUAUACUUAUCAGAAAUUCUAUAGUGCUCCCACUCACUUCUUUGGAAAUACAAGUUUCUCAUAAACUUUGUAUAAACCCAAAAUCUUUGAUCAUCUCAUCAAAGCGCACAUUCCAACUCCGACAUGCUUACUCCAGUCCUUAGAAGGAUCGCUGGAGCCAGCAUACCUUUUAGCAUCCUUAGGAUCAACACAACUUUUCUGAUUGUAUCACAUACAACCUUUCCUUACGAAAACUGGUCAGGAAACUCGUCUUGACAUCCAUCUGCCAGAUUUCAUAAAUGCAGCUAAUUCUAACAUGAUUCCGAUGGACUUAAGCAUCGCUACGGAUGAGAAAAUCUCAUCGUAGUCAACUCCUUGAACUUGUGAAAAACUCUUCGCCACAAGUCGAGCUUCAUAGAUGGUGACGUUACCAUCCACGUCUGUCUUCUUCUUAAAGAUCCAUUUAUCUCAAUGGCUUGCCGAUCAUCGGGCAAGUCCACCAAAGUCCAUGCUUUGUUCUGAUACAUGGAUCCUAUCUCGGAUUUCAUGGCUUCUAACCAUUUGUCGGAAUUUGGGCCCACCAUCGCUUCUCCAUAGCUCGUAGGUUCAUUGUUGUCUAGCAACAUGACCUUCAAGACAGGAUUACUGUACCACUCUAAAGUAGUACGGAUCCUUGUCACCCUACGAGGUACGGUAGUGACUUGAUCCAAAAACUUCAUGAUCCCUAUCAUAAGCUUCUACUUUAAUUGGUGUAGGCGCCACAGGAACAACUUCAUGUGCCCUGCUACAUACUUGUUGAAGUGACGGUUCAAUAACCUCAUCAAGUCUCCACCAUCCUCCCACUCAAUUUUCGAGACAAACUUUUCCUCGAGAAAGGACCCGAUUCAAGAAACAAUCCCUAUUGCUUUCGGAUAUGAAUUAGGAGGUAUACCCAACUGUUUUGGGUGUCCUAUGAAGAUGCAUUUUAUCUGCUUUGGGUUCGAGCUUAUCAACCUGAAACUUUUUCACAUAAGCGUCGCAGCCCCAAACUUUUAAGAAACGACAACUUAGGUUUCUUCAAACCAUAGUUCAAACGGUGUCGUCUCAACAGAAUUACGUGGUUCCCUAUAAAGUGAGUGUGGUUGUCUCUAAUGCCUAACCCAUGAACGAUAGUGGUAAUUCGAUAAGAGACAUCAUGGUACGCACCAUAUCCAAUAGGGUGCAACUAUGAUGUUCGGACACACCAUCACACUAUGGUGUUCCAGGCGGUAUUAAUUGUGGAACAAUUUCCACAAUGUCUUAAUUGCGUGCCAAAGCUCGUAACUCAGAUACUCAUCUCUAUGAUCAUAUCAUAGACAUUUUAUCCUCUUGUCACGAUGAUCUUCAACUUCAUUCUGAAAUUACUUGAACCAUUCAAUAAUUCAGACUUGUGUUUCAUCAAGUAAAUAUACUCAGUAUCUACUCAAAUCAUCCGUGAAGUAAGAACAUAACGAUAUCCACUGCAUGCCUGAGCACUCAUUUGACUGCACACAUCAAAAUGUAUUACUUCCAACAAGGUGCUUUCUUGUUCCAUCUUACUGAAAACGAGGCUUUUCCAGUCAUCUUGCCCAUGUGGUAUGAUUUUCAUGUCUCAAGUGAUUCAAAAUCAAGUGAGUCCAAAACGGUCCAUUUGCAUGGAGUUUCUUCAUGCAUAUACACCAAUAGACAUGGUUCGCAUGUCUCAAACUUUUCAAAAACGAGUGAGUCCAAAGAUCCAUCAACAUGGAGCUUCUUCAUGCGUUUUACACCAAUAUGACUUACAUGUCAGUGCCACAAGUAAGUGGUACUAUCAUUACUAUCUUAUAUCUUUUGGCAUGAAAAUGUGUAUCACUACGACCGAGAUUCAAUAAACCAUUCCUAUUAGGUGCAAUACCAUUGAAGGUAUUAUUCAAAUAAACAGAGUAACCAUUAUUCUCCUUAAAUGAAUAACCAUAUUGCGAUAGACAUAAUCCAAUCAUGUCUAUGCUCAAUGCAAACACCAAAUGACAAUUAUUCAGGUUUAAUACUAAUCUUGAUGGUAGAGGGAGCGUGCGAUGUUUGAUCACAUCAAAAUUAGAAACACUUUCAACACAUAUCGUCAGCUCUCCUUUAGAUAGUCUCUGUUUAUUCCAUAGCUCUUUUAUUUCGAGUUACUAACACUUGGCAACCGAACCGGUAUCUUAAUACCCUGGUGCUACUAGGAGUACUAGUAAAGUACACCUUAACAUAAUGUAUAUCCAAUAUACUUCUAUCGACCUUGCCAGCCUUCUCAUCUACCAAGUAUCUAGGGUAAUGCUACUCUAGUGGUUGUUCCCCUUAUUACAGAAGCACUUAGUCUCGGGUUUGGGUUCAACCUUGGGUUUCUUCACUAGAGCAGCAGCUGAUUUGCCGUUUCAUGAAGUAUCCCUUCUUGCCCUUGCCCUUCUUGAAACUAGUGGUUUCACCAACCAUCAACAAUUGAUGCUCCUUCUUGAUUUCUACUUUCGCGGUGUCAAACAUCGCGAAUACCUCAAGGAUCAUCAUAUCUAUCCCUGAUAUGUUAUAGUUCAUCAUGAAGCUCUAGCAGCUUGGUGGCAUUGACUUUGGAGAAACAUCACUAUCUCAUCUAGAAGAUCAACUCCCACUCGAUUCAAGUGAUUGUUGCACUUAGACAAUAUGAGCACAAGCUCAACGAUUGAGCUUUUCUCCCUUAGUUUGCAGGUUAAGAAACUCGUCGGAGGCCUCAUACCUCUUGACAUGGGCACGAGCCUGAAAUCCCAAUUUCAGCCCUCGAAACAUCUCAUAUGUUCCGCGACGUUUCGAAAAACGUCUUUUGUGCCUCUACUCUAAACCAUAUAACUGAACUAUCACGUAGUUAUCAAAACGUGUAUGUCCGAUGUUCGAAACAUCCACAUACGACGUUUGGGGUUCAGCACACUGAGCGGUGCAUUAAGGACAUAAUCUUUCUACUAUCCGCAUAAUCGCUACUGUCAACUUUCAACUAUAUUUUUCUCUAGGAACAUAUCUAAGCAGUGGAACUAAAGCGCGAGCUUACGACAUGAUUUGCAAAGAUCUUUUGACUAUGUUCAGGAUAAUUAAGUUCAUCUUAUGAACUCCCACUCAGAUAGACAUCCCUCUAGUCAUCUAAGUGAUUACAUGAUCUGAGUCAACUAGGUCGUGUCCGAUCAUCACGUGAGACGGACUAGCCAUCAUCGGUGAACAUCUUCAUGUUGAUCGUAUCUACUAUACGACUCAUGCUCGACCUUUCGGUCUCUUGUGUUCCGAGGCCAUGUCUGUACAUGCUAGGCUCGUCAAGUUAACCUAAGUGUUUCGCGUGUGUAAAUCUGGCUUACACCCGUUGUAUGUGAACGUAAGAAUCUAUCACACCCGAUCAUCACGUGGUGCUUCGAAACGACGAACUUUCGCAACGGUGCACAGUUAGGGGGAACACUUUCUUGAAAUUUUAAUGAGGGAUCAUCUUAUUUACUACCGUCGUCCUAAGCAAAUAAGAUGCAUAAACAUGAUAAACAUCACAUGCAAUCAAAUAGUGACAUGAUAUGGCCAAUAUCAUUUUGCUCCUUUUGAUCUCCAUCUUUGGGGCUCCAUGAUCAUCGUCGUCACCGGCAUGACACCAUGAUCUCCAUCAUCAUGAUCUCCAUCAUCGUGUCUCCAUGAAGUUGUCUCGCCAACUUAUUACUUCUACUACUAUGGCUACCGGUUAGCAAUAAAGUAAAGUAAUUACAUGGCGCCGUUCAAUGACACGCAGGUCAUACAAUAAAUAAAGACAACUCCUAUGGCUCCUGCCGGUUGUCAUACUCAUCGACAUGCAAGUCGUGAUUCCUAUUACAAGAACAUGAUCAAUCUCAUACAUCACAUAUCAUUCAUCACAUUCUUCAUGGCCAUAUCACAUCACAUAGCAUACCCUGCAAAAAUAAGUUAGACGUCCUCUAAUUGUUGUUUGCAUGUUUUACGUGGCUGCUAUGGGUUUCUAGCAAGAACGUUUCUUACCUACGCAAAACCACAACGUGAUAUACCAAUUGAUAUUUACCCUUCAUAAGGACCCUUUUCAUCGAAUCCGUUCCGACUAAAGUGGGAGAGACUGGCACCCGCUAGCCACCUUAUGCACCAAGUGCAUGUCAGUCGGUGGAACCUGUCUCACGUAAGUGUACGUGUAAGGUCAGUCCGGGCCGCUUCAUCCCAUAAUACCAUCGAAACAAGAUUGGACUAGUAACGGUAAGCAUAUUAAACAAAAUCAACGCCCACAACAACUUGUGUUCUACUCGUGCAUAGAAACUACGCAUAGACCUAGCUCAUGAUGCCACUGUUGGGGAACAUAGCAAAAAUUUAAAAUUUUCCUACGUGUCACCAAGAUCUAUCUAUGGAGAGACUAGCAACGAGGGGAAGGAGAGUGCAUCUACAUACCAUUGUAGAUCGCUAAGCGGAAGCGUUCAAGAGAACGGGGUUGAAGGAGUCGUACUCGUCGUGAUCCAAAUCACCGGAGAUCCUAGUGCCGAACGGACGGCACCUCCGCGUUCAACACACGUACAGCCUGGUGACAUCUCCCAUGCCUUGAUCCAGCAAGGAGAGAGGGAGAGGUUGAGGAAGAAUCCAUCCAGCAGCAGCACGACGGCGUGGUGGUGGUGGAGGAGCAUGGCAAUCCUGCAGGGCUUCGCCAAGCACCACGGGAGAGGAGGAGGACUUGGGAGAGGGGGAGGGCUGCGCCAGAACUUUGGUAAAGCUCCCAUGUGCCUCCCCACUAUAUAUAGGGGUGGAGGGGGCUGGUUCCUUGCCCUCCAAGUCCAUUGGGGCGUUGGCAAAGGUGGGAGGAAAGAAAUCCCAUCAUUUCCUUCCCCACCGAUUGUUAUCCCCCCUUUUUAGGGAUCUUGAUCUUAUCCCUUCGGGAUAUGAUCUUAUUCCUUCUAAGGGGGAAUCUUGGUGUGCCUUGACCAGGGGUGUGGGGCCUUGCCCGCACUACCCACGUUCAUGUGGGUCCCCCCAUGCAGGUGGGCCCCACUCCGGAACCUUCUAGAACCUUCCCAGUACAAUACCGAAUAUUCCCGAACAUUUUCCGGUGGCCAAAAUAGGACUUCCCAUAUAUAAAUCUUUACCUCCGGACCAUUCCGGAACUCCUCGUGACGUCCGGGAUCUCAUCCGGGACUCCAAACAACAUUCGGCAACCACAUACAAACUUCCUUUAUAACCCUAACGUCAUCGAACCUUAAGUGUGUAGACCCUACGGGUUCGGGAACCAUGCAGACAUGACCGAGACGUUCUACGGUCAAUAACCAACAGCGGGAUCUGGAUACCCAUGUUGGCUCCCAACUGUUCCACGAUGAUCUCAUCGGAUGAACCACGAUGUCAAGGACUCAAUCGAUCCCGUAUACAAUUCCCUUUGUCUAACGGUAUUGUACUUGCCCGAGAUUCGAUCGUCGGUAUACCGAUACCUUGUUCAAUCUCGUUACCGGCAAGUCUCUUUACUCAUUCCGUAACACAUCAUCCCGCGGUCAUCUCUUUGAUCACAUUGUGCACAUUAUUAUGAUGUCCUACCAAGUGGGCCCAGAGAUACCUCUCCGUCACACGGAGUGACAAAUCCCAGUCUCGAGUCGUGCCAACCCAACAGACACUUUCAGAGAUACCUGUAGUGCACCUUUAUAGCCACCCAGUUACGUUGUGACGUUUGGUACACCCAAAGCAUUCCUACUGUAUCCGGGAGUUGCACAAUCUCAUGGUCUAAGGAAAAGAUACUUGACAUUAGAAAAGCUUUAGCAUACGAACUACACGAUCUCUGUGCUAGGCUUAGGAUUGGGUCUUGUCCAUCACAUCAUUCUCCUAAUGAUGUGAUCCCGUUAUCAACGACAUCCAAUGUCCAUGGUCAGGAAACCGUAACCAUCUAUUGAUCAACGAGCUAGUCAACUAGAGGCUUACUAGGGACAUGGUGUUGUCUAUGUACCCACACAUGUAUCUGAGUUUCCUGUCAAUACAAUUAUAGCAUGGAUAAUAAACGAUUAUCAUGAACAAGGAAAUAUAAUAAUAACUAAUUUAUUAUUGCCUCUAGGGCAUAUUUCCAACACCAUCACCAAUUUCAUGACGCUCACCGCCGUGCCUGAGUAAUUCCAUCGUAGGCUUGCUGGACGGUGAUGGGUUGGAUGAGAUUUACCAUGUAAUCAAGUUAGUUUUCUUAGGGUUUGAUCCCUAGUAUCCACUAUGUUCUGAGAUUGAUGUUGCUACGACUUUGCUAUGCUUAAUGCUUGUCAGUAGGGCCCAAGUGCCAUGAUUUCAGAUCUGAACCUAUUAUGUUUUCAUGAAUAUAUGUGUGUUCUUGAUCCUAUCUUGCAAGUCUAUAGUCACCUAUUAUGUGUUAUGAUCCGACAACCCCGAAGUGACAAUAAUCGGGAUACUUCUCGGUGAUGACCGUAGUUUGAGGAGUUCAUGCAUUCACUAUGUGUUAAUGCUUUGGUCCGGUUCUCUAUUAAAAGGAGGCCUUAAUAUCCCUUAGUUUCUGCUAGGACCCCCCUUCAACGGGAGGGUAGGACAAAAGACGUCAUGCAAGUUCUUUUCCAUAAGCACAUAUGACUAUUUACGGAAUACAUGCCUACAUUACAUUGAUGAAUUGGAGCUAGUUCUAUAUCACCCUAUGUUAUAACUAUUGCAUGAGGAAUCGCAUCCGGCAUAAUUAUCCAUCACUGAUCCAUUGCCUACGAGCUUUUCAUAUAUUGUUCUUCGCUUAUUUACUUUUCUGUUGCUACUAUUACAACUACUACAAAAGCCCAAAAAAAUUAUCUUUACUUUUGCUACAGUUACCUUUAUUAUCAUACCACUUUUUCUACUAAACACUUUGUUGCAGAUACUAAGUUAUCCAGGUGUGGUUGAAUUGACAACUCAACUGCUAAUACUCAAGAAUAUUCUUUGCUCCCCUUGUGUCGAAUCAAUAAAUUUGGGUUGAAUACUCUACCCUCGAAAGCUGUUGCGAUCCCCUAUACUUGUGGGUUAUCAUUGUAUUAUGUGACUUAAAUCGUCAGCGUCCGGAGGUCGGACAUAGGUCCCUUGAAAAUUUGCCCUGAAAGCGUCCUCAAGUUCCUCCCACCUUCCGAUUAAAUUUUCGGGAAGGCUUUUCAACCAGUGCCGAGCUGGGCCCUUCAACUUGAGGGGAAGGUAUUUGAUGGCGUGGAGGUCGUCCCCAUGAGCCAUGUUGAUAUGAAGGAUAAAAUCCUCAAUCCAGACCCCAGGGUCUGUCAUUCCAUCAUAUGCCUCUAUGUUCACGGGUUUGAAUCCCUGUGGAAAUUCGUGAUCCAGUACCUCUUCGGUGAAGCAUAGAGGGUGCACAGCCCCUCUGUAUCUGAACAUGUUGUGGCAUGUUGUCGACUGUUGUUGUGUCCGGUGUUGAUUCCGAACUGGUAUUUGAUCAGUCUGAUCGUUUUGGUGACUGUAGUCCUUCGCCGGAGCAUGUCCUCUAGAUCCAUAGAUGGACCUGGUCACGUCGGCCUUUUUGUCCAAGAGCUCACGUAAAUCGUGUGCGGCGUUAGUAGCUGCUCUAUCGCGGUCAUAAAGUGGUUGGUCCGGCCUAUUGUCCAUAUUGUUCUUCGGCAGAAUGGCCUCAUCGUCGAAUUCUAGGAGCAGCUUGCACUUGGGGCAGCUCUUUGUGUGGCGAUCGUCGCUGUAUUUUUCUUCAGUUUCUAGCACUUUAUUCCAUCUGCGGUUGAGCGUUUCCUGCGCGGUCUGAAGCCCUUGCUUCUGCUUCUUUAGGCUUCUCGUAGUGGCCAUAAGCCUUAUGUGGAGGUUAUCUCGUUCCAAAUGUUUUUCCAGGAUGAUGAAUGCAUCGUCGUCCGGACUGUACUCUUCUCCGGAGGCAGGUUGAUGAGCUCGGCCCUCGGGAUCGCUGUGAUCGAGCGUCUGUUCUGGGUUGUGUUCGGUGUGACCUGGCUCAUCCUGCUCCAUCGCUGGGUCCAUAUGGUCGUCGUUACCUUUGGAGUUGACUGGGGUGUCGACUUUUCUACUGCUAUGAUCGCUAUUUUUACUAUGGUUGGACUUAGAGCGGCGUCUGCAGCGUCGUUUUGGCUUUUGCCCGAGGGUUUUAUCCUCCGUUGUGUCCUUUUUGUCGCCAUUUUCCUCCUUAGGCGUGUCCACCAUGUAUACAUCAUAUGAUGAGGUGGCAGUCCAGUGCCGCAUGGGCGGUGGUUCCAAAUCGUCCCUACGCCGACGUCCAUACCGUCGGUGUCGUCGGAGUCGAAGUCAAGCAUGUCUGUUACGUCGUUGACAGUAGCUAUUAAGUGGGUGGUGGGUAGGCGGAGAUUUUCUUCGUCGUCCGAAUCCCCCUCGAGCCAGACAUAGUUCGGCCAAGAGUCCUCUGACAAAGAGAGAGACCUUAAAGAGUUUAGCACGUCGCCAAAGGGUGGGUGCUAAAAGAUAUCCGCAGCGGUGAACUCCAUUACCGGAGCCCAAUCGGAUUCGAUGGGCCUGGGUGCGUACUGCCUGGAACCUACAGCCGGACACAAGUCUGGGGGUCCGGGGACACAGACUUCCUUAAGAGGUGGAGCCUGUGUUCGGCUUUACCACUGAUGAGUAUGCGGCCUCCGGGGCGGGGUCCAUCCACCCGUCCUCGGACGACGCGAUCUGCCCCGAAUUUAGGUCCGGAGCUACUGCAGGUGUGAUAUCCCGAAUAUUGCCCGAUAACAGAUCUAAGCCGUGCUCGUCGUGAUUGUUCGGCGCUCCUGGCGUAGGCCUGAAUCCGUCGAAGAUCAAGUCUCCGCGGAUAUCGGCCGUGUAGUUCAAGUUUCCGAACCUGAUCUGAUGGCCAGGGGCGUAGUUGUCGAUCUACUCCAGAUGGCCAAGCAAAUUGGCCCGUAGUGCGAAGCCGCCGAACACGAAGAUCUGUCCGGGGAGAAAACUCUCGCCCUAGACCACAUUGUUGUUGAUGAUUGAAGGAGCCAUCAAGCCUUGCUACGAUGACACAGAGGAACUCUCUAUGAAAGCACCAAUGUCGGUGUCAAAACCGGCGGAUCUCGGGUAGGGGGUCCCGAACUAUGCGUCUAAGGCUAAUGGUAACAGGAGGCAGGGGACACGAUGUUUUACCCAGGUUCGGGCCCUCUCGAUGGAGGUUAUACCCUACUUCCUGCUUGAUUGAUCUUGAUGAUAUGAGUAUUACAAGAGUUGAUCUACCACGAGAUCAUAGAGGCUAAACCCUAGAAGCUAGCCUAUGAUUAUGAUUGGUGUCGUCCUACGGACUAAACCCUCCGAUUUAUAUAGACACCGGAGGAGGCUAGGGUUACACAGAGUCGGUUACAAAGAAGGAGAUCUAACAUCCGAAUCGCCAAGCUUGUAUUCCAUGCAAAGGAGAGUCCCAUCCAGACACGGGACGAAGUCUUGAGUCUUGUAUCUUCAUAGUCCAACAGUCCGGCCAAAGUAUAUAGUCCGGCUAUCCGGAUACCCCCUAAUCCAGGACUCCCUCAACGGGGUGUGACAGACUCACCUCCGCAUGCGACGCCGUGGCACGCGCAUCUAUGCCUGCUCCGACUCGUUCCAGGCUCGGCCUCGCAGGGUGGAUGGAAGGGGGGUCACGACCCCCUCCUCCUGCUCGCCCUUGUGCUAAUGCAUGCAGUGCACUUGGUUGACAGGUGCAGUGAGGCUAUUCUAUUUUCAACCCCACGCAUGCACGCAACCCUGGAGCCACACCCCUAAGAUAGAUAGUUGGGUGAUGGGGUGUGACGGACAUGCAUCCGCAUGUGAUGCCAUGGCAUGUCGCGUCCUCGCCCGCUCCAGCUCAUUCCAGGCUCGACCUCGCAUGGUGGAGGGGAGGGGGGUAACGACACCCCCUUCCAGGCCUCGUGCUAACGCAUGUAGUGCGCUUGGUUGACAUGCGCAGUGUGGCUAUUCUGUUUCCAACCCCAAACACGCACGCAACCCCGGAGCCACAUCCCUAUGAUAGAUCGUGGGGUGGCGGGGUGUGACGGACUCGCCUCUGCAUCCGACGCAGCGGCAUGCCGCGUCGUCAUCUGCUCUGGCUCAUUCCAGGCUCGGCCUCAUAGGAGGGAGGGGAGGGGGGUCACGAAUCCCCUCCCCUCUACCCGGCCUAGCGCUAACGCACGCAGUGCACUUGGUUGACAGGUGUAGUGUCGCUAUUCUGUUUCCAACCCCAAACACGCACGCAACCCUAUAGCUACAACACCACCCAUAACGCAAAACGCUCGAUAAAAAAGGAAAUGAAAAGAAAAAAGUUGUGUUGAAAAAGAACUUAUCCAUGCCGCAGUUCAGUUAUACACAUGAAUGCAGUGCCAUUCUGCAAAAGUUUUGCACAGAUAAAAGGGUGAAAAAAGAAAUACCUACAACAGCACGGGUGCAAAAAGUAAAAACACAUGUAAAUAAAAACUAGGGUUCACACACACACGCACAAACAUAUAUAUAUAUAUAUAUAUAUAUAUAUAUAUAUAUAUAUAUAGGGUGGGUCUAUUCUAAUAACACCCCUUAAGACCUUAUUCUCAUAACACUAAAACCUUAUUCUGCUAACACUUAAGCAUUGUCCCGCACACCUAAAGUGAACUACAGCAAAAUAACCCUACACCCGCACCCACCGGUCAACGACCACCCGGACAGACCCCAUCCCCUUCCCUGAUCCACUACAUCUCAUCCCUCCUGCCUCCUUCCUCGCCGCGCCAGAGCGACCCCAGCCUCCUUCCUCCCAGCGCGCCACCUUCGACCACCGUCGCCGUCCCCUCCCCUCCGAGCGCCCGCUCCGCCCCGCACCUCUGCCGCCGCACCCCGCGUCCCCUCCGCCGAAUCAUGCCACCUCGCAUCCCACCACACCAUCCACUCCUCCCCUACCUCCAGCACACCGGCGCCCGAUGCGCCUUGGCCCUGGCCCCGGCCACCCACCCCUCCCUCCGCCAUUCGGGCCACUCGCCGGCGCGCUCCCUCCCACCUCCGUCCCCUUUUUCUUCUUCCCCAAACACGCAGAGCUGACGCCACCCCUACCGCAACUGCACGCCGCCCCGGUGCCGAUCCAGGCGCGCCCGCGCAGCUACCGGCGUGGAUCUAGCCCGGGACCACGGGAUCUGGCCCUCCAACUGACGCUGCGGCAAGCUCCCCAUCGUGGAAUCCCCUUCCCCGAGCUCCCCCAUUGUCCCCCUACUUUGCGCUCGCGCACUACUCCAAAUCAGGCGCGUGGCUGCCGUCGUUGAACCGCGUCGGUGCCCCACCUCCCCAUCCUCCCAAUAUCACAUUGAUCUAGCCGAGGGAGGAGAGCAGCCGACGCUCUUCCUCCUCUCCGGCGAGGCCUGGGUGCCAUCCUCCUUCGGCGCGGACUAGCCACCCCACGAGCAACCACAACGAUGCGGGAUCCGGCGGCCAUGGGCACCCAGCGAGGCUGCCGGUAGUGGAUCCAUCCACCGGAGGCGACGCUGCUACCGGUAUGCAUCGACUCCUGCGGCCAAGUCUGUCCACUUCUUUCCCAAUCUGUUCUCCUCGACGACCACGGAGGCGCACCUGGCAUGCAUCGUCGGCCGACCACACCACCCCCACACCGAUAACUCCCUCAGGCAUCCAGUUCGUCGGAGUUUCAUUUGUGCUCGGCGUGCAGUGCUUCGAGAUCCCUCGAGCAGUUUGGCGAGCGCUGAGGUGCAGCUUCGGCAUUGUGAGAUGCGGUUCCGUUCACAUCUCCAUGCAGUAUGGGGGCUAUGGCUUGGAAUCCAGCAAACUCCCACCUCGCAUCUCUAUAUUCCAGCAAGCAUCACACUUUGCAUUCCCAGGUUCUGCUAGAGAGGUUCAGUUGUGUUUGUUGUGUUGUUUUCACUUACUUUGUUGUCUUGUGCAGUUCGCAGAUUCUGCUAGAGAGGUUCACUGUCUUCUACGCAUUCCCAAUAUGGACUAUCAUGCAGUACGCCGGUCCAUGGUGUGAGAUUCACUGGGUGCAUGACUGGAGUGCAGUUGACCCUCGUGUGGUGCAGUGCAGUUUGUAGUUUUUUUGUGUCUUUAGAAUUGUAGUGAAUUGCAAUUUGACUGAAUUUAUCCAGUGCAAAAAAAUUGUUAAAUUUGGUAUAGUGGACGACAGUGUGUGUGUGUGUGUGUCAGUGUAGUGCAGUUUGGCUCCAGUCUGGGGCGCUCCUCUGGUGCGGCGUCGGCCAGUUCGGGAGGCAACGGGAAAAAAAACUCGGGUGGUGUAGUUCGCGAGUCUCCCAUCUGCAGUACCCAUGUCUUCAGUAAAUUUGUUUGAAGAGAGACAAAAGAAUGUAGUCCACUCCAUUUGUGUAGCAGCUCGUUACCCCACUGUAUGAAGUGCAAUUUGUUUCGUGUGUCUUAGAAUUCAGUCGACUAUGUCAACACUUGCAGUGCGUUUGACCCUCGAAUGUGGAUUACCUUUACCAGUGAUGCUGUUCACUUGCGCCAAAUAUGAAGUGUGCGAUUUUUUUAAAACAAAACAAGAAGAUAGCAAUGAGGUUCAUUUGCCCUCGUCUCUAUGGUCCACUCUCGUUCAUAAAAAUUGUUGAAAAAAGACAACAAAAACUCGUAUGGGAAAAUUUAUGUCCCACAAAAAAAAUCAUGCAGUGCACUUGUCGGUCUGAUGAAGUGUGGCUUUUAGUCUAAAGAAGUGCACUCCACCUCGUUUGGUAAAAUUUAUGUCCCAUAAAAAAAUCAUGCAAUGCACUUGUCUGUCCAAUGAAGUGCGAUUUUUAGUCAAAAUAAGUGACGUUUUCUGUCUGAUGCAAUACGGCCCGUUUACGGUAUAGUCUCGAGGUUCACUUUUCAUAGUCUUGGGGUUCACCAACACUUGACAUGAAGUGCACUCCACCUUUUGUUUAGGAAAAUUUACGUUCCACAAAAAAGAAAUCAUGAAGUGCACUUGUCGGUCGGAUGAAGUGCGGUUUUUAGUCUGAAAGCAGUGCUGUUUUCUGUCUCAUGCAGUACAUACGACGAUUUUGGGUCGCGAAAAAAUAGAGUGUCCGCAUUUCGUUAAAAUCAAAAUUGCGCUUCAGCCGUAAGGAAUCAGAGAGAGUGUUCUACAUGAAAAAGUUGCGCCUCAUUGAUAUCUUUCUAAUGGCGUAUAAUUCGAAUCAUUUUGACCAUCGGUUUGCAAAAAUUUCGCGAAAAACGGCCGAUGCCUCCCGUCGUCAGCCGCACGAUUUUCAAAAUUAACUAAAAACCAUAAGGAAUCUGAAACAUAUUCCAACAUACGAAAGUUGCGCCUUGUCCAUAGCUUUCCAACGGCGUAUCAUAAUCCUCGUUUCGGCAAAUGGUUCAAAAACUGGAGCUAAAACAGUACCGAAAAUUUGAAAAAAUUCAAAAAAACGUAAUUCCACGAUUUAGUAAAUUUGUAACUGCUCUUAAACUAUAAUGAAUUAGAAAAAAAUAAUAGAUAUGAAAAAGAUGUGCCUCGAUGAUAUCUUUCCAACUGUGUAUCAUUUGCUUUAUUCCGAUGAGCGGUUUAGACAAAAUUGCGAAAAUACGCUUGCUGCCACUCAUCAUUCGCCGCACCAUUUUUGAAACUACUCUUAAACCGCGAGGAAUCUCGAAAAGUGUUCAACAUGAAGAAGUUGCGACUAAUCCAUAGCUUUCCAAUCGUAUAUUAUACGUCUCGUUCCGAUGAACGGUUAGAAAACUAGAGCAAAAACAGUACCGAAAAAACACUGCAUGCAGUUUUUUACGACACGAAGUUCACUAGUGUGUAUUGCAGUGCCCUUGCUACAGAAUGUGCAGUGCACUUGCGUUGAGCGUGCAGUGCGGAAGUAUUAUCAGAAUAGUUGUUAUGCUAAUAUUAGCAGAAUAGACCGGUUGUAUAUAUNNNNNNNNNNNNNNNNNNNNNNNNNNNNNNNNNNNNNNNNNNNNNNNNNNNNNNNNNNNNNNNNNNNNNNNNNNNNNNNNNNNNNNNNNNNNNNNNNNNNNNNNNNNNNNNNNNNNNNNNNNNNNNNNNNNNNNNNNNNNNNNNNNNNNNNNNNNNNNNNNNNNNNNNNNNNNNNNNNNNNNNNNNNNNNNNNNNNNNNNNNNNNNNNNNNNNNNNNNNNNNNNNNNNNNNNNNNNNNNNNNNNNNNNNNNNNNNNNNNNNNNNNNNNNNNNNNNNNNNNNNNNNNNNNNNNNNNNNNNNNNNNNNNNNNNNNNNNNNNNNNNNNNNNNNNNNNNNNNNNNNNNNNNNNNNNNNNNNNNNNNNNNNNNNNUAUAUACGCAUAACAAAAUAUUAUUCUGUUACCCUACUUGAACUGAUAAAUUCAACUGGUUGAACUGAUGAAAUUUGAGCGGUUGAACUGAUGCUUUCUGUUUGUGUUAAAAAUCGUCUUCUUUAGUUCAAUUUUUUUGCAAUUUUUUUGUCGAAACGGGGCAUGUAAUAUAUCGUUGAAAAGCUCUUGACAUCUACAUUACAAUCUUAUAAUUUGUUUUUGCAAAAAAUUAUGGUUUAAGAGCAGUUUUGAAAAAAAUCAUUUUUUUCAAAACCGAAAUCACGAAUCGUAUUUUAGACUUAAUUUUCAAACGGUUUAUCAGAAUUGAGAAAAUGAGACGGCGUUGGAAAGCUUGUGAAAAUCCGCAUCUUCCAUAUAUCUACUAUUUUUUUCAAAUUCUGUAUGAUUUAAAAGUAAUUUGAAAAAUGGUGAAAUCCUGGGCAAAACGUAUUUUCGCUGUCUUUUGCAAACGCUUCGUCGGAUUGACGCAAAUGAUACAUCGUUGGAAAGCUAUGGAAAAUGCGCAACUUUUUUGUAUUGAAAUGUUUAUCUAAUUCCUUAUGGUUUAAAAACAAAUUCGAAUACGGUCAAAUUUGAUUUCGAACGCGAUUUUUUAAAAAAGUUUGUCGAAAUUGGGCAAAUAAUAUACCAUUGGAAAGAUAUUGGAAAUGCGAAACUUAGUCAUGUUGAAUAUUUUCUCAAAUUCGCAAUCGUUGAAGAGUAAUUGUGAGUAUGGUGAGACUCAUCAUGUUGUUUUUUCCGGUCGGAAAACAGAGUACUCGUACUGAUCUAUUUGUGUGUUUGUACUGAGGUAUUUUUCACAGUAGUUUUGAAUGGUUCCGAAAAAAGAGUACUUGAACGGAUACCAGUAUGUUUUUGUACUGAGCGUGUUUUCACGUAGUAGACUUUACUCUGUAUUUUCCGGUAUGAUUUUCCUCGUAACUUCUCAAUGGUUUACGAUAUCAUCGUCCCUGAACUUGCAUGGUUUUAUAUCGUUGAACUGAAUGACAUUUUAUUUAAAGAAAAAUAUUGUGUGUUUCUUUUUUUCAACUCUAACGUUUUUUUCAACAUUGUUUUGGACUUCUCUCAUUCCGUGACUUGAACUUUCACCAUUUGAAUUUCCAUAGGGUUUCUUUUUGUUUGAGCUUUUUCCUAAAACUUAUCUCGGCUUCGUGUUGAACUUAAAACUUUUUAAAUUGUGAACUUAUUGUGUUUUUACAAUUCCAAAGCUAGCAAGUAGUAGGAGAUUUACCCAACAAAGGGGUUAAUUACAUGGAGCAGCCGCAGUAGUACCACAAUCUGAUCGAUAGCUAGCAGCAAUACCAGUGCUCACUAAUACACAUACACAUGAACUGAUAACCAACUUGCGCACGACCUGACAAACAAGAAAAUGCAUUAACUGACAAAAAGAACACAAUACACAUGAACUGAUAAUCCCCACGGCUGAUGACAGAGCUUUGUAGCAUCUAGGUUCACCCAUUUACUAAAAGUAGAACUUCUGAGUUUUAUCAAUUCAGGUGAUGUUUAAAUGCUCACCAUUUUGGCCUACAUCAGAAUACUCACAACACAACAAU
rnacentral:lncRNA from 1 species